rnacentral:lncRNA from 1 species
GUGACCAUGAGGGGCUGGCUGGGACCCUGCUCACUCCAGAGUCUGCAGACGGGAUCUUGGGAGAACUGGCCAAAGUCCAUGAAAGGCUGGAAUUCUCGCCGCGGCCAGCUGUCUCACAUCUUCGUGUAGUGCCUGGUCUACGCCAGAGAGAAAACGGUAAGCGCUUAUCUUUGUCCCUUCUGUUCCAAAUUCAGACUAGCAGGGGGGAAACGGUUGUAGAAACUAGAUGGUUGAAUUGUGACUCUUGUGGAUUUGAUUUUGGGCAGCCAUUUGUUGACCCUUUCCCUCCAGGGACUCCCCCACACUCUUGCUGUCCUGGUCCUCCUGUGUGUCUCAUCUCUCGCCCUGAAAGCUUGGCGUGGCUUUUCACCACGGGGCGUGCAGGUUAUACACUUGUGUGUGUAGGGCUCAGUUGUCAGGCUGGGGUCCCCAGGAGCGUGGCUGGACACAACUGUGAGUUGCACCCCAUUUGUGGCUAAUCCCACCCCUCCCCCAAACUGGUGCCACCUGUCAGCCGUGUUGUCAGAGUCUCUUCUUGGCUGUUUCUGGCUCUGGAUGGUGGGAGGAUUCCUCUGCACCCUCGUUGGGAAGCUGGUUGUAUCCGUGUCUGAGCCGUAAAAGGCUCAUUGGUUUUAAGUCAUAAAAGGCUUAUUAUCAGUUUGGAAUCACUUGAAACAGGUGCAGCUUUGGUUUAAAAAAAAAAAAAAAGUCGGGGUGGGGGCAGUUCAUGACUGUCAGGGGUAUUUGUUGUCUGUCCUGUCUGAAACCUGGUAAGAUAUUUUAAAGGAGGUCUUUAAAAAAAAAUACAUGGUCAGAAGUUGCCCUCCUUGGAAGCUGAUUUUUUUUUUUUUUUUUAUUUCAGUCGGCCCUUCUCUCUGAUCCUGCUCCUCCCGUGGGAGCUUCUAACCCUUCUCCAGCUCCUGCCCACUGUGUGUCACCAGCUCCCUCUAUGUCCCUUUGUGUCGGCGCGGUUUUGCCGAGGAUAAUUUGGAAUGUCGUUGGCUUCUUUAGGACACUUAGAAUGGCAAACUGCUCCUCUGAGACAUCUGUCUGCCUGUGGCUUCUCCUCCUCUGUCUUCCUCUUGCUCCCUUGAUCCUCCAUUCAGUCCCCUGGGUCCCUCAACAGGUAACCACCCCCCCCAGCCCCUAUCUCAUCUGUCCUUCUGUCCAUGCUGCCAGACCUCUUUCCACUCCAGCUCCACAGACACUUGAACUUCAGACUUCCUAGCAUUAUCAGGCUGAGAAGAAAAAAGGCCAAUUGGAAACUGAUUUAAUAUUUUAUCUGCUCAGAUGCGCAGUGGAGACUGCACUAAAUGUCUCUUCAGUCACUUGUGUAAAAUGUAGCUUACAACCCUCAUAAGAUUACGAGUCAGGGCAAAUGAAACUCCUCUAAGCCUUCUCCAAAAAUAUUAGUCAAAGCAUUAGCCCUCAUCGUGAGGAGGUAACCCCCAAUUUACCCUCUUUGUCACAAACGCAAUUCAGAUAAAAAUAUAAAGUGGAUAAAAACCAGUGAGUUUGUUUUAUUAUGUUUUAUGGACACAUCGCUAAAAUUUUAUUUUUUUAAAUUUUGGAGAGAGAGUGUAUGUGAGCAGGGGAGAGGGGCAGAGGGAGAGAGAGAGAGAAUCUUUUUUUUUAAUUAAAAAAAUUUUUUUUUAAAUUUAUUUUUGAGACAGAGAGAGACAGAGCAUGAGCAGGGGAGGGGCAGAGAGAGAGCGAGACACAGAAUCAGAAGCAGGCUCCAGGCUCCGAGCUGUCAGCACAGAGCCCGACGCAGGGCUCAAACUCAUGAACGGUGACAUCAUGACCUGAGCUGAAGUCGGAUGUUCAACCGACUGAGCCACCCAGGCGCCCCGGGAGAGAGAGAGAAUCUUAAGCAGGCCCCAGGCUGAGCCGAUGCAGGGCUCUAUCCCAUGACCCUGGGAUCAUGACCUGAGCCGAAAUCAGGAGUCAGAUGCUUACCUGACUGAGCCACCCAGGUACCCCACCGCUAAAAUUCUAGAGUGGAAGCUGUGAAAUCUUUGUGUUUGUAUGCAUCUGUAGGUUAUGUGUAUGUGAUAUUUUUCUAUCUCGGGAAAGUAUUACCAGGUUCAUUUAUACAAUCCCUUAAAGGAGGUCUUUUCAAGUUGGCUUGGAGAUAAAUGAGCACUUACAUAAAUUCAAGUAUUGCUACAACUCUGCUACAACUCUAAGGAAUAUAGAAACUGACCCAAGCCUUUUAUUUUAAAGUUCACAUGAUUCUGGGUUAACCUCUGGUAAAUAAAGCUAGCUUUAAGAUUGUUAAUAAAAUCAAAACAGAUAAAUUUUUAAGGUUGUCAGCCUUAAAUAUAAUGCAGCCAUACAGUUUUUUCCUACCUGGGUUUACUGGUCACAUGAGCUUAUGUUAUCUCUAGUAAAUGCAUAAGGUUAUGGAAAUGUAAAUCCAACCUAAGAGCAAAAGGUACAAUCAAAAUAAAUUGAUAUAUGUCAAGGACAACAGUAAAAUAAAAAAAAAAAAAAAGAAAGAAAGAAAGAAAGACGGGAGACAUCAAGUAUUUUUCAUGCCUGCCUGAUUUGUCCACAAGAAAAAUCAUUUAAAAUGAUGGAUAGUUUUCUUUAAUAUCUCACAAAAUUUUCAUGAUUAAUUCAGGCAUACUUGUUAAGAACAAGUGAAUUAAUGUAAGAGAGGUAAAAGUUUAUGAGCUUUUUAAAAACAAUCUUGUUGUAUAAUAUGUGUACUUUAAAAAAAUUUUUUUUAAUGUUUAUUUUUGAGAGAGAGAGAGGCAGAGCACAAGUGGGGAAGGGGCAGAGAGAGAGGAAGACACAGAAUCGAAAGUAGGCUCCAGGCUCUGAGCUGUCAGCACAGAGCCCGACGUGGGGCUUGAACUCAGGAGCUGGGAGAUCAUGACCUGAGCUGAAGUCGGAUGCUUAACCGACUGAACCACCCAGGCUCCCCUGUCCACUUAAAAAGAGUUUCCAAAAAUUUUUUGAUAACUUGAAACAUUAAAGCUAUCCUAAGUUAAAUGAUGGAUAUUCACUGAAUAUCUACACCAUUUCCAUAUAAGAUAAAGCACUGGAAUACUAACUGCAGAACAUAAAUUUAUGUACGUUUUGCUUCUUAAAUUUUAUAGAGAGACAAGAGAUAUUUAUGUGCAUCUAUUUAGCAAACAUGUCCUUUGUCACAUCCAAAAGUUGUACUUAGAAGAAGCAUAUGCCUCUAGAAACUGAAGUAAUGAAUUCAUAGAUUCGCUAGUUUACUACAGGAUGUUAGCAUGUGGCAGACAGCUCAUAAUUGCCUGCUUCCUAGUUUUCACUGAAAAUUAGGGUUACUGAGGGUUAAACAUUCUUAUAGAUUGUGUAAAUGAAACUACUAGAAAUAAUAAAGGCAAAGAAGAAAAGUAUGCAAACUAUGCAAGGAAAAUGUGUUUAUGAUAAGAAAAAGUAUAUAAGGUGUAAAGGAUAUAUUUUUGUUAGGAGAGAAAGUAAUUUGUCCUAAUAUAGGAUAUGGCUGGCUGUUCUAGAAUAGAAAAAUGAAAAGAGUAGGUGGAUGAAAAAUGAAAACUAGGUAGAUACAUUUUUUAAAAGUUUGUAGAAGGGUUGAGGAAAAGGGAUUUUAUUGUGUUGUCAAGCUGCCAAGAUUGAAUAGCUUUAUUUGUAAAGUAAAAGAUGAACCUUAAUAUCAGAAGUAUACUGAUGUAAAACUAGAAUGAUGAAUUUUCUUGGCUUAUUGGUGUGCUUUCAUUAAGAAAUUGUAAAAAGAUUUUUUAAGUAAUUUUCCUGGGGAACCAAAAUUUUAUUAUCAGAAUGAUUUCCUGGGCUUCAUGUUGUGCGUAUCAGGUCUUUGGUUACUUAAGAAAACCAAAUCUUCUCAAUAUUAAAACAGCUAAGGGUUUUUUCACAACUAUGUUACCUUCUGUAUCUGCCUUUAGGAACUUUUUGUCAUUUUGGUUAAAUAGAUAAUUAAGUAUUAGAAUGAUCUAUGGUGCUAUUUGAUCAAGCAUUCAAAUCUGUUGACGGUUUUGACCAGUUUUCCAAAAUCCAAUUCUAAAUAAAGUCUUGGUGACUUAAACUGACUUGAGCUUUUAAAGAAAGUCCCUGGAAAAUCUCAAAGGAUUUGUUUCUCACUUUGUAAAAGAGAGAGAUGUUAAACUAAUUGGGCUUAUUUGGUGUAUUAAACUGUGUUGCAAGUAUUGUCAAAUCAAGUGACGAUAAGCUUUCUUUAGGUUAUAAUGUAUGGAUAUGUGCUAUUAAUAUAAAUAUAAAUAUUUCCGAAUUGUAUGAAGUUCAUGGAAAUUCAUCAGCACUUUUGAUGUUUAUGAGGUGUUCAGCAUCAGGUUAUCAGUCAUACUUCUGGUUAUUAUGUCACUGAAGUACCGUGCCUUGUCAGUUACGUCAGAGUGACCUCAUCAGACCUUUAACCAGGGCCAUUUUACGGUCUUGUGUCGUGUACGGACUGGUGGUGGUGGUGGUGGUGGUGGUGUUUAACUCCUGAUCCUUGUCUGAAAGUGUUUACAGUCAGCUACAGGCCACAGUGCCCAGUGAUGCCCUCCCAUGAAUGACUUUGAGACCAUGCCAGUGGUCUGAGUAAUUUUCCAAACUGAUGAAGUUUGCGGGUUCCUAAAACUGCUGAUCAAAGAUCAGCCAGAAAAAGAAUUAAUUACAUGAGACUGAACUGCUGAGGAGAGUUAUAAUUUUUUUGACAACUUGUUGUUUGAAACAUUGCUCAUUCUUUAAUGUUUGGUUUUUCUCUUAAACUGUCUGUUACUUACAGCAGUUUGGUAAAGUAUAGUGUUGUGAACGGAGAUGAAACAAUGACUUUUUCUCCCUCCCUGGUCCUUCCAGAACCCCGAGACUCUUACUGCCUUUUUAUUUUCAUGGCAAUAUCGUUAUUUCCAUAGGUCCUACAAGAAUCUCUUUUCCUUGUAAUAGGAUGUCAUUGAAAGCUUUGGUUAUAUUACCGAUGUUGACUCGACUGUCAUAUUUGGGAAUGAUGUAUACAAUUAGAUGUGACCAGACGGUUUCAAGGAACUAAGAUGGUCUUUAUAGAGUGGUGGUAAUGAAACUCUCUUGGGGGAAAAACUGGCCUGGUAUCUGGCUUACAGGUUUCCCAGCCUUGUAAGUGGGUAAGGAAUGUCGCUUGCUGGGAGGCCCAGGAACCUUAAAAUAUUUUGGGACCCUUAGGAAGAGAGGAAUUCAGCCAAAUCUAUAGGUGCUGAAGGCAAAAUAUAGUGGCAGUUUCCUGGCUUGGCUUCCCAGCCAUGAGAAACUUUGGAAGCUGAGAGUCCUUAAAAAUUGCAGCAAAGCAUGGGGCACCUGCGUGGCUCAGUCAGUUAAGCGUCCGACUUCGGCUCAGGUCAUGAUCUCGUGGUCCGUGAGUUCGAACCCCACGUCGGGCUCUGUGCUAACCACUCAGGUCCUGGAGCCUGUUUCAGAUUCUCUGUCUCCCUCUGUCUCUGACCCUCCCCCGUUCAUGCUCUGUCUCUGUCUCAAAAAUAAAUAAAUGUUAAAAAAAAAAAUUAAAAAAAAAAUUGCAGCAAAGCAAACUUAAAAAUUUCAGUCACUUUGGCCACAGAACACAAAUGUUGUAGCUGCACUUGUGUAAAUAAUCAGGCCACUUAUUGAGGCUAGGCUUAUUUUGCAAACAAAUACUUUCUUAUCUUUGAUAGAAAUGGGAGUGACUAAAGAGAGAAAAAUAGUAUUUCAGGAGCUAACUGUAGUCGAUUGAGUUGAAGGUUUUCAUUAGGAAAUUGUAAACUUUCUUAAAGUAUCUGUCUAUAGAGUGGGCUGGAUCGUGAGUUCUUCCGGUUUUCUCAGUACCUGGCUGUAAGACUCCAAAUUAACAUUUCUAAUUUUUUCCCUACCCUUUCGCUUUCCCUUUGGGACCAUUCAGAACUAAAACUGUCCUUUUCUUGAACCGUGCAAGCUGAGGCUAGCUGACCUGAUGUGACCCAGCAGGUCACGUGUGAGCUCCCUUCCUGCCUGUAGCUGUGUGGGCCACUCGGGAAGUUCAUGGGGUCACCCGAUGGCCUCACACAGACGUUCGAACUGCAAAGCCGGAGAAUCUGUUGCAAUGUCGCCCCUGUCCUCACUCCACCGUCUGAAAGAUGCUUUGAGCCGAGCAGGUAGAAUCUUACCUGACUGCCUUCUGGACUCAGAAACUGAGUUUAUAGUUUGUUCUAACCAUCUUUGUUUUCCUCCUGCUUCUAGGGAAACGUCCCUUCUUAAAGGCCUGAUUGUUCACACCAUACAGAGACCUAAUGGGGGGGGGGGUGCCUACUCACACCUGCACUACCACCUCCUGAAACGAGACGCUGUUCACUGGGUCACUAGGUUAGAGGACAGUCCACCAGCUCGGUGUGUGGAGCGUGAAACCUGCUGGGAAAGUUUCACACGGGAGAAUGACAGGGUUCAGGACGUGCUACCCCAGAAUAUGGCCCUUUGGCACGUUGAAUUUUAUAAACGGAAGGAAUUCGAGAAAUGGCACGUGCAGGGAGGACUGUUUGACCUUCCCUGAAGUGGGUCUAGACCCUCAAAUGGGAGGUGCCCUCCCUGUGCCGGAGGAAAGGAGUACCCUUGUCUCCAAAGAGGAGGGACACCGAGAAGACUGUUUCCCCACUUACCCCUCUCAGCUCACAUUCCUUUUUGUCCUAUUGCAUUUUUUUUCAUUUUCUCUUUACUUUUGAUCAAACCUAGUAUAAGAAUUUAGUAUAACUAUUUCUUUGGUCUUCAUUUCCUUAUGAAGCUUCCUGUAUCACGUAAAGUUUGUAUGAAGUAAAUUUGUAUGCUUUCUUUCGUGAAUUUGUCUUUUCUUAUAGAGACCCGUGUGAGAACUUAGAAAGGUAGAAGGGAAAUGGAUUUUCUCCCCUAUAAGAACCACCAGAUGACUUCCAAAAAAACUUUUGAAUACUCCCCUUUCUGGAGGCUUUUUUUUUUUUUUUAAUUUUUUUAAAUGUUUUAUUUACUCUUUUUUUUUUUUUUUUCAACGUUUAUUUAUUUUUUUUUUGGGACAGAGAGAGACAGAGCAUGGACGGGGGAGGGGCAGAGAGAGAGGGAGACACAGAAUCGGAAACAGGCUCCAGGCUCCGAGCCAUCAGCCCAGAGCCUGACGCGGGGCUUGAACUCACGGACCGCGAGAUCGUGACCUGGCUGAAGUCGGACGCUUAACCGACUGCGCCACCCAGGCNNNNNNNNNNNNNNNNNNNNNNNNNNNNNNNNNNNNNNNNNNNNNNNNNNNNNNNNNNNNNNNNNNNNNNNNNNNNNNNNNNNNNNNNNNNNNNNNNNNNNNNNNNNNNNNNNNNNNNNNNNNNNNNNNNNNNNNNNNNNNNNNNNNNNNNNNNNNNNNNNNNNNNNNNNNNNNNNNNNNNNNNNNNNNNNNNNNNNNNNNNNNNNNNNNNNNNNNNNNNNNNNNNNNNNNNNNNNNNNNNNNNNNNNNNNNNNNNNNNNNNNNNNNNNNNNNNNNNNNNNNNNNNNNNNNNNNNNNNNNNNNNNNNNNNNNNNNNNNNNNNNNNNNNNNNNNNNNNNNNNNNNNNNNNNNNNNNNNNNNNNNNNNNNNNNNNNNNNNCCCCCCCCCCCCGCCCUUUUUUAAUUUAUUUAUUGUUUAUUUUACAUCCAAGUUAGUUAGCAUAUGGUGCAACAAUGAUUUCAGGAGUCGAUUCCUUAGUGCCCCUUACCCAUUUAGCCCAUCCCCCCCCACAACCCCUCCAGCAACCCUCAGUUUGUUCUCCAUAUUUAUGAGCCUCUUCUGUUUUGUCCCCCUCCCUGUUUUUAUAUUAUUUUUGUUUCCCUUCCCUUAUGUUCACCUGUUUUGUCUCUUAAAGUCCUCAUGUGAGUGAAGUCAUAUUAUUUUUGUCUUUCUCUGACUAAUUUCACUUAGCAUAAUACCCUCCAGUUCCAUCCACGUAGUUGCAAAUGGCAAGAUUUCAUUCUUUUUGACUGCCGAGUAAUACUCCAUUUGUAUAUAUGUACCACAUUGUCUUUAUCCAUUCAUCUGUUGAUGGACAUUUGGGCUCUUUCCAUACUUUGGCUGUUGUUGAUAGUGCUGCUAUAAACAUUGGGGUGCAUGUGUCCCUCUAUCCCUUGGAUAAAUACCUAGUAGUGCAGUUGCUGGGUCAUAGGGUAGUUCUAUUUUUAAUUUUUUGUGGAACCUCCGUACUGUUUUCCAGAGUGGCUACCCCAGUUUGCAUUCUGUCUGGAGGCUCACUUUGACUAUACUUUUGAGGAAGAAAGAAAAGUCUGAAAACAGAUUUCUUUUUAACAUUUAUUUAUUUUGAAGGGAAGAGGGGCAGAGAGAGAGAGAGAGGAGAGAGAGGGAAACCUAAGCAGGCCCCACACUGUCAGCGUGGAGCCCGACACGGGGCUCAAUCCCAUGAAAUCAUGAGAUCAUGAGCUGAGCUGAAACCAAGAAUCGUAUGUUGAACUGAGUGAGCCACCCAGGCGACCCCAAAAGGAUGAACAUUAAGUAAGUCCUUCUGGACUGUCUACCUUUUUGUUGAGGGACAUUUCACGGACUCUGGUCCUGGGUUAACAGUAUUGAAUAGUGGGGUGUCCCCCCCCCCCACUAGGUUGUAGGACCAUUUUUCUACAUUUGCAAACUGUGAGCGGGGCCCGGGGGGAGGGGGAGGAUUGGCCCGAGGAGGGGUUGGAGGACGGGCUCAGGCUGGGGCCUUGCUGGGCCUUGUUCUGGAGAGCUGACGCCCCUUUCGCUGCCCCCUGCUUUCCUCGGGCGGACACGGCUCUGCCACGACCCACACUACGGUACGAAGCAUGGAGUUCACUUCACGUGCCCCAGGUGGGCUCUGAAUCCACCUGCCGGCAUCCAGGUUCGUGUUUCCUCCGCGACCGUGGGUGCGGUGGAAGUGGAGCCGGACGACGUGGGCCUGACUCUUGGCCUGUCCUCUGAUUUGUGGCCCUCUGAGCGAGUAGUUCUCAGUCUUCCUCAAUCUUAGUGAAGAAAUAGUUCUCAGUCUUAGUGAAGGGAUUCCUCCUGCCGGUGGCUGUCGCAGCGAGGCCUGAAGGCGAGGCCGAGGGAGCCACAGAGCUGUGCGUGGCCGGCGCGAGGCUCGGAGGUGGGCGGUGUGCCGCGGUGCCCUUAACGCCGGUCCUGAGCGGGACCUCUUGUCACACGCGCUUAUCUCCUUUUGUUCGUUUCGGAGUUUAAGAACUUUUAAUCAUUUUCUUGCUGUUCAACCCUUGUCCUCGGAAGUUGGGGUAUUUCUUCUCCAUCUGAGAAAAGACUGUGAACAAAGCAUGGCACCCUACCCUGUAGCGGGAUGGAUAGGCUCACUCUCGGGGGCUCAUCGCUGCAGGAAGAGGCCGGAGGCUCGCUCUGGGCUCUCUGAGUUCUCUAUCUGCCUCCAAUGAAAAGGAAUGAGGUAAUAGAUGGGAAUCUGGAGGACGCAGAUGCGGAAACGAGGGAUGUGGGGGUAGCAGUUGGGCAAACAGGAAUGCAGACUUGGCGGUUGAAUGGCGAAUUCAGAAAAGGAGUUUGGUCUGGGUCCGAGGAAAGAUAACGUAGACGUGAUGGGGUGCGUGGGCCUCUCCGUUGAGACGUCUUAUCAGAGCCAGGUAGCGUACCCCUAACGUGUCCUGCAGGCCGCCUGCUUUCCAGAUGCUACGCUGUUUGUGUCGCGUACGUAAGUCCACAUUCAUAUACGCAGAGAUGGUAGUUAGGACUUUAUGGUUGAAGAUGAUGCCCAUAUCCUUCUCUUUAAUAAGCAAAAUAUAUCCUUCAGUUCAUUUUUCUGAAAGUAUUUGACUCUUCUGUAAUCAUAAUCUUUAAUUACAUAUUACAUAUUACAUAUUAUAAUCUUCUGUAAUUACAUAAUCUUUAUGUAAUCUUUGGUAAGAUUACAUAAGAGUUACUGAUACUGGGCAAGUUACUCAAUUCCCCCCCCCCCCUUUUUUUUAAGUUUAUUUAUUUUGGGAGAGAGAGCAUAAGCAGGGGAGGGACAGGAAGAGGGAGAGAGAGAAUCCCAAGCAGGCUCUGUGCUGUCAACGCAAAGCGUGAUGCAGGGGCUCGAACUCAUAAACUGUGAGCUCAUGACCCAAGCUGAAAUCAAGAGUCAGACGCUCCCUGACUGAGCCACCCAGGUGCCCCCGAGUUACUCAACUUCUGGUGAAUGUUCACUGUUUUUUUAUCAGCGGCAAAAAUAAAAUGUUGCGGGGUUGUUGAGAUGAAAAAUCAUGUUAAAAGUACUGGGUACUGGGGCGCCUGGGUGGCUCAGUCGGUUGAGCGUCCGACAUCAGCUCAGGUUAUGAUCUCAUCGUCCAUGGGUUUGAGCCCCGCGUCGAGCUCUGUGCUGACAGCUCGGAGGCUGCUUCCCUGUCUCUGUCUCUCUCUCUGUCUCUCUCUCUCUCUCUCUGCCUCUCUCUCUCUCUCUCUCUCUCUUCCCCUCCUCCACUCAUGCUCUGUCUCUCUCUGUCUCUCAAAAAUUAAUAAACAUUAAAAAAAAUUAAAAAAAGUGCUGGGUACAGUGGCAGCAUUAACAGGAACCAGUUAAUGGUGGUUAAUUUUUAUCUAGGUUAAUUUUAUCUAAUUAAUUUUUAUCUAGGUAAAAGUGUUCAUGUGUAACUAUUUGUGUGUCAUUGAGAAUAAGUUCCUUUGGUGUGAGCAUUCCACAUUCCCAUCUUGUGGGUUUCAGUGUUUGCUUUUAGGCUGAAUAUCUGUUAUGCUCUUUCACAGAUAGAUUUCUGAGAGUGCAGACACUGCAUUCUGCUGGGUUGUACACCCGUUGUCAGAACCAGCUUCACUGAACAAAAGGUGAUUUCAGAUUUUGAAAGGGUCACUUAUUCUUUAAUUUUACUUGGGUUAUAUUUGGAUCCUUGACCAAGGUAAUGAAUAAUCUUCUCAAACCAAGUUGGAGUCAUCAGGACCAUGAGAUACACCGGUCGUGAUGUCUUCUCUCUGUACCAGAGUCGUCGUCUCCUCCCUCCACCAUUGGUAAUACAACUGAAGUGAGCUUUCCAGCUCUGAUCACCACUACUGCGCUCUAUGAAAUGGACGGUGGGAAUAAGUUGUUGCCUUGCAAACAUUUAAAAACUUGUUCUGUACUUCAAAAAUCUGUUUCAUUUUCAGUAAAUGUACUGAAGUGGUAAUGUCUGAGCAGACUUUCAGAUCCACUUGGGACCAGAACUUUGUUCUCAUGUGGAGGGAAAAAUUUCUUAAACCAUUUAACACAUGGGAAUGACUAAUUACAAGACAAAGCUUGCCUUCCCUGGAAGAUGGAACAGCAUAGUGGAAAGAGCCCAGGAUGGAAACCAGUGUACGACCUCUACUUGCCCUUGUUUUCACUAACUGGCUGGAGGACCUUAAAAGCAACACUUUUGAUUUCUGAGUUUUUGUUAUUAUUAGUGUAAAAUGAGGGAUUUGGAAUUAAAUACUGAGAGCGCCUUCCAUACCUAGAUAGAUGUGGAUAGAUGUUUAUUACAGGGAUUGGCUCACGCGGUUAUACAGGUUGAGAAGUCCCACAAGCUGCCGUCUGUAAACCGUAACCAGGGCCGUUGAUAGUGUCCUCAAGUCUAGGUCUGAAGGCCUGGGGAUCAGGGAGGAUGUUGAUGGUUAAGUCCUCAUAGGAGUCCAGAGGCCUGGGGACCGGGAGCGCCAGCGUCUGAAGGCAGGCAGAUGGAUGACCUAGAUCAAACACAGGGUGAAUUCACCCUUCCUCUGCCUUUCUGUUCUGUUCAGCCUCUCAAAGGAUUGGAUAAUGCCCACCCACAUUGGCAAAAAGAAAACAGAAAAGACCACAGUCUUGUUUUACUCAGUUCACCAAUUCAAAUGCUCUUCCAGAAAUGCCGUCACUGACAUGCCCAGAAAUAAGGUUUUACCAGCUGUCUGGACAUCUCUUAGUCCCCUGAACCUGACACAUAAAAUUAGCCAUCACAAGUCCACCCCUUGUCAACUUGGCACUUGUACACAUCUCCUCAGAGAUAUUUGGUGUUGCUGUGUUUGUGCGUAUUAAUACAUGUGAGCAAAGAAUUUCGCUUCAUAUGGACAUUUGCUUAAUGUAUGUAUGUAGACAUGUAAACACAAUUAUAACAAGAUCAGGAAAUACUCAUGACCAUUGCAGACUUAUUUCUGUACUUGGUCACGUGGCUGAUAUUUAUACCCUUCUUCUCUUGCCCGUUCUGUGUACCCUUCAGCAAGUGCCUCAGCUCGUUGUGGUUCUUUACCUAAUGGAGUGGCCCAAACCUUCAUUCCUGAAGGAUCUGGAGUGUUAGUAGUGCCACCUGGAUUGCAUUGUAGUUUUCCAUUGAUCUUAAUUACGGCACUAGGGAUAGCCUAGGGGAUGUCCUGUAUGCCAGACGUGCUUUUACCUCCAUUGUGGGUAGUAGUCCCUUUUCUCCUAGAGAGUGUGGAUCAGUCACCCCAGCCAACACCACAGCUCCCUUCCUUGCCCAAGGAAAGGGACCCAGAGUGGCCAAGUGGCAGUCUUAAUUCCCAGUUCAACAGAACCGUGUCUACGGGUGCAUGGUAUUUCUCCCUUUAGAACUAGGUCCUCUACGUCAGCAGAGCAUAAAGUCAUGAGAACAGGAAACAAAAUGUAUGCUAGUAAGUCAGUAGGGGUAAUAGUGGUAUUGUGUCCAUUUCUACCUGUGGAUUCCUGGACCCCCGCACCCAUGAAUCCUGGUAUCAGGGAAGGGAUCCCGUUUAUUCGAUGCUGAUUCAGAAUGUGGACAGUCUUCUGGUGACCCUUGUCAGCACCCUGCACGGUGUUGCCAGUACCUAGCUGGCCCUGUAACCAAGUCUUCAAAACGCCAUUCCACUGUUGUAGCGGAAAGCUAGCGCCUUCAGGGUGGUGUGGAACUUGCGAAGACCUGUGAAUUCCAAGAACGUGGGCCCAUCGGUGGCAUUUCUUUUGCCAUGACGUGAGUUCCCUGAUCAAAAGCAAUGCUGUGUGGAAUACCAUGACAAUGGAUAAGGUAUUUUAUAAGUCCACAGAUGGUAGUUUUGGCAGAAGCGUUGUGUUUAAGGAGGGCAAGUCAGUAUCCAGGGUGUUUAUCCCAGGAGGGCGUGGAUUUGUAAACUGGCGUCAGUCCGGGAAUCGACUGGGGGACCGUGGCUCUGUUUGUUAGUUUUUCAAAGAUAACCACUGUUUAUAUAGAGGAAAAAAGAAUUGUGUGUAUGGGUACACAGAGACAUGUAAAAUUGAUUCUGCUUUAUUUCCUGCUUUUCUUAUUUAAUAUGUUGUAAAAAUUUUUUCUGUGCUGAGUCAGAGGGUGCUAUUUAUUCUCCAACAUCCACUUUCCAUUCUCCCUUUACUAAUAGAAACCUCCUUUUUUUUUUUAAAAAUGAUUGUCAGCAAAUUUUAUUUUUUAUUUUUAUUUUUGGUGAAAAAACUCCUCUACUUUACUGUUUUUUUUUUUUUUUUUAAUUUAAAUCCAAGUUAGUUAACAUAUGGUGUAAUGAUGGUUUCAGGAAUAGAAUUUAGUGAUUCAUCACUUACAUACAACACCCAGUGCUCAUCCCAAGUGUCCUCCUUAAUGCCCAUCCCCCAUUUAGCCCUUCCCACCCCACCAGCAACCCUCAGUUUGUUCUCUGUGUUUAAGAGUCUCUUACAGUUUGUCCCCCUCCCUGUUUUUAUCUUAUUUUUGCUUCCCUUCCUCUAUGUUCAUCUGUCUUGUGUCUUAAAUUCCACAUGUGAGUGAAGUCCUAGGAUAUUUGUCUUUCUGACUGACUUCACUUAGCACAACAUACUCUAGUUCCAUCCACGUUGCUGAAAAUAGCAAGAUUUCAUUCUGUUUGAUCGACCGUGGCUCUGUUUUCGUGUUUUGACUUAGACUUUUGUUCACUCGACCUAGAUCUUUUUGGCUUAAACAGAUCAGGUAGAAUUUGUAUGUAUUUCACUUGUAGCACCCCAUACUUAAGUGGCCGGUGCCCUGGGUCUGUGUGGAUCUUGCCGUUCUGUUGGCCGUUUGGCUGCUGUCCCUUGUGGUACCUACACCGGCCACACCCCCUUGCCUUUGGCUGCUGAGUGAGAGCUACCACGGCAGCUGCCUCUCCGGGAUCCAAUUACUUCCAUUGCGUUUAGGUUUUCCAGUUGAGGUGGUUGUGGUUCCCGGUGCAAGGAAGGACUGGCCAGACGAGGAGAGCAAUUAAUGGAGCUCUUCAAGGAUGCUGGGGCCCUCCCUCACGAACUUAUUUCUCCAAGUAUUGGUGAAAAUUAUGCCUUCUGGAUCCACCCACGCUGAGUGAGCUAUCUUAAAUGACAUUCCCACUCUAACAUUCCAGUCUCCUUAAGCCUUUGAAUCCCUUCCUUGGCAUUAAACCAAGGGAGGUUGGGCAUUUCCAGUCUGCUCACAGCAGGUUAUCUUUUGAUCCACCUUUCAGGUCAGCCGGCCCUUGGAGCCUUCCUGACUCCCUGAGCUGCAACAUUAAAAGCAGAAUUUCUUUGUGAGCCCGUAUCAAUAAAUUCAGCCUGAUCCAACCCUCUGUUUCUUAAAUUUCCAUUUUCACACAUGUUCCCUGGAUUUCUGUUUGUAUAAAUGAGAAAACCCAAGUAGUUGUUUUAAAAUGUGGCACACUUCCUCUUGAGUCAUACUUUGUACCUCACCUUUAGGGAUCUGUUGGGACUGGAGUCUAGUUGUAGGUCUAGAAACAAAGAGGUGGUGAUGGUGAAUCCCGAGGAGAAUCAGCAUUGUCUUGCAUGACAGCUGCCUCUGGGGAUUAGGCGAUGAGUUAAUCUCGUCACACGGAGGUGGGAAGGUCCACACUGCUGUGGGUGGGGAAGCCACUACUUCGGACACCCAAGACUGGUUAGAUCCGAUCCAGUUGUGCUGUAUUUUGCAAGAAAUGUUAAAGUAUGUAUGUAUUCCUCUUGUCACUUAGCAUGAUAUAGUAGAAUUAGGAACUAGAGACAGAAUAUACAGUUGAGCCCGAGCUGCAUACUUAUUAGCCGUGGGGCCUUUGGCAGAUAGCUCUCUCAAUUCCCUCGUUUAAAGCGUAGCUAUGAUAACCCCUACCUGUGACCAUGAUUGCUAAGUGAACCUCAGUAGCCGUUGUUCUCCCCUUUGAGAAUAGACUUCUCAGUCCGGUGUUAGCUAGCCCACGGGCACCCAGCUCUAGCUGCCUUCCCCUGCGAGUCGCACCUGGAUAGGGCCCUGUGACUAGGUUUGGGGCAUUGGGAUUUGGAAGGCAGAAUUGUGGGCAACUUUUGGGUUCUCUUAAGGACUUAUUUGCCCUGGAUGCCCUCAUUUCCUGUUUCUCUUUGGCUGGGAAAUGGCAAGAAUUGAAGCAGCAGUCUUGGAUCCAGCGACAGGUACGACGGAGGAAGACAACGGAACCGGCUGUCUGCCCCAGGCUCCUUGGAGCAGAGCUGCUCACUCCUUCGCUUUUGAACCGUUACGUGAGAGAGAAAGAAACCUGUCUUAUUUCAGCCCCUGCAUUUCUACAUGUCUUUGUUACAGGUCCUUGCAUUCCGCCUGGUGGCCCUAACAAAACACCACCUUAAAGAGUCGUAGGGUACCUACUGAAUGUCAGAAAAUAUUUGCAAAUCAUAUGCGUGAUAAGGGACUAAUAUCCAAAUAUAUAAAGAACUUCUGCAACCCAAUGGCAAAAAGCAGUGUGAUUGAAAAAUGGGCAGAGGGGCUGAAAAGACAUUUUUCCAAAGAAGACAUCAUCCAGAUGGCCCACAGGUGCUUGAAAAGAUGCUCAACGUCACUCAUCAUCAGGGAUGCAAAUCAAAACCACAGUGAGGUACCACCUCACACCUGUUAGCAUGGCCGUCCUCCAGGAGACAAGCGGUAAGUUGGUGAGGAUGUGGAGAAAAGGGAACCCUCAUGCGCUGUUGGUGGGACUGUAGGUUUUUUCAUGUUUCUACACAUAAGUGUUACUUUUUUUUUUAAUGUAUUAUUGGGGGGAGGCUGUAAAUUUGUGCUGCCGCUGUGGAAAAGUGUGAAAAAGUAAGGAAGUUCCUCAAAAGAUUGAAAAUAGAGCUGCUGUACAAUCCAGCAAUUCCACUUCUGGGUAUUUAUCUGAAGAAAAUGAAAGCACUAAUUCAAAAGGUAUCUGUACCCCCAUGUUCGUCGCAGCGUUAUUUAUAGUGGCCAAGAUGUAGAAGCAACCUAAGUGUCCAUCGAUGCAUAAGUAAAGAAAAUACGAUUCUGUGUGUGUGUGCGUAUAAAAACUGCUCAGCCAUAGAAAUGAAAUCUUGCCAUUUGCAACAACACUAAUAGAUGCUGAGAGCAUCGUGCUAAGUGGAAUAAGUCUGACAGAAAAAGACAAAUACCAUAUGAUCUCACAUGUGGAAUCUAAAAAUGAAAACCUGAGCUCAUGGAUAUAGGGACCACAUCGGUGGUUGUCUGAGGCCGGGGGUGAGGGUGGGCAAAAUGGGUGAAGGGGGUCAAAAGAUAUAAAUUUCCAGAUAUUAGUAAGUCAUGGGAUGUAAUGUGGGGCAUGGUGAUGAUAGCUAAUGAUCCCUGCGUUGUGUAUUGGAAAGUACUUAGGAGAGUGGGUUGGUCCUCUUAAAAAAAGAAUUUUGUCACUCUGGGGUAUUGGAAGUUGACUGGACUUAAUUGCCGUGGUGAUCAUUUUGCGGUAUAUACAAGUAUCACAUCAUUGUGUCGUUCACCUGAAACUAAUACCAGGUAUACUUCAGUAGAAGAAACACUUGUGAAAACUAGAGAUGAGAAAUGUCCUGGUUUAGUAUAUAACACAUAGCAAGUGCUCUGUUAGUGUUUCCUACUGUUAAAUAGUUACUUUCUACCUGUUGUGGGUGGGGUGCAGUGCUAAAUCAAAGGUCAUAAAAAUGGUUUCUGUUGUUAGUGGAUUUAAGAAUAUUAAGAGCAAGGAUUAUUUCAAUUAAAAAUGUAUGUAAAAUAGCUAAUAGCAACUAGUGAGAGAACAAAACUUAUAACGUUCAUAAUCGUAACAGAAAUAUACUUUAUCUGGAAUGAAACAAUAAGACAUGGGCAAGAGGACCCAUAUGAGAAAAACUUACAGUUUAAGACAUAAAAGACUGUAGAAAUGUGUGGAGAGAUAUUUUGUGUUACUUAAUGUUAUAAAAGGUUUCUCACAAAGGUUUAGAGGUUUAAUGUUAAAAGGUCAAACAAUGAAGUCAAGCCUGUAAAAUAGAUGUGGGUCUUCGCCUACCCUUUCUCGCCACUAGGUUGGCAUCUGCAGAGGUGGCUGGUUUGAAUUCUUUCAUCGGUUUCUUCUGAUACUUACCUCUGUAUUUUUUAUCUCUUCUCUUUCUUGUCUGUCUAGAGAGUGUUCACAGGCGUGUGUGUAUGCGCACAAGUAGGGGAGGGGCAGAGAAAGAGGAAGAGAGAAUCCCAAGCAGGCUCUGGGCUCAAACCCACAAACCGAGAGAUCAUGACCUGAGCUGAAAUCAAGAGUGGGAUGCUUAACCCCCUGAGCCCCCCAGGCGCCCCUCAAUAUUAUUUAUGAUGCCAUUUCUUAUUUUUUUUACUUGUCUCUUCACUUUUUAAUGAGGUGAAUGAAGAUUUGCUCUUUUAUACCUCGCUUCUCAAUUAUUUCCCUCUUCCCCUCAACAUUGCUCCCCUGUAACAGGUACAUGAUUUUUCGUUGGUCAGUGACUUCAUUAUUAUAAUUGCGUAUUAUCUGUAGCUGAGACACAAAGUGAUUGUGAUUAUAUUCACUUUUCCCCAUAACUUGUUUUUCUUGGCGUUUAAUUUUCCUGUGCUGUCUUUUUAAUGAUUUAUUCUCCCCUUUCUCUUUUCUAGAAUUUCUGUAGUCUGAUAUUGGAUCUCCUGGAUUUUGAUCUUCUAAUUUUCUUUUUUCCGUCUUUCUCUCUUUCUGGUGUCUGGGAGAUUCCCUCUGCUUUAUCUUCCAGUCUUACUAUUGUAUAUAUAUUUAAUUUCCUGCUCCCAUUUUAAAAUUCUAAAAGCUUUUUCUUAUUGAGUAAACAUCCCUUUCAAUAGGCCCCAUUACUGUUUUAUGGAUACACUUUCAACUCUCUGAAGAUGCAGAUUUCAGUUAAAAAUAACAACCCAACAAUUUCUUUGGGUAGUGAUUACUUCUUUUUCAUUUGUUUUUCCAUUUCAUUUGGUUUCUUUAUUUCAUGUGGAAGAAUUCUUCACUGGUUCCUCAAAUGCUUAGCUAAUAUUAACAGUCUUAGCAGAAGCUCUGUGCACGGGUUUCACUCUAGGGCUGUUUAGUUGAAGACCAGAUUUAUUUUAUUGACACAUCUCUGACUUUUUUUCCUUCAAGUUUUUACUGAAAUUCUAGUUAGCUAAAAUAUAGUGUAAUACUGUUUUCAGGAGUCGAAUUCAGUGACUCAUCACUUACACAUAACACCGAGUGUUCAUCCCGACAAGUGCCCUCCUUAAUGCCCAUCCCCCACCCACCUCCCUCCAUCAGCCCUCAGUUUGUUCUCUAUUUGUAAAGAGUCUCUUAUGGUUUCUUUCCCCCCUCUCUCUUUUUCCUCCUUUUACAUACGUUCAUCUGUUCUAUUUCUUAAAUUCCACAUAUGAAUGAAGUCAUACGGCACUUCUCUUUCUCUGACUGACAGAUUUCGCUUAGCAGAAUACACUCUAGUUCUGUCCACAUAGUUGCAAAUGGCAAGGUUUCAUUCUUUUUCGUCACCAAGUAGCAUUCCAUUGUAUGUAUAUACCGCAUCUUCCUUAUCCAUCAUCCGUUGAUGAACGUUUGGGUUCUUUCCAUAGUUUGGCUGUCGUUGAUAACACCACUAUAAACGUCGGGGUGCACGUGCCCCUUUGAAUCUGUAUUUUUGUGUUAUUUGUGUGAAUAUCUAGUAGUGCAAUUGCUGGGUCGUAGGGUAGUUCUCUUUUUAGUUUUUUGAGGAACCUCCACACUGUUUUCCAGAGUGGCUGCACCAGUUUGCAUUCCCACCAGCAGCGCAAAAGAGAUCCUCUCUCUCCGCAUCCUCGCCAACAUCUGUUGUUGCCCGAGUUGCUGAUUUUAGCCAUUCUGACCGGUGUGAGGUGCUAUCUCAUGGUGGUUUUGAUUUGCAUUUCCCUGAUGAUGACACAGCUCUGACUCUUAACGUCUGUAGUCUUUUCUGAUUUUUCUUCGCAAAGAGGAACCCCUCUGCCUCCUGCUGAGGGAGUGCACCUGUUUCUGGCAGUUGAGUAGGGGAGAGAGCUGGGGGGAGGGAGACUCACGUCUGAGUAUAUCACUUGCAUUCGCUCUCCCUGCGAUCUUACCCUCACGCCCUGUGCCCGCAGUGCCUCAGUGCAGAGUCUGGCACGCUCCGUCUUUUUCCCCAGAGAGUAGACUGCUCUUUCUCCUGCCUGAGCAAGAGUCAGUUGGAGAGUUGGAGGCCGCAUGGAGCGCCUGUCUCAUGCAGACUUCGCGUUCCUCCUCCUUUAGCCCCACCCGCAGCUGCCCAUGUUCCUGAGCCUUUCUGAGUGCCGCCUUCGUGCUGCCUCCCCUUAACUACACAGUUAGGGUUCAGCUGUCGCUGUUCUGCUACGGCAGAAACUACUCACUCACCUCUCUUUCCAUCUUCCAAAAUUUUCUUAAUGUCUUUGGUCUAUAACCACUUCUAGUCUUUAUCCUUAGUGUUUCAUACUUAAAAAAAAAAAUGUCUUUAUUGUCAUUUGAGUGGAGUUUGGGGAGUAAGUGGAAAUAAAUGCAUGUAUUCAAGUCACUAUUUUAACCAGAAAUCUUUGAGUUUUCACAAGAGUAAACUUUAGACUUGCAUGAAAACAGGACCGUUAAGAUGAGGUGGUUUGAUGCUCAGUGGACCAUCUGCGGAGGCAGACCUCAUUUACAAGUGUCCCGUUCUCCCUGUGGCUCCAGGGUCUUCUCUCUUUUCCGCCGUUUGUGGCAGAUACAGGGCCUCCGAUGGUGGGAACACUCACUUUUCCUGCUCCCGGAGAUGACAGUCCUACGACCCCUGAAAAUCUCCCAUGUCAGCCAUACCCUUGUUUUGCUUCCUACACCAUUUCUGAAAGAUACCCUAAUAAUUUCUAGUUCAAAACUUGUAUUCAGUCUAAAUCAGUGGAAUUUUAGUAAUGAAUCACCUAGAACGUUGGCUUUCACCAUGUCUAUCAGAAUGCUUCUAGCUGCAAAUAACAGAAAGCCCAGCUAGCUGAAAGGGUUGGAGAGUUUGGGGCUCCUGGGUGGCUCAUUCGGGUUAAGCGUCCAACUCUUGGUUUCGGCUCGGGUCGUGAAUCACAGUUCAUGAGUUUGAACCCCACGUCGGGUUCUGUGGUGACGGUACAGAGCCUGCUUGGAUUCUCUCUCUCUUUCUCUCUCUGCCCCUCCUCCACUUACACACGCACACACACUCUCUCUCAAAAUACAUAAGUAAACUUAAAAAAAAAAACAAACAAAAAACCAAAGGGGGUUUAUUCUGUUUACUUAACUGGAAAGUUUAGAGAUAGGUCAGUCUUCAUUGCUAUUUGGUCAAGACUCUUACUCUCUUUCUCUGCAUUUCUCUCAGCUCUGCUCUGAUCUGCAUGUUGACUUUUAGGCUGGCUCCCCUCAUGGUUACAGAAUGGCUGCGACAGCUCCAGGUGUCAUGUUUCAUACACACCAUGCAGAGGAAGAGAAAGGUUCUUUCCCAGAAGUUACCAGAAGACAUCUCCACACCUCGGGGUGGGGACAGGGGGCAGGAAUUAUACCAAUUUAUCUCGCAUCACACCCCAUUUCUAGAAUGAGGGUGGUUAUACUCCCCCAAAACAUACAGGUUAUGUGAGGCAGGAGUAAUACUCAUAAUAUCAGAAUAGGGGGCGUGGAUGUUGGGAAGGCUAUCACGGUAUCCAUUACUGUGCUUGUUUUUAAUAUCUCUGCUUUGAUCACCGAGGACAUAACUGUCUUUAUAUUUACAUCCUUACACUUUUUAUAAGUUGUUCUCCCCUCAUUCAGGUUCCAUUGAUCUUAUGUGUUAACAAACCAUCAUUGUCUUUAUCCUUCAGGCUUUUCCUUACAAUUUUUUUUUUUUUUCUAAUCUGCAGUUUAACCCACUGUGUGCAUUUAAAAAAUAUUUCAGUGCUUAUGAAAUUCUUCUUCUCCAUGCCCUAAUGUUCACCUGGCCUUUUUGGUAUUGUCUUUUUGUUGGCCCUCAAAGUUUUAUAAUGACUUUUGUUCUUAAUAAAUUUAAGCAUGCUUUAUAAUUUCUAUCUCUACUAUUAUCUGAAAUGUUUUGUUGUCUAAUUGUUAUUUUUUACUUCUGCUCUUUCCCUCAUGAUGGAUUAUUUCUUCAUGUGCUUUGCAACUUUGGGUUGUGAGCUCAUCUUCAGUAAGUCUUUAAUUGUUGGAAUUCUGCAGGUCCUGAGUAGUUAUACAUUUGUCUCUGCCAGGUCAGUCAGAGAUCACUCUUGAGAAGUUUCUGAGCCUUGGAUUUCUUGGGUCAUGCAGGUAGUGUAAAUUUGAACUUCAAGUCUUUGUGAAGGCUGUCUCAGUGUAGAUUUUGGGUUUUGUUUUGUUUUUUGUUCACCUAGAACCCGGGCCAAGGUAGCUAAGUUUCCUUGAUGGGGAAAUUGGUUUUAUGACGGCAUUUUAUUCUGAUUCCCUGCCUCCCAGGGUUAAGUGCUCCUUUCCAGCUACUUGAUAGGUGUUAAAAUUCAAGCCUCUUGGUUAUUGAAACUGGUGAACCCCUGCCCCAACCACGAGCUCAUGCUUGCUGCUGUGGUUUCCCGUUCCUGCCUGGUUUGGGCCUCUCGGUUUUAAUUUCUUACUGUGCAUUUGAGGAAUGUUGACUUUAUUUCAUCCAGCACUUUUGAAUGUUUAAGUUCGUCUUAGGUCUGAUUCUCCAGGGAAUAGAGAUUUGAGGCAGAGAUUUGCACGCAGGGGGUGUUUUGGACAUUUCUGUUGGCAACAUGCUUGUAGGGAGGUGAGGGCUUGUGAGGCGAGAUGGGAUGGAUGGAAGAGCUAAUGGGGGAAGAGCUCAUAGGGAGAGGGAGGAGCUAAUGGGGAGUGGGUGGAGCUAAUGGGGGGAGGAGCUAGUGGGGAGAGGGAGGAGCUAAUGGGGAGAGGGAGGAGCUAGUGGGGGAGGGAGGAGCUAAUGGGGAGAGGGAGGAGUUAACCGUAGUGCAGCUGCAGCCCUUACUUGAGCCGGUCCCUUGGGCAGCUUCUAGACCUAGGGAUUAUGUGCACGCUGGUUCGGGCCAGGUCUUCGAAGCUCUGGGAGCCCAGCUCCCUAACGGUGUUCCCGACGGUCAGCCCCCACUGAGCUGCUCGCCUGUACCGAUCCCCUUCUUGUGUGUACCUUCCCCGCAGCUCCGGGAAGUGCGGCGCCCUCUGGGCCCUGCGGUGGCCAGCAGCUUGUGCAGCGUCCCCUGGUACCUGCUCCCUGGCCCUGCCCUUCCCUCAUUCACUGUCUGCCACAGCAGCUCUGGCAUUUCUCCUUCACGUGUUGAGGGUCUCCACUUCCCCACCUUUCGAGACUGUGUCGGUAGUGUCCUAAUGUUUCCAGGGUCCUCCUCGGGGUUACCUCCUGUGUCGGGGGCAGUGCCCCCGGCUAGAUGAGCUCAGCCCGACGGCUGAGUCCGUCCCCGUGCUGCACAUACUCCUCUGGCCCCUGCAGCUCCUUCGGCCCGCGGGCCUUCCCUCCUGGCAGGCUCAGUGCUUCCUGAGCGCUGGUCUUUGCGAUCGGCUUGGAGGCCAGGAGGAGUACAGUGUCCCGGAGGCCACGGUUUGUCCGCUAAGGUAAAAUGCUCUGCGUCAUCCUCAGGCAGGCAAGGUGCUAAUUCUGCAGGAUCGAGAGCUCCUGGGCGUCUGGAGACAAGUGUAGCCCCCACAUGUCUUUGUCCGAGUCUCGGUUGCAUGCCUGCCUCGUCAGAGUCUUGACUUGAGGCGGCUCAGCCGCUCUGUGGUUUGUCCCUGGCCCCAGCUUCAGUUGUCGGUUGUCAGAGAUGACAGGUCUGCCUGUGCCGCCAAGGAGGCCCUUUGACUUUGCGCUUCACCCUCAGCUGGUGAUCCAUCACACGCAGCCUUGUGCCAUCUUGGCUCCCGGCAAGAGCCGUGCGAUUCCAGAGUCCUUGCAGUGACCGCUUUCCUGACGUCUCAGGCCGGAGAUGUGUCUGCACGCCCCUUCGUCUGGCCUUUCGGCCCACAUCACCGCAGGUGAAAGUGUUAGCAAGUGUCCUACAGCCUGCGUGGGGCUGAUGGUGCUGCAUCUCCCCCUAGUGAAGGGGGGCUUGGGGUGAGAGCAGCUCCCGGACCGACUUCUGGCUGGGAGCCAAGGGUGGCUGACGUUUCCGGCCGCUGGGGGUUAGUCCUCGGGGGCCGCGGAUCCAGCAGUGGACCCACAGCACCCCCUGCAGAAGGGCCUCAGGUGCCCUGGUGCACAGCACGGCCAGAAAGAAAGGCCAGCUAGAGCACGGACGACAGAAGUUCUUACGUGGACUCCUUCCUGAUACAUGGCACGUUCGGAUGUGGUUUCUGGAAGUCAUUCAGUUCUCAUUUUAGCCAGGACUUUCAUUUUCAAAGAAGUGUGUAAGUCAUUAAUCGUUUCACUGAAAUGGGGGGUGAUUUUGAGAUAAACCUAGGCAUUAUGGAUUUGUUGCUUUAAAGGAUAGAUGCACUUUUUGGUGAUGGUGAUGUAAUUUCUACUUUUAGGAAGUUUUAUAAUAGGGUGUCAGAUUGCCAACUCAUAAAAAACAAAACAAAACGAACAAAACUUGAAGAGCCAAGUCCUGCAGCUUAAAAUGCUGACAUUCAUGAAAAAGAACACAUACUCAAAGCUAAUAGAUCUCUCUAAUUUUUUGGGGUGACUGGGUGGCUCAGUUGGUUAAGUGUCCAAGUUCGGCUCAGGUCACGAUCUCGCGGUCCGUGGGUUCGAGCCCCGCAUCCGGCUCUGUGCUGGCAGCUCAGAGCCUGGAACCUGCUUCUGACUCUGUGUCUCCCUCUCUCUCUGCCCUUCCCCCACUCACACUGUGUGUGUGUGUGUGUGUGUGUGUGUGUGUGUGUGUGUGUGUCUCAAAAAAAAACAUUAAAAAAAAAUCUCUAACUUUCUAAAGUUUUAUUGAGAUCUAUUUCACAUACCAUAGCCAUGCACAUCUUGUAAGUAUAUAGUUCAGUGAUUUUAAGUAUAUUCACAGAUGGUUGUGCAAGCAUCACAUCUAAUGUUAGAAAGUUUUGACAUCCCCCCAAGAGAAACCCCGUGCCCAUUAGGAGUCACUGCUCCAACCCUUCCCUCCUGCCUCUGCACUCGGCAACUACUGACCUGCUUUCUUUGUGGAUUUGCCCGUUCAGGACAUUUCACAUCCGUGGAAUCAUGCAGUAUGAGGCCUUUUGUGACUGGUUUCUUUCAGUCAAAGCUAGUAUGUUUUCAUUCCAGUCUACGUUAAGAUUCGGACUAAUUCUCUUUCUUACGAUAAGGGAGACUCAGAACGCUGCAGAACAAAGCUGAGACUUCCAAAACCAUGUCUACCUACUUGGUGCCACUGGGGCUCUGUCAGCUGGGGCUAGGUGAGGAGUUUCUAGUUCUCGGUCGCAACCAUAGUAUAGCACUGAGGUCGCUGCAUUUCAGUAGGUUGGUGAAGUUGUUUCAGUGGUUUGUUUAAUUUAUUCGCUGAUUCAUUCAUUCACUCAUCCGUUCGAAUUCACUUCGUGGACUGAUGGGAAUGAGACAACGUGUAUCUCACCGUGCUCUCAGGAAGGACUGGCUUCCAGCAGGUGGUGUUUUUGACUUUAAAAAGCAAUAGCCCAGUGUUUUUUCUUAGAGAAAUCGAAUGGCGUGGCCCCUGUCUUCUACUGUUUGGCUGUAAGAGAAGUGCCGUGCCCAUCAUCACCAUAGUUACUAUCUUCGUGCUGCUUUUUGACGGCUCACGGUAUGUUGGGCGCCGUGCUAAGCGUGCAACGUGAAUUACUCCUUAUCAGCCUAGCAGUCCUGUCAGGUGAGUGCUGCCACCCCAUCAUAGAGACGAGGAAAGUGAAGCCCGGACAGUGAGUGGCUGGUCAGGACCACCGAGUGGCACUCAGACUCACACGUAUGCUCCUCAGUGUUCGUGCAGUUCUAGGUGGCUGCUUCCUGAGUACUCUUUUAUACCCUGUAAGAUUAGUGCUAACCCGACGUUGGAAACAGAGCAGUGCAAUGCGUUGGUCGUGACUCAGAUGACAUCUUCACGAAAGUCUGUGGAAGUGUAGCUGGGUGCCCUACAGCUCCACAGCAGUGUUCCUACUUAACAUUGUACCUAAAGAGCCACAGAGUGGUAGCGUCGUCCGUCUGUCUUUUUUUAAAGUGAGCUUCGUACCAGCGCAGACCCCGAGCGCGGGGCUUGAACUCAAGGCCCCGAGAUCAAGACCUGAGCGCAGAUAAAGAGUUGGACACUUAACCGACUGAGUCACCCACGUGCCUCGUGUCUGUCUUUUUUAUGAGCCGACGUCUGUUGGGUGUUUAUUAUGUACCAGCCUCUACGCUGAAGGCAUUAUCUCAUUUGAACCUUAAAACAACCUGUGCGAUAGCAACUUUUAGUAUCGUCGUUUUCAGAUGAAACAGUUGAGGCUUUGACAAGUUAAGAUGCUUCUCUUAAGAUACCCUAUAUUAGGGGUGUCUUGGUGGUUCGGUGGGUUAAGUGUCUGACUCUUGAUUCUGGCUCAGCUCAUAAUCUUGUGGUGGGGAGAUCGAGUCUGGCAUCAGGCUCCACAUAAGCGUGGAGCCUUCUUAAGAUACCGCUCACGCACGCAUGCUCUCUGUCCCUCAGAAAAAAACCCUAAGGUGUCUAACUGAGAAAAGACAGAGCUGGGAUUUGAACCCAUACGUUAACAUUCUGGUACUGAAACCUGCGCUCUUAAUGCUGUGCUGCCUCUCUGUCUUCCCGCAUUCCUAGUCAUCAUCUUUAAUUGUCUUUGGUGAACUUGGUCUUUCCUUCCGUUCUUGUGCUCUUUCUGCUUAGUGAUGAUCCUUAUCUUGCCGCUGGUCUUGUCUUUUCAAUUUUGAUAGAAUGAUGAAUUGAUACAAGUCAUUUAUAAGAGUUGAUUAAUUGUAUUUUAGUAAGAAAAUUUGAAAGCAAAUGCUUGAUUAAGCCAUUGAAAAACAGUUUAUUACAAAUUUUCUCCAUUGCAAAAGUAGUACUUUCACUGUAAGCAAAGGGGAAAAAAGCUUUAAACCUAUUAGUAUAGUUUUUUCCUUUAACUUUUAAUUUUCAUUUUUAAAUGCUUUUUAUCCCUAAUUAUCAUAUGAAAGUAAUUACCAUCCUAAAGAAAUUUUAGGGGCACCUGGUGGGGGGGGGGCUCGGUUGAGCAUCCAACUCUUGGUUUUGGCUCAGGUCAUGAUCUCAUGGUUUGCGAGUUCAAGUCCCGCUUGGGCUCUGUGCUUACAUCGUGGAGCCUGCUUGGGAUUCUGUCCCUUUCCCUCUCUCUCUGCCCUUCCCCUGCUCAUGUUCGCACUGUCUCUCUCAAAAAUAAAUAAAUAAACUUUAAAAAACAAGAAAUUUUAAAUGUCAGCAAAUAUGUAGAAGGAAUGGUACCUUCCUACGAAUGGUACCGUGUGGAGGCACCUGGGGGGCUCAGUCAGUUGAGCUUCCGACUUCGGCUCAGGUCAUGAUCUCACAGCUCGUGGGUUCAAGCCUCAUGUUGGGCUCUGUGCUGACAGCUCAGAGCCUGGAGCCUGCUUCCGAUUCUGUGUCUCCCUCUCUCUCUCUCCCUCUCUCUCUACGCCCCUCCCCCACUCAUGAUCUGCCUCCCUCUCUCCCUCUCAAAAAUAAAUAAAUAAACAUUAAAAAAAAAAACUGUACUGUGUACAUGUGAAAUACCAAAAGUAAAACUUGGUUUACCUUUAAAUAUGAUGUCAGGAAAGAGCACAUGUUAAUGUAGUUUCUUGUUAAUCAGGUAACCUGUGGCUCUUUGGGGACGAGCCACCCGGAGGCAGAGGUCUGCAUGAGAAGCAGGCUUCUGACCCGGGCUGUUGCGUGCAGAGCACAUGUCCUAUUCUUACUGGUCCCUUCCAGAGUCGGAGCCUUAUUGCCCCUUGGCGUGCAUGUGCCAUGAAGACCUUCUCUUUCCCUCCUCUCUUCCCCUCCCCCGAAUACAAGUCACACUUUUCCUUCGUACUUGUGCUUAUGUUCAGCAGGUUUCCUGGCAUACUUGUGGCUGUUCUAAUAUUCAGUAAUAUUUUCUUAAGGAAACCCCUUCUCUGGAAUUUUGGAAUGCAGUUCUGUGCCUCUGUUUUUUACCCUCCUGUGAACAUUUUCUGAUAAGUAUUUCAUUGGAAAGGCUGGUAGGCACUUCUGUUCCUCUUUUAACCUUUUCUAGGCUAAGUAAAUGUUUUUGCCAAAAACUUAAAAAAAUUAUAAUUGAUGUCUUCCCUUUUUCCCGCUGAAAUAAAUCAUGUGUGUUUUAGAUAACAUUGGAUUUAAAAAUGUACAGCUUGGAGCAUCUUCGGUUAAAAUUUUGGAAGGUCUAGUUAGAGUUGAGUACAUCUUUUUUGCCUGUAAGAUACAGAAACAAGAAACAAUUUAAUCUACAUAGGAGGGUGACUAUUCAUAAUAUGAAAGGAUACUGAGUGUAUUGCUGGGAUUACGGGGAAUCCCAGUGUAUUGCUGGGAAUACUGAGUGUAUUACUGGGUAAUAACGAGUGAGCCUGACUAGGGAAAAAUGUCUAAAAAGACAUCUUAGAUGAUAACAAAACGUAGAGAAACAGUGAUCUGGAGUGCAGACCCGUCUAGUGUUGUGUCUCGUAUAUAUGGACUCAUCUCUUUGGAAUAACCAUUAUCUUUUAGUUCCUGUGCAUUUUUGUAUUCUGGAUGCGAACCUACUUUACAUGGCAACAUAUUUGCUAUUGAGUGGAAAACACUGCAGUUUAAUUUGCAUGGCAUAUAUAGAUUCCAUCCCCUAAGUCUGCAUUAAUUGUGUGAUUAAAAUAUUUAGUUCUCAACAGUCUUAAAAUUUGUUUUUCUGUUUUAUAAGAUACCUACUCUACUUGUCAAUUAAAAAUCACUACAGAUUUUUUUCCCUUUCUAUUUAAAUUUUUUUUUUUUCAACGUUUAUUUAUUUUUGGGACAGAGAGAGACAGAGCAUGAACGGGGGAGGGGCAGAGAGAGAGGGAGACACAGAAUCGGAAACAGGCUCCAGGCUCUGAGCCGUCAGCCCAGAGCCCGACGCGGGGCUCGAACUCACGCACCGCGAGAUCGUGACCUGGCUGAAGUCGGACGCUUAACCGACUGCGCCACCCAGGCGCCCCUUUCCCUUUCUAUUUAAUAGACGUACUGUUUAGAGCAGUUUUAGGUUUACAGAGUAAUUGAGCGGAAAGCAUGGAGAAUUUUGAUAUAACCCCGUCCUCCUUUUAUUAACAUCUUCCAUUAGUGUAUAUGUUUAUUAUGGUUAAUGAAUGUUGAUAAGUUGCUAUUAACUAAUGUCCAGGUGUACAUUAGGACUCAUUCUUUAUAUCGUACAGUUUUCAAUUGUGACAAAUGUAGGUCGUACCCACGAUUAUCAAAUAUCCACCAUUACAGUUCAUGACUUUGUGAAAGAUAGUUUUGCUGCUUUAAAAAUCCCCUGUAGGGGCGCCUGGGUGGCGCAGUCGGUUAAGCGUCCGACUUCAGCCAGGUCACGAUCUCGCGGUGCGUGAGUUCGAGCCCCGCGUCGGGCUCUGGGCCGAUGGCUCAGAGCCUGGAGCCUGUUUCCGAUUCUGUGUCUCCCUCUCUCUCUGCCCCUCCCCCGUUCAUGCUCUGUCUCUCUCUGUCCCAAAAAUAAAUAAACGUUGAAAAAAAAAAAUUUAAAAAAAAUAAAAAUCCCCUGUGGAAUAAUGUUAAAUGGAAAUAAGUCCUUUUUCUUACCUUCCUUCCCAGUGUGACUCUAAGAAACUAUUGUUGAUAUUUUCUUGUGUGUUUCAGUGACACAAUGAAACAAUGAAUUUUUGAUCUUGCCCAUACGAUACAGGUGGAUACCUCAUAUUUUCCAGCGGCAGCAGUGUAAACACUCUUGAAACCGCUUAAAGAAAGGGAUUGUGGGUGACUGAGGAGCUGGUCCCGCGCACCUGUUAGCGAUGGUGUCCAAGAAGGAGGCCGUAAGGUGGCAUGUCUGGCUUGGCACUGAGGCUGGUGUGGCUACUGAAUGUCACAGCAUGUAAUUUAAGAUGUGAGGGUUAUUGGACACAUAAUAACAUACUGUUAGCUAGAAGAUGAAGACAGUGCUCUGACAUGUAAACAUGUACUGUGUUCAUUUCGUGAAUACCUUUGUCUCGGUAGAAAAACUUUUACUAAUAUUCAACAGUAGUUCCUCAUUCCUGGCAUUUUAAACUUUUAAGAAGCUUCCAUUGAUCAUGUGAUUAAAUGCGUGUCAAAAACAGAUAUGUUAUAUUUUUGAAAUAUGGAGCUUGAAAAAAAAUAUACCUCAGUCUAGGAAGUUGUAAGGAUGUUUUAUGAAAAAAAUCAGGCAUUACUUUAAGCUUUUGCAUAAAAUUAUCAGAAUAUUUGCCAUGGAAAAGUACUUCUGGAGAUUUCUGCAUGAUAAAUUCUUGGUAUGUAUUAAUUUUUAAAACAUUUAAAAAAUAUUUAUUUUUGAGAGAGAGAAAGAGAGAGCACAAGCGGGGAAGGGGCAGAGAGAGAGGGAGACAUGGGAUCCGAAGCAGGCUCCAGGCUCUGAGCUGUCAGCACAGAGCCCCACGUGGGGCUCGAACUCAGAACUGGGAGAUCAUGACCUGAGCUGAAGUUGGAUGCUUAACCGACUGAGCCACCCAGGCAGCCCAGCCCCCCCCUUUUUUUUUUAAUGUUUUGUUUUGUUCUUUCAGAUCUUUGAUUGUUAUUUACAGAAAUUGUCUUUAGAGGGAUUUGAAAUGGAAUAGAAACUUUUGGAGCUGAGCAAUAAAUACAGGACCAUUAUAAAUAUACAGAGAAAAACUGAGUUUUGAAACCACAGUGUUGAGUCUGUCUCCCAUGCUGAUGUGUACCGACUUUUUUUUCUUCUUCUUUUUUAAUGUUUAUUUUUGAGAGAGAGAUAUAGUGUGAGCGGGGGAGGGGCAAAGGGAGAGGGAGACACAGAAUCCGAGCUGUCAGCACACAGCCCAACGCAGGGCUCGAACUCACAAACCGGGAGAUCAUGUUCUGAGCCGAAGUCGGAUGCCUAACCGACUGAGCCGCCCAAGCUCCCCUUGAUAUUUUUUAAAUAUCAUAAUUAGUUAUGUUUAAUUGACCUGGUUGACUUUCAAAACUAAUUGUGAAAGAAAUAGAACUUAGUGAUAAUUCAAGUCAAUAAAUGGGUUUUUUGCUGUUUUUCUGCCAUUCCACUGAGUGGAAAGUAGCAUAUACUUUAUUAGAAAGCCAAGUGAUAAGCUUAUUUUCCUUGAUGUUUUGUAUUUUUCUUACCUUUCGUAUGCAUCGUUGAAUGAUUCUGGUCGUGUGCACUUUUGACGAAUCGUUUAAUUUACGCUCACGUUCAACCGCGGCAUUAUUUGCCGUAGUCAGAAGGUGGGGGCUACUCAUGGGUGUCCAUGGAAGGAUGACGGAUGAUCGAAAUGUGUAAGCAUACAGUGGAAUAUUAUUCAGCUUUAAAGAGGAAGGAAACUCUGACGCCUGCUUCAGCAAGGAUGAACCUUGAGCCUUGAGGACAUGAAAUGCUAAGUGAGACGCUAAGUGAAAUAAGCCAGUCCCGAACAGGGAAGUAGGAGGUGUCUAGAGUGGUCAGAGUCACGGAAAGUAGAGUGAGUGGUGGCUGUGAGGGGCUGGAGGUGGGGGGGGGGAGGGAGGUGCUGUUUACUGGGUGCAGAGAUUCAGUUGCAAGAUGAACGUUGGUUGUACACAGAGUGAAUUUAUUUAACGCUUUGAACUGUACACUUAAAAUGGCUAAUGAUGUAAAUUUUAUAUAUGUACUUUUCCACAAUUAAAAAUUUUUAAAAAUCCAUUGAAAGGUAAACGUAUGCAACUAAAUUUGUCCAGUGGAGUGGUUUAGCAGGGAAUGGAGAAGUCUAGAAGUCUGAGGGACUUCUCCUAAGAACGUACUAUCUGAUUUCCUAAGUAUUUGUAAACAUAGUGCUGAUUUCAACUGCUGAGACAGGUGCAGAGGGAGAGAAGUGUUUGGGUAAUUGCUGUCUGCUCAGGAAAGGGUUAUGGACGUCAAGCUUUUUAAAAUUUCUGUAUAAAAGUUUUCUUUUAAAAACCAGCUCACCCUUUAUUUGUGUUGGCUGAAGUUUUGUGUGCCUGGUGCAUACUUGAAUAAUCUAAUGUAGAGAUUAUAAGGUGAGGGAGAUCCACGUGGCCAAGUUAGAAUGAUGGACGUGCAUCAUAAUGUUACAUGUCAGCUGACCCACCGCAGAAACGGGAGGGGGUAAGGAGGUGUACAUCUGCCUCAGAAAAGAGGCAAGUCGCACCCUUCAAAUUAUCCGUACUAAUUUUUCUCAGUGUGAGCAAAUUACUUUUUAAAAAAUUUUUGAUGUUUAUUUAUUUUGAGAGAGAGAGAGAGACAGAGCACGAGGUGGGGGGGGCAGGAGAGGGAGGCACAGAAUCCGAAGGAGGCUUCAGGCUCCAAGCUGUCAGCACAGAGCCCGACGUGGGGCUUGAACUCAGGAACCGUGAGAUCAUGACCUGAGCCCAAGUCAGUUGCUUAACCGACUGAGCCACCCAGGCACCCCUCAAUCAAAUUGUUUGAUAACAGAAAAGAGAACCUUUCAGUUUAGCUGUCAAAGCCGGGCUGUCGUUUCCGAUGUGCUUUAUUUAAUUAACUACCGAGUCCGGAGCAGAAGUGAAGAGAAGUGGUUACAUGUGCUUGUCCAUCCAGAUCACCAGCUGUCAACUUUCAUUUGUGACACGUCUAGAAAGUUCUUAAUGGACAGUUACAACAAAACCACAUAUCUGUGUAUAGUUAUGCCAUUUAGCUAGAUACUGUAUACGUAUAGCUUGUUAUCUUCAAAGUUUUGAUACAAGCCAGAGUGAGAGUGAGCAGAGUGCCCGAGGAAUCGCGGGCUAAAGAUUUGAUCCGUCUGUCUUUGUGACUCUGGCACCUCCCACACUGCUGGGCAUAUGAGAAGCUAUUAAUACAUGUUUGAAUGAAUGAACGAGUAAAUUAAUGGGUAUGUACCAGUCUGUAGAUUGGUAUACGUCUUUUCAUCUACAAAUCCUUCUGUUCUGGAUAUAAUGUUUCCUUUGCUUUCCCUGGGUGUUCGACUCCUUCUUUUUAAAAGAUUAGUAAGCUUUAUUUCAAGUAAUAUUCUCUUAUAAUAGGACUCAAUCACAAAUAAAUAAAACCAUACUUAACAAACAUUUAUAUAGUGCUUACUGUGUGCCUGGUACUCUUGUUCAUUCGUCAUGUUCUUCUCGUGAAAACCUUAUGAGGUGGCUGUUGAUAUUCCUCCACUCGCAUGGGGAAACUGAGGCACAGACAAGUUAGGUGACUUGCUCAGAGUUGCCAGCUAGUAAGUGUCUCAGCAGGAUUUGCACCAAGUCUGAGUUCCAGAGUCUGUGCUUCACCACCACACGGGGCACGCUGUUUCUCACAAAUACCAGCUCUAAAAACCAUUUCCAUCUCCCCAGAAGACCGCCCAUACUAGGGGGGCUUAUCUUAUUUACGGUAAAAUUUUGUUAAGAUAGAAAUUUUCUAAUGGUGACAUUCACUCUCUUUUACUGUCAAGCUAUGUGAUGAAUAUGUUGUUAUUUAAAAGGUUAUGUUUAUUGUCACCACAGGCCGUGUAUCGAUAGUGGUGAAUGGGCAUAACUUCCAAACGAAGAGGGGUAUAUGCAGCUUCUGGGGUGCUUUGCCUUUCUGCUGGUAAGGUGUUCCUUCUGUCCGCAGCACGUCUGAGGUGUCAGAAGGCACGACAGUCGUCGGAUCGGAAGGACUGGAUUUGUAGACCUCUGGCUGCUCUUGUGACAUCUGUGCUGGUUACCUGAUGAAUUUUGAACCUAGGAACGCCCUUGGCCUGCUAUAGCCCAGGGACCUGAGGAAUUGGACUGUCUGUGCGCCCCCGACCAAUUCCGUGGUCUGGGAGAGCCCCCCUGAAGACGUGCGCUCUAGUCUGGCCGGAGUGUGAUGUCACACAAAUCAAGGCGCUCCAUGCACCUUCUGUUUAUGGUUAUAGGCAGCCCUUCCUUAAAAGCCCUUGGCGAUAUUAGUAUUUUAGUUGUUUAAAGUCCCCAUUAGCCUGAAUUUUUAGUGAAAUGUCUAAUUCACUGUGGCAUCUAUUAAACACAACCUGUCAUUAAAAGAAAAAGAAGGACUCAUCUGUAGCUGUAGGUACAGCAGAAGGGUUCAAGCUGUAGGUACAGCACAAGGCUUGAUGUGGACAGAGCAUCGUUUGUCUUUUCAGGUGUUACUGUUUUAGGGGAAGAGUCAUAACUAUGUUUUUUUAUUUGAAAGAGAGAGCGUGCACGAGCAGGGGAGGGGCAGAGGGAGAGAGCAUCUUAAGCAGGCUUCACGCUCAGUGCAGACCCUGAAGCGGGGCUCGAUCCUGCGACCCUGGGGCCAAAAGCAAGACUUGGGUGCUCAACUGACUGAGCCACCCACAUGCCCCACUGUGUAUCUUGUUUAAACUUUAUGCCUUCCCUCUUUCCCCACAUAACCAGUACCUUUACAAAGACAGUACCUUGCAGAAAUUGCAUUAUGUUAGAGAUUGAAAACAGCAACCAAGAGUGACUGUUGUCUGUAAAUCUCAGUAUUUGCCAGAGUGUUCUGAGGGACUCUGAUUUUGGGAGAUGCCCUUCUGCGAUGUGGUAUGUACUCCCGAACUGGGGAAGAGUUGCGUAAAUGCCGUCCCUGCCAAUGUUCACAGACGCAUGGGUCAAUGCAUGUUUUGAGGAGCCACGGUAUAUAUUAAUAAGUUAAUGAUGCUGAGAAGGCCUGUAGUGAGAAUGGCUUAGCUUUUCUGGACUCCGCAUUUCCCACAUUUGUUUGAACACAGAACCCUUUUCCACCAAAUAUCCGUUGGUUGUCUUGUGCCCCUCAUGGUUCACAGACUGAAAUAACGCGGCACCGUAUAGCAGUGUAGCCAUAUGUUAUUUUGAUGAGGUUUCAGAAGAAUGGUCCAAUCGAAAAUCUGCCAUUAUUGUUUCAUCCCUAGUUAAUAAAUCAAUUUCAGAGAAUAACACUUAGAAAUUGUAGAAAUUUAAGACGUAAUGAAUUUUCUUUGAAUUUAUAUACUGUAGUUCCUUGCAUUGGUAGACAUGUGAUUUACAAAAGACAAUCUCUCUACUUGAUUAAUAGUGACAGAAUGAUUAACCCCAUUAAUUCCAACUAUUGGGGGAAUUUAUGCAAAUCCAAGAUAAUGUAAAAAAAAUAUAUAGAAUGUUUUUUAAGUAAUUGUGGUUUAUCACUGUAAAUACUUUAUCUCAAACUAUAUUAACAGGAUAUUCCCAAAUGGAAGAUUCUGGGUGGAAAUUCUUUAAAAAAAUUUUUUUUUAAUGUUUAUUUACUUUUUUUUUUACUUUUUUUUUUUUUUUUUUCCAACGUUUAUUUAUUUUUGGGACAGAGAGAGACAGAGCAUGAACGGGGGAGGGGCAGAGAGAGAGGGAGACACAGAAUCGGAAACAGGCUCCAGGCUCUGAGCCAUCAGCCCAGAGCCUGACGCGGGGCUCGAACUCCCGGACCGCGAGAUCGUGACCUGGCUGAAGUCGGACGCCCAACCGACUGCACCACCCAGGCGCCCCAAUGUUUAUUUACUUUUGAGACACACUCACACACACACACACACACACACACACACACACACACAGUGCGAGUAGUGGAGGGGCAGAGAGAGAGGGAGACACAGAAUCUGAAGCAGGCUCCAGGCUCUGAGCUGUCAGCACAGAGUCUGAUGUGGGGCUUGAACCCACGGACCACGAGAUCAUGACCCGAGCCGACAUUGGAUGCUUAACCGACUGAGCCACCCAGGUGCCCCGGAAAUUCUUUAAAGCAUAAAUAACAGUGAUUGAUAAUUAGUUCAGGUGCAAAUAUAUAGAUACUUCCAAAAUACUUGAGAUUAUUUUAGCACAUUUCUUUCAAAAGCUUUAGCUUUUAUUACAUGAGUCUUACGUAAGCUAUUUGCUUGCUGAAUCCUUUCUUUGUAGAUUGAUCUGUUACAAAUUCUUAAUAUGGCAUAUCUCAUAAAAUUUUAGUUAUUUAGUGAGCUGUAUCCUAAUUGAGAGUAGAGUGAAACAUGGAAAUAAGGCAAAAGAGAGGUCGUACUUAAUGAUGAAGAAGGGAAAAUUUUGAGCAGUGAUAAAAAUAACAAAGGGGCACCUGGGUGGCCCAGUCAAUUAAGCGUCUGACUUUGGCUCAGGUCAUGAUCUCACGGUUUGUGAGUUUGAGCCCCGCGUCGGGUUCUGUGCUGACGGCUCGGAGCCUAGAGCCCGCUUUGGAUUCUGUGUCUCCCUCUCUCUCUGCCCCUCCCCCACUCACACGCUGUCUCUCCCAAAAACUAAACAUUAAAAAAAUAAAAUAAAAUAAAAUAAAAUAAAAUAAAAUAAAAUAAAAUAAAAUAAACAAGAACCCAAGACUUGACUGUUCCAGCUAAAAGGAAUGAUUAGUAAUUGCUAAAUCAAAAAGAAAGGCAUCUGUCCAGUUCUGUAAAAGUCCAGACUGAAUGGCAAGAAGUAUUAAAGUCACAACAGAACGAAAAAACGAGAAAAAGAAAAAUGAAAAGAUGCUGAAAUUAUUUAUGGAGGUUGUAGCAACCAUGAUGGUAGGAUGUGAAGGAGGUCUGAAAGCAGGGGCCCUGCCAAGAAGACUCAGCAUCGAGAGAUACAGAAGCAGAAACAAGGCAGACACGUGUGUCACCAUCAUGAUGGCCACUCCACAUGCCGGUGGGUCACACGCUGUUGAAGUGUGUGCGGAGGCUUCAAGAGACACGUGUGGACUGGCAGUCGUCCCUAAAGUGCAAGGUGUUCAUCUCUAGAAUAUUCCAGAGUAGUCAGUUCUCUGUUCUUUGUUUCUGUAAUUUUAAAAUAGCAUUUACAUGGGUCAACCAGGCAAUUAGAGAAGAAAUUAAAAAAUGUAUGGAAACAAACGAAAAUGAAAAUACAACAAUCCAAACGCUUUGGGAUGCAGCGAAGGCAGUCCUGCGAGGAAAAUACAUUGCAAUCCAGGCCUAUCUCCAGAAACAAGAAAAAUCCCAAAUGCAAAAUCUAACAGCACACCUAAAGGAAACAGAAGCAGAGCAGCAAAGACACCCCAAAGCCAGCAGAAGAAGAGAAAUAAUAAAGAUCAGAGCAGAAAUAAACAAUAUAGAAUCUAAAAAAACGGUAGAGCAGAUCAAUGAAACCAAGAGUUGGUUUUUUGAAAAAAUAAACAAAAUUGAUAAACCUCUAGCCAGGCUUCUCAAAAAGAAAAGGGAGAUGACCCAAAUAGAUAAAAUCAUGAAUGAAAAUGGAAUUAUUACAACCAAUCCCUCAGAGAUACAAACAAUUAUCAGGGAAUACUAUGAAAAAUUAUAUGCCAACAAAUUGGACAACCUGGAAGAAAUGGACAAAUUCCUAAACACCCACACUCUUCCAAAACUCAAUCAGGAGGAAAUAGAAAGCUUGAACAGACCCAUAACCAGCGAAGAAAUUGAAUCGGUUAUCAAAAAUCUCCCAACAAAUAAGAGUCCAGGACCAGAUGGCUUCCCAGGGGAGUUCUACCAGACGUUUAAAGCAGAGAUAAUACCUAUCCUUCUCAAGCUAUUCCAAGAAAUAGAAAGGGAAGGAAAACUUCCAGACUCAUUCUAUGAAGCCAGUAUUACUUUGAUUCCUAAACCAGACAGAGACCCAGUAAAAAAAGAGAACUACAGGCCAAUAUCCCUGAUGAAUAUGGAUGCAAAAAUUCUCAAUAAGAUACUAGCAAAUCGAAUUCAACAGCAUAUAAAAAGAAUUAUUCACCAUGAUCAAGUGGGAUUCAUUCCUGGGAUGCAGGGCUGGUUCAACAUUCGCAAAUCAAUCAACGUGAUACAUCACAUUAACAAAAAAAAAGAGAAGAACCAUAUGAUCCUGUCAAUCGAUGCAGAAAAGGCCUUUGACAAAAUCCAGCACCCUUUCUUAAUAAAAACCNAUGGAGGUUAAAGAACACCCUACUAACGAAUGAGUGGGUCAACCAGGCAAUUAGAGAAGAAAUCAAAAAAUAUAUGGAAACAAACGAAAAUGAAAAUACAACAAUCCAAACGCUUUGGGACGCAGCGAAGGCAGUCCUGAGAGGAAAAUACAUUGCAAUCCAGGCCUAUCUCAAGAAACAAGAAAAAUCCCAAAUACAAAAUCUAACAGCACACCUAAAGGAAAUAGAAGCAGAACAGCAAAGGCAGCCUAAACCCAGCAGAAGAAGAGAAAUAAUAAAGAUCAGAGCAGAAAUAAACAAUAUAGAAUCUAAAAAAACUGUAGAGCAGAUCAACGAAACCAAGAGUUGGUUUUUUGAAAAAAUAAACAAAAUUGACAAACCUCUAGCCAGGCUUCUCAAAAAGAAAAGGGACAUGACCCAAAUAGAUAAAAUAAUGAAUGAAAAUGGAAUUAUUACAACCAACCCCUCAGAAAUACAAGCAAUUAUCAGGGAAUACUAUGAACAAUUAUAGGCCAACAAACUGGACAACCUGGAAGAAAUGGACAAAUUCCUAAACACCCACACUCUUCCAAAACUCAAUCAGGAGGAAAUAGAAAGCUUGAACAGACCCAUAACCAGCGAAGAAAUUGAAUCGGUUAUCAAAAAUCUCCCAACAAAUAAGAGUCCAGGACCAGAUGGCUUCCCAGGGGAGUUCUACCAGACGUUUAAAGCAGACAUAAUACCUAUCCUUCUCAGGCUAUUCCAAAAAAUAGAAAGGGAAGGAAGACUUCCAGACUCAUUCUGUGAAGCCAGUAUUACUUUGAUUCCUAAACCAGACAGAGACCCAGUAAAAAAAGAGAACUACAGGCCAGUAUCCCUGAUGAAUAUGGAUAAAAUAGCAUUUACACGUUUGUUUCUAAAAUCUUGUCAUAUCAGUGGUUCUUACCAGGCUUUAAGAAACCUGGUAUGUUGAGAUGUCCUUUAACUGCGUUUUACAUCUUGGGUAGUUUAUAUUCCUCUGUAGGGUAAGAAAGCAUAGUGAAGCAUGUCUUUGAUAUGAAGAGGGAAAUCCAGGUGAAGGUUGAGUGGCUUAUACAAAGAGUGAGGGAAGGAGGCUUUCAAGAGCGGGAGUUUGGUGUUUUUACAGGGAAAAUAGGAUCGCUGAUUGAGCAGGCUUUCUGAGUUUAACUUUCUUAUGUUUGAUUCCCCACUUAAGUAUUAAAUCUUUCAAGUAUUGUCUGUAUCACACUGACUAAUCUGCUUGUCGUUAUAUAAUGGAUAGCCGAUCUGGCCUUUUAAGAAAAUCCUUGAUGUAUUAGGUCGUUAAAACAAAUUCUAACAUUUGGUGCUCAUUAGUGUUGUAACCGAAACAAAAACAUUUUAAUGGUUGAUCCCAGAGCAUUUUGAAGUUAGUGUAAGUUUGCUGGAAAGGUAUUUAAGCUGAAGUAUCAAUUACAAACGGGCCAUGAGCCAAGUUUCAAAGCUGUUUCUAAGUAAGACAUUGAGUUUUUAGAAUGCAAAAAAUAAAGUAUGUGGCACUGUGCCAUGUGGCAAGGAAGUAGAAUGGAACGGUUACAGUGGGAUUUGUAUUGAUGAUAGUGAUUUUGAAACAAUUGGAUUCAAUUAAAAAUAAAAUUAAAGUUUUUAGUUUAUUAACUUGUUUUUUGGCUUAUUAUUUUGUUCCGGAUCCACAUUGUAGAAUGUUGUUCAUACAGAAUAAAAUGUCAUUAACUCCAAAUAGGUUUGAGUAAUUCUUUUUUUUUUUUUUUUUUUANNNNNNNNNNNAGGGGGGGGGGGGGGGGGGGGGGGGGGGGGGGCGGCAGAGGGAGAGAGAAUCCCAAGCAGGCACCACGCUCCGUGCAGAGCCCGACAUGGGGCUCGAUGCCACGAGCCUGGGAUCAUGACCUGAGCGGAAAUCCAGAGUCACAUACACAACCGACUGACCCAGGCGCCCCAGUUUGAAUAAUUUUUGUGAUCACCAGAGUGAUACUUCUGUAAUUUUCUGUUGUUUCUUGAGCCUGUUUUGGGGGAAGUGUUGCCUUCUGCCAGCCAGUAGGAGUUACAGAGAGAGUAAGAGCCGCGCCCUGCGGGUGGAGCCGCAAUGUGUACAAGAGGGUCUCCCGCACUGGUGGUGACACCGAGGUGGUGGGCACGGGAGAGAGAUGUGGGCUUUGCAGGUCAGCAGACCCCUCCCUCGGGCGCUCCCUCCGUGUUCGUCGCCUCCGGCCUCCUGCUUUCCUGCUCUUCUGUUUUCUCCCCUUCCCUUGUCCGGUGGCCGCCGGGCCGAGCCCUGGUCCUCCUUCUGUGGGCCUGUGUCUCUGCCUCACGGCUCCUGGCGGCUCUUUGGUGCCUUGGGGGAGGGAGGACCCUGGACUUGCACACGAGAUGCUGUGAAGAUGCGUCUUUUAAGGGAGGGUUUCCACCGUUCUUUCCCAGCGUUUCUGAGGACUCCAGGGGCUCUCCCUUCCCCGCUGACUGUUGGGCCCCUUUCCAUCUGCCCCUCAGGCGUCAGAGGACGUCUCUGGACCCAGACGGUGCCCGCCACUCUGUUCUCUGCGCUCAGAGGGCUGGGACACCUGCACCAUAGAGUCGUAGAAGGAACUUCAGGGUUCCCUGGUAGCACGUUGACUGUUACGUUCCCGUGUGUGCUUCAAUACCUGAUGCGACAGAUUUGCUUUUAAAAAUUUUAGUGGUUUUAGGGAUACAACAUGCGUUCCGUGUUAUUUUCCCCAUUUCAAAUAUUCCUAACAGGUGGCCAGCUCAAGUUAAAACAAAAUAGAUGCCUCUCAUUUUAGUGGUAUCUUUUCCAACUCGGAAACAAAGCAUUCGUUGUUUUAGAAACUAAUGGUGCAGUGGAAGAACAGUGUAUUUGGAAUCACUUAUAAAUUCAUUAGAAAAAAAAUUCAGAUUGACAGCAUUUUGGGUUUCUAAUUAAGCCUUUGAAGGCAAGCAUGUCAACUAUAAGAAAACAGUAACGUAGACUUCUAGUAUAUUCUUUUCUAGUUGGCCAAAGACCCAAAGUUGUCUUCUGGGCUAAAAUUGUCAUUCACAUGAAUCGUAAUGAUAGCGUGGAAAAGUUGGACUCCUUCAGGAGAAGGAGAUCCCCAACUAACACAGCCUUCACACAGCUUACCGUGUGUCAAGAGUCUAGAGAAGGAAAAUGCUCCUUUCAUCUCUGCGUGGAUAAUUCUGACCUCAAAAAUAAAAUGGCCAUUUUCAAGGAUCCUAAUUCUGCUGGCGAGUAGUCAGACCAGAUUAAUAAACACAAAUCUCCCCAACCCCCCUUUUUAGAAAAUACUGGUGAUCAAUCCUGGCUCAGCUAACAGAGUGCGAGAUUCACGCUUAACAAAGUCAAAUUAACCGAGUGUGGCACGUGCUAGCUCUGGGAUGUGAUAGUGAACACGGCACUGAAGGUCCUUGCCCUUGAGAAACAUACACACAUAUAUGUAUAUGUGUAUGUGUGUGUGCGUGUCCUACAUGUGUCCGUAUACAAACAGUGUGCAGUGCUGUAAAGUGAAUGGGGCCUGAGGAGAGGGGAAUUUUGGCCUUAAAACGCCAUCUACAGUUAGCCAUUUGGCAGAAAAAGUAGAGUCCUUCGUCUGGUCUUGAUGAUUAAUGUGUUUUCUGCAUUUUAAUAAUAAAGUUGGUGGCGGGCCAUGAUCUGUGGCUGUUCGGAAAAGAGUCUUAGUCGUCCAACAAUAUUUGUGCCUCGAAACAGAAAACUUUCCCUGGAGGUGAAAAUCUGCAGAUGCGUACGCCCUGCAGGGGCGAGGCCGUGACCGUGUGCUUCUCGGGCCCCCAUUUCCCUGACUGAGGCCCCGGCGGCUGGGGUCCCAGAGGCCGUCCCUGCGGAGCCUGAACCUGGUCCCCGAACCUGGUCCCUUGGCACCGUGCGGACAUGGCCAGUCUAGCCUGAGUUCUGGUGAUGAAAUGGGGGCUCCUGUUGUCCAGCCAAAGUUUUCCGAUUCACUGUUUUUCCUGCCCUGCCCUGCCCAUUCCUCUUUUCUUUGUAUUCAGCUCAUACUUCGCCUACCCAGAAGGCUGUGCUUUGAAGCCUGAGCAUUAGCGGGUAAAUACGGAUGCGGAACUGCUUUCACCGGACAGGAUUUUGGGGAGCGGGAGAGUGGCUUCUCCAGAUCAGUAGCAAAUCUGUGUCCCGGGGACCGAGGCGGUUCAGUCUCAGUCAUUUUCAGAUUGGUCCGGGGAGCUUGGGGGCCCUUCGGAGGGCCCUGGGGGUGCCUGUGGGGGUCGGUUUGCAAAGGCAAACCCCUUCACCAGGGAGCCUGCAGAGCCACACAGAGAACCUGAAAACAGCAAAUUCUCGCUUGUCACGGACCCUUCCUGAGUCAGAGCGUGAGUGCCAGCUCAAGAGUCCCUUGUGGGCGACCUUCCCACCCGGGUUUCCGUGUUCCGUUCUGCCCUGCCAACGCUCCUGGGCCCUUCUCACUCACGCCCGUCUGUGGAAAGCAGGGAAAGGAAGCGGAACCGUGAGGUCCACACGGUGGGGGCGACGUAAGACCUGUUGGAAAUGCUGGGUUGAAGCAGCUCAUUACCGUUCGAAAGACGUUCUUCAGUUUUCUGACCAAAGGAAAAACCGCAUUAUCUUCAUUGUAGAUAGAAGCCACAACACGCCGAACUACUUGGAAAGCCGCAUGUUUUAGCCAGUAAUGAGUCUUAACUUUUACGAGAUCAGCACAUGGAAAUGGUUAGUGGGCGCCAGCAGAGAAACGCGGGUCACAUGCCCUUCGGUCAGGGGCCAAGUCCUCGUCACUCCAGGCGUUCAGAGUUUUGCAGUUCAUCUUCCUAGGUUGCUAAGUGCUUUUCAUGCCUCAUGACACAAAGAGUUGACUAGCUUGCUUUUGCAGUGUGAAACGCUUCCUUUUAAAAUUUUGAAACGUGCUUUUCUCCUUACUUUUAAGAUAUUUUGAUUCAUUCAGAUUUUGCAUAAUAUUAAGAAUAGCAGAAUUUAUAAGCUAUAAGCAUGUGUGAUUUGAAUGCUUCCUACCUAAUGGGACUGGAAUUUUUCUCCAAUUAUGGGACAGGGAGACCAUCGUUCCCCGGUUGCCAAAACAGAAUGCAGCUGGCUGCAGGAGGGCUGAGCUAGCAGAACAUUUAAUAUUUUGAAAAAUGUGUCCUGGGGGAAAAGACUUUCUGUUCAGAAAGAUACUGAAUUAUUUAGCUGGGCAGCUGCAGGGUGUGAAUAUUUUGAGCGCCAUUGCUGUCAUUUAUUUUUUAUUGGGUUCAAAUGGAAAAAUUGAAAACCGUAUUCAGACGCGUAGCCUUUCGCUCGAUGGCGUGUAGACCUCCGGCUGCAGCUGCCUGCGCUCCUGUGAUCUGCACGGGCACAUUCCACUCCGAGUGCAUCAGUGUUUAAUUUUCAAAAUUCUCGGCAAAUAGCAGAGCUGCAGCCAGGAAUUCCUCCACUGAGAUUCCUUCCGGCCCAGAUGAAACUGAUAAUUCCCGGCUGGGUUGCUGUCAUUCAUCACUAAUCCAGGUAUGGCUGCUUGCCGUGUUUAAUUUUCUUUUUUCUGAACCCAAAGGCACUGCUGGCUUGCGUUUCCCAUGAGAAGGCGGCGGUGAUGUGCCUGGAAUUCCAGCCCCCGGAGGUGGUGGCUUUUCUAGACGGACGUAGCUGGCCUUUGUCGUGGGGCUGACGGACGUGAGCUUGCUGCUAGACACAAAACCAUGCGCGACCGGCUCAUGGUAGGGUCUUCAAGAAAAGCAGGACUGUAUCAGGGACCUGCCUCUGAGUUUCUGAAGUUGGUGUCAUGGAAAGCAGCUGUUUCCUACACAGGGUAUCUGUUGAUGCCACUUGCCAUUUGGGAACAGGAUGCUGAAUUGGAUGGACAGUAGGUUUUAAUGUUUGUUGUAUAGGUCUUGUAAAAAAAAAAAAAAAUAACAGUACUUUGGGAAGCAUUCAAAAUGUCAUCAGCACUUAACAUCCUAUGAGAAGCAGGUCAAAAUGUAUUCAUUUUGCAUUUUAAACUGUUUUAAUGAACACUUAAAAGCAGUAUGUAUAGGAUAAAAAUCACGGAAUUUGGAAGUGGACAGUUCUGGCUUUAUCUCAGCUGGCCCUGUGCCCUUACGCCAGUGACGUAUGACCUCCGAGUCUUGGUCUUACGUAUAAGCUAGGAGAGCAGAUUACAGAGUUGGUGUGAGGGUUAACACUGUCGUAGGUAUGGAGGGCCUACGUAGGCCUCGAGCAUGUUGGUACCCGACAAAGGGUACGUUGUAUGUCUGUUAGGGAUUCUCUAUCUCUACGGCCCACCCAUCCACUUGCCCACCUACUUGCCUAUCUGUGUAUUUAUAUUUAUCUUCUAGACCUUUUUCGGGCUUCCCCUUUUUUGUUAAUCCAGCCAUAUUUUGCUGAAAUUUAAAAUAUGAAAAUACUCCACAUGAUGGAUAAAUGUAUGGAAACAAAAAAAGGUUCGCUGGUGGUCUCCCAAGAGACUUCUAAGAUUACAUUAUCUCAGUGUGACUUUCAGCCUGCUGGUGCUUCAGCCUCCUAAGAGCAGGUAUCUCUCCUGCGGAGACUUUAUCCAGGUCACAGACCCGUGUAUGUACGGUCACCGCCUGUGGACGGCGAUCUGUGGUGGAUGAGCCUUCGAAGUAGCCAACAUGGGAGCUGAGAAGCCGUCAUCAUCAGGGCUUUUCUUGGUGAGCAAGGGAGUGUGAGAAACGAGAUAGUCGUGGGAAUCGGAUAUUUAGCAACACAGGUGAAUGUGGUAGACUGGCCACGUGCUCUGUUUUCUGCCUGGACUGAGAUCUCAGGGAGUUGACUGUAACGGGGCGGAGAGGUGACAACCGUAGAAGAAACUCGAGCGGGGCUUUGGAGGCCGGGACCACGGAGGGACCAGCGCUGGCCGACUCAGCAGAGCGGAGAAGACGGAACAGGGUGGAAGCAGGUAAGCAAGCAGUUGAAGAGCAGAGCCUGGGAAGGCACAGACGUGAAGCGCAGACGUGCUGUGGGAGCCGAGAACAGAAGUAUUUGAAAACCGGAGGAGCAGGGGUAGGGUUCCUGGGCUCCCGUCUCUGCUCCUGCGGCCAGGUGACUGCCGUUCCCCACGCUAGCAGAGGACUGGAGGUGUGUUUUCUAGAACCUUCAGUUGCGGACACAGUUAAGGGCAGGGGUGAAUGCUGUUACAGGUGCUGGGUGUGGAUUAGUGAUCUAAACAGACCAGAACAUCUCUGUUCCUGUGGGAGGAGUCGGACAAUAAACAGUAAUGCAGUGAAGUGAUAAUAGGAAGUCGUGAGUGCUGGGGGGGNNNNNNNNNNNNNNNNNNNNNNNNNNNNNNNNNNNNNNNNNNNNNNNNNNNNNNNNNNNNNNNNNNNNNNNNNNNNNNNNNNNNNNNNNNNNNNNNNNNNNNCAAAGGCCCUGAGACGGAAGGGAGGCUGAAGUAGCGAGGAGGUGAGUCGUCCGGAGGAGAGUGAGCUAGGAGGUCAGGCAUACCGAGGGGACACGUGACAGGCAGUGGCGAUGACGUGGGGCCUUGCCGACUGUCCUAAGGACUUGCUUUUUCUCAGAACGAGUUUGAGUACCAGGGUCUGACUUGCUCUAACAGAAUCGGGUCGGAGCGAGCACGCUGAGUUAAAGUACUCGGCCCACAGCCGGCUGCCAGGUCAUUCCCACCCCUCUCCCCNNNNNNNNNNNNNNNNNNNNNNNNNNNNNNNNNNNNNNNNNNNNNNNNNNNNNNNNNNNNNNNNNNNNNNNNNNNNNNNNNNNNNNNNNNNNNNNNNNNNNNNNNNNNNNNNNNNNNNNNNNNNNNNNNNNNNNNNNNNNNNNNNNNNNNNNNNGGACACGGGGGAGGGGGAGGAGGGUCUCUCCCAGGAAAGAAGCCAAAACAGACGGGAUUACGAAAAGCAUGUCAGAGGGACAGAAACAAUAAAGGAGCAAUAGCCCUUUCAAAGAAACUGUAGUUAAAAUCCUCAGAGAUAAGAGCAGACACUGUACCUGGGGAACAGCAGGUGCUCUUGGGUGUUGAAAGAUUCUCAGUUCNNNNNNNNNNNNNNNNNNNNNNNNNNNNNNNNNNNNNNNNNNNNNNNNNNNNNNNNNNNNNNNNNNNNNNNNNNNNNNNNNNNNNNNNNNNNNNNNNNNNNNNNNNNNNNNNNNNNNNNNNNNNNNNNNNNNNNNNNNNNNNNNNNNNNNNNNNNNNNNNNNNNNNNNNNNNNNNNNNNNNNNNNNNNNNNNNNNNNNNNNNNNNNNNNNNNNNNNNNNNNNNNNNNNNNNNNNNNNNNNNNNNNNNNNNNNNNNNNNNNNNNNNNNNGGGGGGGGGGGCGGGGACUGAUGUCUAGACUCCAAGUCGACAAGGUUGGGAGUUGUUCACCGUCCAGCGUGUACACGUACCACCUGGAGGUGUUUUCAUUGAAUCAUCCUCGGGUUGAGAAGAUGCAUAGAAAAGAGGCUGCAAAUUAGAAGGAAACAUGGUUUCAGGAAAGGAAUGUGAUGGCCAUUCUGGAAGGGAUGCCCCUGGGAAUGAUGGUUAGGGGCUAUUUAGUCCUAACAACCAGGCACUCAGUGCUAGUGAGGUGUGAUGUAAGUGUCCCGAGCAGGGCGGGACGCCUCGGAUGCCUACGUCCGCGUUGUCGCGUGCAACUUGAAAGUUCAUGCUUGAAAUAGAAAAACGUAGAAAGCACAGGGCGCCCGGCUGGCUCAGUGGGGGGAGCGUGCGACUCUUGAUCUCAGGGUUGUGGGCUCCAGCCCCACGAUGGGUGUGGAGCCUACUUAAAAAAAUGUAGAAAGCAGUAAUGAGCAUGUGAUCUGCAAACAGCGACAGAGACGGUGUAGCUGAAGAAAGGAGGGGCGGGGGCCACUUUUCUCCCCAUUUAGUGCCUUGUAGAGCUACUUUUAAGACUGUAAAUAGGUUGUUUUGAUAAAAAUAAAGAUUAAAUUUCAGAUAUUUAUUUUGAUUUAUUUUUUUUUUAAUGUUUAUUUUUGACAGAGAAACAAAGACAGAGCAUGAGCGGGGGAGGGGCAGAGAGAGAGGGAGACACAGAAUCGGAAGCAGGCUUCAGGCUCCGAGCUGUCAGCACAGAGCCCAACGAGGGGCUCGAACUCACAGACCGUGAGAUCACGACCUGAGCCCAAGUCGGACGCUCAACCGACUGAGCCACCCAGGCGCCCCUAAAUUUCAGAUAUUUAAAGGAACCCGGCUACAUCCUUUUCUGCAGUAAGGCCACAUUGGUCACCAGAGUGUGGCUGUCCCUGGGCCAAUGGGCCUGCCCUGUGGGACAGCCCAUCUCUUUUUUCUCGGCCCGUUGUUGACGUCCUGUUUUCUGAAUUAACACGUUUCUUCAGAGAUGUUAGUACAGCUGGUCAAGUCACAGCCGAGUGGCUGGGAAGGUUCUGCGUCUACGUUCUUGGUGUGUUUUGUGGUGACUUUGCAUUUUAAUCCCGAGGGACCCUGUCACCACCGACUUUGAAGCCAACGAUGGCUAUUUUAUCGUUACCCCAAUUGCUGGUAACACCUUCCACUAUAGAGAAGCCUGCAGACGGUCUGUCGUUCCGGCCAUUUACGUAUUCUAGGCUCGAAAUCCUGCAACUUCAGGGGUGGGUUGUUUUGUUUACUGUUUGGCUCUGUCACAAACGUGCCCAUCGUAGACCCUCAGGUGCAUGUGUCAGGAAGAGCAGAUUACGUGGUGUUUGAGAGCGUGGCUUCUGAAUUAGGUCAGCCUGGGCUUGAAUCCCAUCCCUGGCCCUCCUGGCUGGUGGCUCAGCCUCCUUCUAGAGCUGGUGUCCUUGUCUGUGUGGGGCAGGGACCCGUGCCAGAGACUGUCCACGGUGCGUGUCUGCCUGAUCGUGGGGCUGCCGCGGCCCCGUGCUCCGUCCUUCCACCGCCCCCCCUGCUUAUGAAGUAGGAGUCGGCCCUGUGGGCCCACGACUCGAGUGCGCUUCUUCAGCUCCCGUCUUUGGACGUGUUCUCACUCUUGGCCUCCAGUCGAUGCCAGUUAACACACGUUUCUCCGUCUCACCGUCUGUUGUUCCUGGGCUUCGUCACACUGUUCUUUCAAAGUCCGUUUACCACGCUGAAUGAGUAAUGUGGCAUUUAAAAGUAAUAUUUGUCUGGUGGGACGCGUGGCUCGCUCAGAGGGGUGUGCGGCUCAGGAUCUUAGGGUGGUGAGUUCGAGCCCCACGUCGGGUAUAGAGCUUACUUAAAAUCUUAAAAAGAAUAAUAUACAGUGUUAAUAAAGCCAUACGCCCUGAAUCUCUAGUAAUAUUGUAAUAUAGAUCACGUUACAACAGAAAUAUUUUUAAAGCAAAAAUUCUGCUUCUUGGGUGAUAGAUUUAUUUAUUUUAGGAAUGUUUGUUAUUUAACUUCUAGUACAGUGGGAAAAUGUUCACGUCCUUCACAAUGCAUUUUCCCUAUGAGGUCUUUUGACUGCAUUAAAAGAGAGUGGUAAUAAGAUAAUGUUAUAAUUUGUUUUUCUGAAAGGUUGAGCAACCCUUUCAAGACUGAGAUGUCCUCAAAGGUAGGAAUCUGUGUUCUAUGUAUCUUUGUCCGCUGACGUUUAGUAAAGUCCUAAGUGUUACCUGAGUGAUCACAUUCUUGAGUGGAUUAACUGUAGUGUUUUGUUUAUAACUUUUUAUUUUGAUAUAAUUUUGAACUUUAAGAAGAAUCACAGGGGCGCCUGGGUGGCUCAGUCGGUUGAGUGGCCGACUUCGGCUCAGGUCGUGAUCUCGCAGUCCGUGAGUUCGAGCCCCACGUCGGACUCUGUGCUGACAGCUCGGAGCCUGGAGCCUGCUUCUGUUUCUGUGUCUCCCUCUCUCUCUGCCCCUCCCCCGUUCGCGCUCUGUCUCUCUCUGCCUUUCAAAAAUGAAUAAAUGUUAAAAAAAAUUAAAAAAAAAACCUUUAAAAAAAAAAGAAGAAUCACAAAAUUAGUACAAGGAAAUGCCAUAUACUGUUUACCUAGAUUUACCAGUUAUUUGUUUUCUCUUUCUUUUUGUUUUUUUUUGUUUUUAUUUAUUUAUUUAUUUAUAUUUUAUUUUCUAGAUUUACCAAUUAUUUAGCACGGUUUACUUAUUUAUAUGUGCAUAACGUUUUCUGAACCAUUUGAGGAUAAGUUGCCAACAUCAUGCCCCUUUACCCCUGUGUCCUUCCAUAUGUAGUUCCUAAGGACACAUUCUCUCAUAAAACACAGCACACAUACCAAAAUCUGGAAAUCUAACCUGGAUAUAAUACUGUUUGGUCAUCUGCGGUCCACAUCCAGAUUUGCCCUCUGUCUCGAGUACGACAUCCAGUCCAGGGUCACACAUUGCAUGGCAGUUUCCUGUCUCCUUGAAUCAAAUCUGGAACAGUUCUGGAGUCUUUCUUCACUUUCUUGACCUUAGUUUACAUAUUUUGAGGAGGAGAGGUCAAUUAUUCUGUAGAAUUGACCUCGAUUUGGGUUUGUCUAAUGUGUUCUCAUGAUGAGAUUGAAGUGUCGUCAUUUUGGGGGGAAAGCCAAGGGAUGGUGUCGUGCCUUCUACAUCCUGUCAGUAGGCGGGCAAUGUCGGUACGAGUGUUACUGACUUACCCACCAAGUUUCUCCACUGUAAACUUACCGUUUUCCUAUUGUAGUUAAUACGUAAUUUGUGGAGAGAUAGUUUGAAGUUCUUAGUAUCUUCUUCCUCCUCAGACUUUCACUCCCUCCUUCUAGACUUCCAUAUUUAUUAGUUGGUAUUAUGCUCUAAGAAAGAGCUUCCUUUUCUUCCUUUUUAAAAUUUAUAUUAGUUCAAACUCAUAGAUUCUUACUGUAUUCAAGGAAUUAUAUUCCUUACUGUCCUUAAUUAUUUUGAUGGUUGAAUUAUUCCAGCUUUGGGCUGUGGGGGCCCUAGCUACAAACUGCCCCUCUGUCCUUUGGAUAUGUUUCCAUAAUUCUUCAAAGAUUUCUUAACUUUCGGUGGAACAAGAUGUUGUAAGUUCUUCAUGUACUUCUUUGCACCAGCCCCGGACACAGCCUUUCCUAGGGUGCUUUGGUUCCUUUUCGUGGAGAAUGGUAUUUUGAAACCAAGAUCCGGGUGUGCACAUUGCUACUAAUGUGUUGUUUGUUGUAGACCCUGUUAGGUCUCAGAUCUCUCAGACUGAGCCAGGAAAUAAUGUGUAUGUGUCUAUGCCCCCGUCCCGUCUGAGUUCAAGCUCUACGUGUAAGUGAAGGAUUCACAUCCCUACACUUCACAUUCAGCAGCCCAGGCUUCAUUCUAGUCUCCAGCAGUGGGAAACAUGGCUCAAGACAAUGUUUUGAGUCCCUAGUAUCUUGUCAAAGCCUUGGCAUAGGUGGUAAAUCCAUGUUUUAAGGAUUUGGAUGAAUGAAUGAGUCAAUAAAAUAGUUACGGUGUUACCUCUAGAUAUGUCCUCACUGCUGGGCCAAUGUUUGGCGUGAGGUGCACGUUCAGUAAAACUGUGUUGAACAAGUGGUUCAAGUGGUUCCUUCCCCUCCAGUAUCUUCAUGUUUUAUUUUCAAACCACGUGAGAAUAGGACUCCAUGUAAGUGUUCUUGUUUUUUUACCAUUUAAAGCUUGAACCCAGAUAAAUUAUUCAGUGAAUAUGAGCAGUCUUUUUCCAAUAAGAAAAAGUCAUAAAUAAAAAUAAAAUGGCUCUGGAAGAAAAACAGUUCUUUUGGGACGCCUGGGUGGCUCGGUUGGUUGAGCAUCCGACUUUGGCUCAGGUCACAGUCUUGCGGUUCGUGAGUUCGAGCCCCGCGUCCGGCUCUGCGCUGACGGCUCGGAGCCCGGAGCCUGCUUCGGAUUCUGUGUCUCCCUCUCUCUCUGCCCCUCCGUUGCUCACGCUCUGCGUGUCUCUCUGUCUCAAAAAUGAAUAACUGUUAAAUUUUUUCUUUGAGACAAACAGUUCUUUUGUUUGAAAAACCUGAGAUUUGGGCAGCAUCAAUUGAAAAGGUUUCCAUUUGUCUAAUUAAUAGAAAUUGUGGCUUUCAGAGUUUGGCACAGUUUUCACAUUUGUCAGCUCUGGCGACAUGAAAUGUGUUCUUCGUCUGAAUUCUCUUCCUAUGCCGCUGCUGUCAGACAAAAAGAAUUUCCAUGUCACUGCUGCUUGUUACUGAGCUGCUAUAAAAAAGGAUGCUUGACGAUAACUUAUGAGUAAGUGAUUAGAGAUUUCUGGUAACCUUCAGAUUGUUGCCAAAUUACAUUAACUGUGAGUAAUCUGGGGGGAAAAGCAGUCUCAUUCACCUAUGCUCUCAAAGGUUAUAGAUGUACAAUUUCAGACAGCCGUUAAUGACGUUCCCUUUUGAGGUGCAUUUUUUUCCCUUAAACCUCAGGAAAUAUGUUCUGCUUUUCUCUCCAUAUGAUUAAAACUAAUAAUUCCUUGCUCAUAAGUUCAUAUUUUAUCCCUUGAAACUUGUUUUGAAAACUGCUUCAUCCUUUUCUGUGUUUGAGUUUUCUGUUUACCCAAACUAUAUUAAAUGUGGCAUGUGCAUUGUAAGUUCUAGGAUUGAAUUGACUGUGGAAUUUCUAAUGAGUCGUAAUACCAGAAAGUAGGAAAGAAACAAGGGGGUGAGUUUUAUGUCAGGAAGUCUCUUCCAUACACUUGCCUGGGAGUUGAUUAUUUUUUUUGUUUUAAAGAAGUUUUCUUCCGGGGUACCUGGGUGGCUCAGUCGGUUAAGAGUCCGACUUCAGCUCAGGUCAUGAUCACACGGUUCGUGGGUUUGAGCCCCGCGUCAGGCUCUGUGCUGACAGCUCAGAGCCUGGAGCCUGCUUCGGAUUCUGUGUCUCCCUCUCUCUCUGUUCCUUCCCUGCUCUCACUCUGUCUCUCUCUCUCAAAAAUAAAUAAACAGUAAAAAAAAAUUUUUUUUAAUUAAAAAAAAAGUUUUCUUCCAACAUUUUCUUUAACCCUUUAUAGAAACAUUUAAGUUUUUUGUUUGUUACAUGUUUACACAUUUAUUUAAGUUUUCCACGCUGAUCAGGAGUGCUGGGAGUCUGCAUCUUCUAAAACUAAGAAAAAUCGAGACAGUUAAACAGCUCAGUCUUGAAAGCCCUUCCUGUUUGAAGAAAAACGAAAUCGCAGUUUACAUAGUCUUUUCUGAGAUUAAAUUUUGAAGGUAAAGUUUUAUGGUUUUCUGUCUUUUAAGUAUAGACAUACAAAGCCAAAAUCCCAAAAUUGUUGCUUAGAAAAUACUUAGUGGGUGGUGAGGGCUCUCCGGAGCCUGUUCUGGUUGGUCUCUAUAAAUAGAAAUUGCUAAAGCAUAGGGGCGCCUGGGGGCUCAGUAGGUUAAGCUUCCGGCUUGGGCUCAGGUCAGGAUCUCACUGUUCCUGGGUUCCAGCCCCGAAUCAGGCUCUGUGCUAACAGCUUGGAGCCUGGAACCUGCUUCAGAUUCUGUAUCUCCCUUUCUCCCUGCCCUUCCCCAGCUCAUGCUCUGUCUGUCUGUCUCUCUCUCUCUCAAAAAUAAACAUUAAAAAAAAAUUAAAUAUAUAAAAGAAAUCACCUAGGCAUCAGCCCGCAGUACUGAUGCACACAGGAACUACUCACUAUUAGAGGCAGGUACACUUGGCGAAUUUCCAAACAUGCCUUUGCACUUUUAGCCAAAGUUACUUUUUUGUUUUCUCUUUGAAUUUGCACCUGGGGGCCCCCUGCUGGAUUUAUGGUAAUGCCUUCUCUCCUCCAAGGAGCAGACCAGGAGCCAGAGCCACAUGUCCCUGGGCGGGGUUAGUGCAGGGAAGUCCUCCCUCAAGCCCUCUGCCCCUCUGCGCAGUCCUCCCUCUAGUCCUNNNNNNNNNNNNNNNNNNNNNNNNNNNNNNNNNNNNNNNNNNNNNNNNNNNNNNNNNNNNNNNNNNNNNNNNNNNNNNNNNNNNNNNNNNNNNNNNNNNNNNNNNNNNNNNNNNNNNNNNNNNNNNNNNNNNNNNNNNNNNNNNNNNNNNNNNNNNNNNNNNNNNNNNNNNNNNNNNNNNNNNNNNNNNNNNNNNNNNNNNNNNNNNNNNNNNNNNNNNNNNNNNNNNNNNNNNNNNNNNNNNNNNNNNNNNNNNNNNNNNNNNNNNNNNNNNNNNNNNNNNNNNNNNNNNNNNNNNNNNNNNNNNNNNNNNNNNNNNNNNNNNNNNNNNNNNNNNNNNNNNNNNNNNNNNNNNNNNNNNNNNNNNNNNNNNNNNNNNNNNNNNNNNNNNNNNNNNNNNNNNNNNNNNNNNNNNNNNNNNNNNNNNNNNNNNNNNNNNNNNNNNNNNNNNNNNNNNNNNNNNNNNNNNNNNNNNNNNNNNNNNNNNNNNNNNNNNNNNNNNNNNNNNNNNNNNNNNNNNNNNNNNNNNNNNNNNNNNNNNNNNNNNNNNNNNNNNNNNNNNNNNNNNNNNNNNNNNNNNNNNNNNNNNNNNNNNNNNNNNNNNNNNNNNNNNNNNNNNNNNNNNNNNNNNNNNNNNNNNNNNNNNNNNNNNNNNNNNNNNNNNNNNNNNNNNNNNNNNNNNNNNNNNNNNNNNNNNNNNNNNNNNNNNNNNNNNNNNNNNNNNNNNNNNNNNNNNNNNNNNNNNNNNNNNNNNNNNNNNNNNNNNNNNNNNNNNNNNNNNNNNNNNNNNNNNNNNNNNNNNNNNNNNNNNNNNNNNNNNNNNNNNNNNNNNNNNNNNNNNNNNNNNNNNNNNNNNNNNNNNNNNNNNNNNNNNNNNNNNNNNNNNNNNNNNNNNNNNNNNNNNNNNNNNNNNNNNNNNNNNNNNNNNNNNNNNNNNNNNNNNNNNNNNNNNNNNNNNNNNNNNNNNNNNNNNNNNNNNNNNNNNNNNNNNNNNNNNNNNNNNNNNNNNNNNNNNNNNNNNNNNNNNNNNNNNNNNNNNNNNNNNNNNNNNNNNNNNNNNNNNNNNNNNNNNNNNNNNNNNNNNNNNNNNNNNNNNNNNNNNNNNNNNNNNNNNNNNNNNNNNNNNNNNNNNNNNNNNNNNNNNNNNNNNNNNNNNNNNNNNNNNNNNNNNNNNNNNNNNNNNNNNNNNNNNNNNNNNNNNNNNNNNNNNNNNNNNNNNNNNNNNNNNNNNNNNNNNNNNNNNNNNNNNNNNNNNNNNNNNNNNNNNNNNNNNNNNNNNNNNNNNNNNNNNNNNNNNNNNNNNNNNNNNNNNNNNNNNNNNNNNNNNNNNNNNNNNNNNNNNNNNNNNNNNNNNNNNNNNNNNNNNNNNNNNNNNNNNNNNNNNNNNNNNNNNNNNNNNNNNNNNNNNNNNNNNNNNNNNNNNNNNNNNNNNNNNNNNNNNNNNNNNNNNNNNNNNNNNNNNNNNNNNNNNNNNNNNNNNNNNNNNNNNNNNNNNNNNNNNNNNNNNNNNNNNNNNNNNNNNNNNNNNNNNUAGGGACAGCACAGGGCCCACCUGGCACUCUGUUCACGUUUGAUAAAGAUCGUUUAAUAAAUGAGUGACCCUAAAGCUUUGGGGUUCCUUUUUAUAAAUUAAGAACCUUAAUCUAGAAAUGGAAUGGCUGAGGCGGAAAUGGGGCCACGUUUCUCCAUAGCCUUUCAACAGUUAGUACACUUUUUUUUAAAUUUAAGUUCUAGUUAGUGACCAUACAGUGUAGUGUUGGUUUCAGGAGUAGAACCCGGUGGUUCAUCACUUACAGAUGACACCAGUGCCGGUCCCAACACAUGCCCCCCUUGGUGCCCAUCCCCCAUGCAGCCCAUCCCCCACCCACCUCCCUUGUGGCAACCCUCAGUUUGUUCUCUGUGUUUAAGUCUCAUGGUUUGCCUCCUUUUCUGUUUUCAUCUUAUUUUACUUUCCCUGCCCCUGUGUUCAUCUGUUGUGUUUCUCAAAUUCCACAUGAGUGAAGUCAUGUAUUUGUCUUUCUCCAACUUAUUUCGCUUGGUAUCAUAUACUCUAGUUCCAUCUACAUUGUUGCAAAUAACAAAAUUUCAUUCUUUUUCAUCGCCAAGUAGUAUUCCAUUACACACACACACACACACACACACACACACACACACACACACCCCACAUGUUUAUCCAUUCAUUAGUUGAUGGACAUUUGGGCUCCUUCCAUAAUUUGGCUAUGGCGAUAAUGCUGCUAUAAACAUUGGGGUGCAUGUGGCCCUUCAAAUUAGCAUUUUUGUAUGCUCUGGAUAAAUACCUAGUAGUGCAAUUGCUGGGUUGUAGGGUAGUUCUAUUUUUAAUUUCCUGAGGAACCUCCACACUGUUUUCCAGAGCAGCUGCACCAGUUUGCAUUCCCACCAGCAGCGCACGAGGGUUCCCCUUUCUCCGCAUCCUCGCCAAUAUCUAGUGUUGCCUGAGUUGUUAAUUUUAGCCAUUCUGACACAUGAAAAGAUGCUCAACAUCACUCAUCAUCAAGGAAAUACCAGUCAAAACCACGGUGAGAUAUACUUUUAAAACAAAGUUUAUUUAUUUUGAGAGGGGGGUGGGGCAGAGAGAGAGGGAAAGAGAGAAUCCCAAGCAGGCUCCACACUGUCAGUGCAGAGCCUGAUGUGGGGACCGAACUCACGAACCAUGAGAUCAUGACCUGAGCUGAAAUCAAGAGUUGGAUGCUUAACCAACUGAGCCACCCAGGCUCAGCCACUUACUACACUUUUUAAAACAUUCGUUUUAUUAUUUUCAAGAUCUGUAGUAAUUGGAACUGAGCCAAAUAUGUAUACUAUGUGAUGUUUAGUUACACUGCUUCCAUAAAAUGACCAUUAUAGUUGUGAUUAGCAUAUUAUUUAUAAAUAGGUAAUUAUAAUGAUAUUAUGGAAGUACUUAAACAUUUUGCUUUCUUGAGUGGUUACAAUAUUUUUUCUUUCACUAUUUCUGCACUGUUUAAUUUGUUAGUAAACCCUUUUGUGGAAGUUAUUCAAAAGUCCUUUUAGUAAGUUAUCCUCUCUGGACUGUCAUAAAGUCUGCAUUCAUUGAGCAAUAUAGAAUCGUUGAUUCAGUGUGAACAGACUAGACAUUGUCCAGCUCAAGCAGUUCCUUAUUUAGAGGAGGAAACACAUCCAAGUGGUGAUGUAACUUCUCAGGGUCCUGUAGGUGCUUCACGUCGGAACUGCAGCUAGAGCCUGGGGGCUGUGGUUCCCUGUCCCGUGUGCCUUUCUUGUAAACCCUAGACCUCUAACUACCAGGUGACCUAAGCUAGUGUCUUGACGUGCAGCUUACCUGGGCGGUGCAUUGGAUGUGUCAGAAUAUGAGACGUUGAGGGGCAGCCGUACACGUAAAAGUGGUUUAGCAAAGCAGCUUUUCUCUCCCUGCUCGUGCUCACGGUGUGUGUCUGUCGCAGAGGGUUGAUGAGAGGGAGCCUACGGGGAAAGGGUUGGGGGUUGGUGGACACUUGAGGAGGGGGACGUACCCAUCAAGAGAAGGGCGAGUGAAAAGUGCGGGGCAUAAAGGAGGCUGCGUCCACACCGAGCAGUUCCGCCGGCCUUAGAGAGAUGGCGUGAGCUCUGCGUCUGCGGAUGAAAGGCAUCACCGGGACGGCAGUGAGUAUGUGCGGUGCAGAGCAGUAUGUGUCAUGUUCCCAAAAAUGAGAGAGGACCCUGCUUAUGUGUGUUAUACGUUACAUGGAACACGUCUCUAUGUAUGAGGAAUGUGGGCUUACAGGCACGCAUAGUGGGCUGUGUGUGAGAUGUUUCUAUAGGUGAUGUGAACGAGCCCGGAGGGGUAGUCGGGCUGUGAGCACUGAUUGUCUCGGGGAGUGGGAUUUGGAAACAUUGUUAACUGUUUCUUUGUUUAUGGUUAUGUUGCUUACUUCAUUACGAGAAGCGUCUAUUACUUUUGCUAUUCACAAUACCUAACAAAUACAGAUUAAAAUCAGCCGAUAGCAUUGGUAUAUUUAUGAUGCUUUAAAAUAUGGGAUACUUCAUGAAUUUGUAUGCUGUCUGUAUGCAGGGGCCAUGGAAUCUUUUCUGUGUUGUCCUAAGUUUAGCGUAUGAGCUGCUGGAGCAAAGUUGUUGUUGGUAGUGGGUUUUUGGUUUGUUUGUUUUUUUUUUUUAAUCGAAGUCAGCUAGUGGACUUUCCCAUCGAAGAAAUACCCAGAUUACCUGACUCCUGACUGGCUGACUUGGAUGGUUUCUAAUGCACUAAAAUUCUUCAGUAACAGCAUAUUCAGAAAGGAACAUCGUGAGGAUAAUUUUCAGAUGUGCUUUCCCCUACGAUCAAAGUUUCCAAAUGCUUAUAUUCUUGAUUCUAAGCAUUUUCGUCUUAUUUUACUUCAUAAUCUGUUGUAUUUAGCAAUGAGCUGAUUACUAUAGUAUAUUUACUAAUGAAAGAUGAAUAUUGUUUCCAUGUGAAACCAAGGCUAAUAAAUUCUAACACCCAUGAUUCAAUUAAGACUCAAACCUUCCUUUUGUCAAGAAACGAAUUGCGUGAUGGAAUUGCAAUUUUUAUUUAGAAAGAGAACAAAAUAAACUGUUUGCAUUUUGCAGAUUUCCUUAAAUUCUAAGACCCUGAGUCUUCAACACCUCUUCUAAGUGCAGAUACCCUUGUAAUUUUCCAACACCAGGGACGCCUCAGGUCCUAAGAUGUUUGUUUUAAAUCACAGUUACUAAUAAAAGAAAAAUAUUUUUGAAUGUAAAUAUUUUCUGGACGUUUGUUAGUCAUAGGUUUUAUGUAGUACUAACAAAGCCAUUAUUGACAUAAAACUUAAAAACUAGUCAAUUUUAAAACUCCCGAGAAAAAUACCAGGAACAAUUUGAGUGUAUUUGGGACAGAGAAAACAAAAUACUAAUGCUUUUCUUGGCUGAGGUCUGUGUGCUAUCAUCAGUUGGUCUCGUGGCAGACUUUCAUUUUUUCAUUAAAGUAGCACAAAAUUAGUAUCUUAGAAGACCAUGAGAGUGUAACCAAGACCUGAUUCAAGCAAGGAUGUCAACAGGGGUUCUUUCUCUCCAAGGAGCUAGUAAAGCCUGUGGAAACUGUGACCGGCUGAUCUAGAAGCUCAUAACUUUGAGGGUUAGUUGACUUUGGCUAUAAAAGAACCAAAUAAAUUACACAGGGUGGAACUACUACAGAGAAAAACACAGAGGUCUCAUCUUCUCCUUGGUCUUUGUACCUUUUGAGAUGCAAGUAACUAAAUUCACACAGUAGCUUUUCAGAUGAAGUUGUUACAAGAGCCCUUCAUCCCGCUGCUGCCCGCGGUGAACACAGCUCUGAGUGAGGGCUCGACCGUCACCAGGCCAGAGGAAACCAUCACUGUGGUUUCCUGGUUUUGUGGAGGGUGCGGUGGAAAUAGAAGGGGGGGAGAGAAUCCUGGGCUUUUUAUGGGGUGGGCUGCUGGGGCAUUUAUUUAGCUUUGGGUCUUGCACUCAUGGAGGGCCUUAAAUUUACCUUUUUUGCAUGAUCUCCAACUAAGGGUGUCUGUGUAGAUGUAUGUUUUUUUUGUCUCUGUGUUGAAAAUAUUAAAAUAUAGAAUAUACGUUACUCUAAGUCUCUUUUGACGCCCCCACCCCCUCCAUAUCCGUGGAGCCUAAAAACAGUAUGAGUUUCGUGUGGCUUCUUAAAGGGCCAAAGACUAUUUAAGCAGGAAAUAGCGUCAGAAAACAGUUGUUAGAUGCUUGUUAUUGUGAAUUAAAAUGAAGGGCUCUUGAUGUUGCAUUUUAAGAUACGUUCAUGAUGCUGAAGUUGCCUGGAAGAAAAAAAAUAUGUGAACAUAGCCAGGAGAAUUCUGAAAAGGAAAGUCACCUGUCCAUCUGACGUGGUCUGUCAGAGAGCAGAAGGGGAUAAUGACCUCUUAGGUUGUCGUGAGAAUGAAAAGGUAUUUUUUACUUAAAAUUCUUAGGAUAGUGUCUGAAACAGAACAAACGUUUAAUAAAUUUCCUGGUUUAGAUACUUGCUUUAUUUCAUAAACCUUUAUCACUUGCUCCGUGUCUGUGGGGAGGUCGAUCGGUGAUGAUGGGGCAAGAGUGGAGUAGAUAAUGUGAUGUAGAUGUUUCAUCUUUAAUAGAGUCAAAGUCAAGCAGGUUCCCGCACGUUGGUGAGCAGUUUUGCCCACGGACCCUUCUUGCCGGCGAUCUCACUUCUUAGUAGUGCAAGAGUUGGGGGCGCCGACUUCCCACACAGUCGGAAGUUUGUGUAUAACUUGCGACAACAAAAAACUUAACUACUAAUAGUUGACCGGAAGCCUUACCAGUAACUUGUCAAUUAACACAUAUUUUGUAUAUGUGUUGUAUACUAUACUCUUACAAUAAAGUAAGCUAGAGAGAAGAAACUAUGAGAAAAUCGUAAGGAACAGGAAAUAUCCUCACGGUGCUGCCCCGUAAGGCACCUGUGUAUCGGACCCGUGCAGUUCAGACCCGUGUCGGUCAAGGUCAGCUGUACGCUGGAGAAUCGUCUCCGCGUGUUGAGGAGACAGACGCAAGGAAGUCCAUUAGGGCGCGGUCGUAGUUGUAAAACACCAAAACUCCUAACUGUCCAGCAGAGCUGUGUGUGAGCUGGGUCUCAGAAGCAGCAGCCCGCGGACGUUUCGGACCGGCGGACGUGAUGGGACGGCACUUGCAGGAGGUCUGAGGGAGUGCAGAACAGCUCACCCGUUGUGUAUGGACGCACGUGGAGGCCUGGCGUAAGACGUGCUUGGAAAUGAAAACCCUGGUUCAGGAGAGCGGUCACCUCUUCGGAGCGAAGAAAGGGAAUGGGGUCCCAGUCUGUUCUGUUCCGCAGGGGAACCCACUGCCUGUAAUGGUUCAUGAAGAAAAACGGGCAGGAAGACAACAUUCAGACAUUUUCAUAAAGCUGGGAGGCGAGGGCAGGGCCACUCGCCGUGUUAGUCUCUCUCUCCUUGCUUUGAAACGUUUCCCAUGCACACAAAUGAGGUAAGUAUGUGGAGAUCCUGUAAAAGCAGGAGAGGGAGAGAGAGUGUGGCCUCUGGAGGCUGAGACGCUGGUUUUUCCUCUCUGUGCUGGUGGCUUUACCUCUCCGAGCUCGUGACCUCAUCUCUAAAAUAGGGACGGGGCGCCUCGGUGACUCCGUCGCUUAAGCGUCUCACUCUUGGUUUUGGCCCAGGUCAUGAUCUCACGGUUCAUGACUUUGAGCCCCAGGUCGGACUCUGUGCUGACAGCACAGAGCCUGCUUGGGAUUCUGUCUCCCUGUCGCUCCCCGCCCCUGCCCCUCCCCCCUCAAAAUAAAUACGUAAACACUAAAAAAGAUUAAAUAGGGGUAGUAAUAUCUCUAUGACACUUUGUUAGGAAUUAAGAGCUUACCUAAAGUGCCUUUUAUAGCUGUUGGUGCAGAAGUUCCAAGAGCUGGGAAUAAAUACUGUCUGAGCAACAGCGGACGUUGUCCGUGCCCUCACAUAACUUUAGAGUCUAGUGGGGGAGACAGAGGGUCAGCUAUCAGUCAGACACGUGUAAGUGACACCUGUAAUCUGUGUCUUAAGGACAAGUGCAAGGCACUGUGAUUCCCUUCUUCCCUGAGACAUGCCUGAGGGCUGGGCUUUGAAGAAAAAGCAGGAGCUCAGUGCAGAAGAUGGGGUAGAGGGGUCCAGCCCGAAGGAACAGCCCGGAAGUGCUGCAGGAGGGCGCCAGGCCAGUAGGAGUUCCCGAGAGGAGGCCGAGGAGGCCGGGGGUGGAGUGGAAGUCCCAGGGGAAGGGCCGGUGCCCAACAGCACUGAAGACCAGGCACGGCCGGGUCUGCAGCUCUCUGAACGCUCCGCCGGGUAACUUGGGGUGUGAGGAGGGCAGUCAGUGGAGGACACUGGUAGACCGGAGUCCCUUAACAUCAGGGUGAGCAGAAGAAGCUCUGGGAGGACGGUUCGGAAGCAGCUGUAAACAUGGGACGUUGUUAGGAAGUCCUACAAGUUGGUAGCUGGGUGGCCCAGAAGAGUCCGUUUAGGUCGUUGCUUCAAACGAGACGAGAAUUGAGAGGCAGAAGCUGCAUCCACAAACCAGUGGGUAGUCUUUCUCAUCAUCCACGUGAUCGGAAAAGAGUUCUGGUCCUCUGUCAGUGCUUUUUGCCAGUAGCUGUUCACCUGGAAGGUCACCAUCUUUGAACCCAGUAAGAGUGCUUUGCCGCAUAGAUUCUUCAGUUUACGCUGUUCUGCAGACACGACGUUAAAGCCUAAAAUGGAUGGUGAAAAAUACCAAGGAACUUGACAGUAUUUUGAAUGGAUUCCUUUAGGUACAACCACCGUUGCCCAAAUAACCGGUGAUAGGCCCACCCGUUCUCACCGCCAGACGAAAUGUUUAAUACAUUAAUGUUUUAAGUGUUUUCCACACAUUAAUGAGUUAAACGGACACCUGUUGAGGGUUUACUAGUCUGCCCAAAGCUCCACGCCGUGCGUCCCGUGGUGGGUGAUCAGUAAAUGACUUCGUUGGUGCGGUGGACCUGCUCCCCUUGGUUUCUGGGGCAUUUCAGGGGUCUCUUCCAGCAACGAAGGGGCGGCCAGAAAUAGAGCAGAAGGAGAGAAGGUGGGGGGCCUGGGCUUCAGACACUGGUUAGUAAGAGAAGUCAAUCUCAUGCCUCAUCGGUCCCAUUUAAAGGGUGCUAAGGAACCAACUCAGUCUGAAAACCAGGGGGAAAGGAAAGAACCAAGGACUUCAAGUGUAAGUUAAAAAAAAGACAAGACAACAACCAGAGAAGUACAAAGAGCAACAUUUUUAAAUAAACGUUUACCGUAAAAUUCUGUUAUGGGAAUGGACCUUUAUAUAACUGGUUCCCUGUUGAUGGAGAAUUUGUUUCUGUUUUCUCCUUCUCUUCCUCCUCCUCCUUGAAUCCACAGACGGUACUUGUUUCUGUUAUUUUGAUGAACUUUAGGUUAGUCACAGGGUAAACUGUGGCAAUGGGACUUCUGGGUUAGAAGGUAUUUUUAAAGGUGUAGUAAAGAUAUUAAUAAACCCCACCGUGUUGUCCUCUGGAAAGGUCACCCCACCUUGUCACCCCACACACUUUUAUAUAAAUAUAAAUAAAAAUAUCUCUUUGUCUUUUUUUUUAAUGUUUAUAUUUAUUUUUGAGACAGAGACAGAGCAUGAGUGGGGGAGGGGCAGAUCGAGAGGAAGACACAGAAACUGAAGCAGGCUCCAGGCUGUCAGCACAGAGCCCGACGCAGGGCUUGAACUCGUCAACCGUGAGAUCGUGACCUGAGCCGAAGUCGGACACUCAUCCAACUGAGCCACCCAGGCGCCCCAGGGGUGUUGCAGUCUUAAAGCUAGCCUAGGUGAAGGUUGAAGCAGCAUCAGAGUGCUGUGAUCUGAAUGUAAUUUAGUUUUGAGUAAAUUAAUUUGUAUUAAUUUUUUUUAACUUCAUAUUUUUUGGCUAAUGCUUUUUAUUCAUUUCUAAUCAGGAGUCUUUAAAUUUAAUGCUUUGGUUGGUCCAAGGUGCACUGGGCUUCCAUUAUACUUAUGGACAUGUGGCUUCACAAGGAGGCACAGUGGGUGUUACAGGAAGGUCUCGGGCAGGAGCUGGCUAUAUGGUGUGCCCCGAUCUUUUCAGCACAGAAACCCCAGAGGAGAGAUGGGGUUUAUAAUGAGCGCUACAGCACGUUACAGAUAAAGUGUUUUUGUAGACUCUACAGUCAUGUGGAAAUACAAGGUUAUACUUCUUAUAAGCUUACUUACUUUUGAAAGCAAAAACCUUUAAUUAAAUGUUCUUUUUAAAAACUUGUUUUUUCCUUUUCCUAAGUUUUUUUUUUUUAACGUUUAUUUGUUUUUGAGACGGAGAGAGACAGAGCAUGAAUGGGGGAGGGUCAGAGAGAGAAGGAGACACAGAAUCCGAAACAGGCUCCAGGCUCUGAGCUGUCAGCACAGAGCCCGACGCGGGGCUCGAACUCACAGGGUGUGAGAUCAUGACCUGAGCUGAAGUUGGACGCUCAACUGACUGAGCCACCCAGGUGCCCCUGAAAAAAUUUUUUUUAAUGUUUAUUCAUUUUUUUUUUUUUUUGAGAGAGAGAGUGAGACAAAGUGUAAGUGGGGGAGGGGCAGAGAAAGAGGGAGACACAGCAUCCGAAGCAGGCCCCGGGCUCUGAGCUGUCAGCACAGAACCCGACGCAGGGCUCGAACUCACAAACCGCGAGAUCAUGACCUGAGCCGAAGUCAGACUCGUAACUGACUGAGCCACCCAGGUGCCCCUGGAAUAGAUUUUUGAGUGAGCACCUUCAUAAAUGCUUAUGUGUGUUUGUGUAUUCAGCAUGUGCACAUGGAAUGAGAAUGUUUGGCCAAAUUAAAACAUUUAAGAAGGCAGUUAACUCGGUUCGUGGGUUCGAGCCCCAUGUCGGGCUCUGUGCUGACAGCUCGGAGCCUGGAGCCUGCUUUGGAUUCUGUGUCUCCCUCUCUCUCUGCCCCUGCCCCACUCACAUACUGUCUCUGUCUCUCAAAAAUAAAAUAAACAUUAAAAAAAGAAAAAAAAAAGAAGGCAGUUAAAAAAAGAAGGUGCUUGGCUGGUCCUGUCAGCAGAGCAUGGGACUCUUGAUCGUGGGGCUGUGAGUUCAAGUGCCACAUUGUGUAUAGAGAUUGCUUAAAAAUAAAAUCCUAAAAGAAGAAAAAAGAAAUUUUGAGGUGAGGACUUUAACAAUUAGCAUUUAGAAAAACAGCAAAUACAUUCUUUUCUAUAGAAUUAGAAUCUUGGCAAAUCUUUAAAGGAGCUUUGCUACAUGAACAUACGAGGAACCUGUCUGAUUUCUUUCUGAGACUGAUGUGGAGAAGUUUCAGGAUUUCUUAAUGUUUUCCAUUAUGAUCUCUUUACCAUAUGUGUUCAUGUUGUGAGAUAAAAAACUUGUACAUUGCAGGGGCGCCUGGGUGGCGCAGUCGGUUGGGCGUCCGACUUCAGCCAGGUCACGAUCUCGCGGUCCGUGAGUUCGAGCCCCGCCUCAGGCUCUGGGCUGAUGGCUCGGAGCCUGGAGCCUGUUUCCGAUUCUGUGUCUCCCUCUCUCUCUGCCCCUCAUGUUCAUGCUCUGUCUCUCUCUGUCCCACAAAUAAACGUUGAAAAAAAAUUAAAAAAAAAAAAAAACUUGUACAUUGCAAAUCACAUAAGAUUGCAAAUAAAUAUUACAACGUUAUUUUCCUCAUCUUUUACGAUUUAGCCUCUCAAUUUAAUUCCUCCUUGCAGGCAUGUGAAUUUUCCUUUACUACUAGAUGGCUCUUCCAGUCGCCUGCACCACAAAGGAGCUUUUUCUCUCUCUAGUGUCGUAUCCUGGGAACGGCAGGGAUUUGGAAGAACCCUGCAACAGAGGCAGAAGGAGGAGAUUUGAGUUUCGUGGGGUUUUGUCUUGCCUGCAUUACAUUUAAAAGUAUCUUUGUCCAGAGAGGGAAGAAGAAAUACUGCAGAUUUGCAGGUUAAUGUAAUGGGGCUAAAGUCUUCUCUUUGUAACUUUGUGAAUGGAGAAGAAUAUUCUCUGUAUGUUUCCUUUCUUCUAGUUUUAAAACUUCCUAAAUAUUUCACUUUUAGGCCGUUUCCCACUUGUCUGAUUUGGUUUUGUGUGGAAUUUGACAACAGAGAAGACAUUUUGUGGAAUCAUAUAAACUUACCUUGCUGUGAGAGGUCACACCUGCCGCAAACAAACGAUGCCACAACUGAGAACGUGUUAGACGCCAGCGUAGGGUAUCUGUAAAUAUUCAGAAGUUAAUACAUGGGGAGAAGUUAAAAAUGUUAUUAGAGAAGAGGAAAAGGAUACACUUUUCACAAGACUUUUUCAGAAAGAAUGUUGAGGUCUGUCACGUGUAAAGACUUCAGUAAGAUUAUGAUUGGACCAGCCUUUAGGAAAGGUCUGUGUAUCCGUAUAGCAAAAAGACUUGUGGGAUAGUGCCAUGAAGUAAAGAAAGGCAAGUUAAAAUAGGACAGGAGAGUAAUUUCACGUUGUUUUCUGAAGAAGAUAAGGCCCGGUACUUGUCAGGUUGAGGGGUGCAGAGCGCAGCUUGAUCGUGUAAUUCUAAAAGUACACUUGUAAACGUACCUUAAGUACAUUCCUACCCUCCGACCCGGUCGUUCGAAGCAUAAACAUUUAUGAUAAGAAAAUAAUUUAAAAGACUUAAAUACAGUUGCAGCAGAAACCAAGGGUGUACAUACGUACAGAGCUUUUUAUAGAAACGUUACAUUUUCCAGAAUAAAGACCCUGUGUUCGUGGCACAGAGAUGGACGAUCACCAGAGUCCCGUGCCGUGGCUGCUCAGCUGUACGCGUGCACGGGUCUGUUAAUUGUGCACGGGUAGUUGUACAUCUGCUUGCGAGGGGCAGUCAAGGCUCCGGAAACGUGCGCCCUGGAGGGUUUCGGUUCUGUGUUCACACGAGGAGACUGGGCAGUCUGCUGGUUUCACUUACAAGUCGGCAGACACAGAGUACGUGAAUGGCACAGCCGUGGAGUCAGUCCCACUUUGUGUGGAGAGGGGGGACUCUGACCGUGGGGGAAGCCUCCAGAGUGGAGCUCUGUGGAGGCGGGGACCCGUCCUGCCUUGCGCGUCUCGGCGUUGCCGUCGAGGACCUGCUCUCAGCAAAUGAUCAGUGUUUCGUCUGGUACCCUUUUCUCUAAAUUCUGGUUGCUGAUUCGGGCUUCUAAACCCCUGUUAGGUGACCGCAUCAGAAUCACUCGAGCCCAAUUCUGGGGCACCUGGGUGGCUCAGUCGGUUGAGCGUCCAACUCUUGAUUUCGGCUCAGAUCAUGAUCUCACUGUUAGUAAGUUGGAGCGCUGCAUCAGGCGCUGAUGGUGUGGAGCCCGCUUGGGAUUCUGUCUCUCCUUUUCUCUGCCCCUCCCCACUUGUGCGCGCUCUCUCUCUCUCUCUCUCUCUCUCAAAAUAAAUAAAAAUUUUUUUUAAAGUACUCAUGUGGGGGCGCCUGGGUGGCUCAGUCGGUUAAGCGUCCGACUUCGGCUCAGGUCACGAUCUCACGGUCCGUGAGUUCGAGCCCCGCGUCGGGCUCUGUGCUGACAGCUCGGAUCCUGGACCCUGCUUCCGAUUCUGUGUCUCCUUCUCUCUCUGCUCCUCCCCUGGUCACGCUCUGUCUCUCUCUCAAAAAUAAAUAAACAUUAAAAAAUUAAAAAAAAAUUUUUUUUUAAAUAACAACUUCCUAGGUCUCCGUUCCCUGGAAUUCUUAUUCCUUCGUGUGGGCCUUUAUUUCUCCAAGUUUUUAUUUCAAAAUAAUUUUAAACCUUCAGAAAACUCAGAGAGUUCCCCUUGACUCUUCACCCAGCUUUUCUUCCUGUAACCCGAUGAGACUGUAGCCCAACUGUUCAAACGAGGAAACGAACACUAUCAAGAUACUAUUAACUGAUCUGUGAGCCUUGUUUGAAUUCUGCCAGUUUUCCCAUUUAUAUCCUUUCUGUGGCCCAGGAUCCGAUCUAGGAUCCCACGCUGCACUGAAUGGUCUUGCUCUCCGGGUCUCUCACAACAUGUGCUCAUAGCUCUUCAGUUUCUUUCUUCCGCAACCUUGGUAGUUUUGAAGAGCGAGCUUUAGUUUCUGGUCAGUGUCCCUCAAUUUGGGCACGUGUGGUGUUUUCUCAUGACUGUAUUGCGCUUAUGCCACAGGAGAGAGCUGUGCACGUGCCAGUACAUCACAUCAGGGGGUGUAUGAUGUCAGUAAGUCUUGUUACCGAUGGUACUAACUUUGAUUACUUAGUUAAUGUUUCUGCACAGCGUUUUUACUCUGUAAAGUAACUCUUUUUUCCUUUGUUAUUCAGCAUCUCGUGAGGAGAUCUUUGCAAAUACCCUGUUUCUCAACAAAAAUUACCUCGAGGCGGAAGGACCAUAGUAACACUUGCUGCAUUCAGGAGCAUCAGUGAUUCGGCUUUCAAAUACCCUGCUUUCCUCAUCGGGGUUGGGACUCUUCCGUGCAACAAGUGUCACUAUGGAAUUGGCUUGAUUUUCUAUUUUGACUGCUCCGUCUACUUUCAGUAGUUGGGAAGCCACCGUAAGAACUGCCCCUUUCCCUCACUUACUUGUUUAUAUUCCUGUGUCCCUGUGAGUAUUUGUUGCGCGGGUUUCCGUCCGUCACCGUCACUUGCUCACUUUCCUGCUGCAGUCGUUGCAGCCUUGGCUGUCGGGAGCUCCUCUGAGUUAGCUUCUGUCUUCUUUCCAUAUUUCCUUAAAAAAAUUUUUUUUUAAACAUUUAUUUAUUUAUUUUUGAGGCAGAGAGAGACAGAGCAUGAACGGGGGAGGGGCAGAGAGAGAGAGGGAGACACGGAAUCCGAAGCAGGCUGCCUCCACGGUCCCGUCAGUCAGCACAGAGCCUGACGCGGGGCUCGAACUCACGAACCGUGAGAUCGUGACCUGAGCCGAAGUCGGCCGCUUAACCGACUGAGCCACCCAGGCGCCCCUCCACAUUUCCUUUGUUUUCUAGCACGUACGUGCUUUGAAUCAUCACAAGAUAUCCCAGGCUCCAGGCUCGUCUUAGUUUUACCUGCAAUGGCUCUCAAGUUCCAAGGGUCCCGGGUUUCUUUUACCAGAAGGUGGUGUUAGAAACCAAGGUCGGGGGCUGAACGUGCUCCUUGCUGCUGGGGUGUUAGUGCUUGGAGGCCCUUGGCGUGCACAGGGCUAGUAAGCACACGUGCGUGUGCCAGCACGUCUGCGUGCACACAUCUGUUUCUGUACCUGUUGAGAUACACGUAUCUCUCUCUGUGUAUAUUUACACACACACAACCGUGAGUUUGUGAGUUCUUAUCUCUGACUCGGAUCCAGUAGGACACGGUUCUUCCUAACCUUCCCCCUUCUCUUACCUGUGACCGUUUUCUCCGGCAGCGAGAAACUUGGCUCCCACUGUCUGCAAUAUAUUUUACUUGUUCACACCGUGUGUACACAAAGAGCAGUGACUCUACCUGGAGGCAGUUUUGUCCCCAGAGGGCCAUUUGGCAAUGUAUAGAGACAUUUUCAGUCUUCACAACUCAGGUGGGGGAGUCUAAUGGCGUCUAGUGAGUAGGGGACCGCCUGUACGCGCAGGACAGGACGAAGAAUGAAAUGGACCACAAUGCCAGCAGUGCCGAUGUUGAGAAACCUUGAAUGUCCAGUAGUUUCGGAAUGGUCGUUUACCCCUGUGAAAAAUAAAUUUCCUGGGGCGCCUGGGGGACUCCGUUGGUUAAGCUUCUUUCUGACGUUGGUUUCGGCUCAGGUCAUGAUCUCACGGUUCGUGAGGUUCAGCCACACGUGGGGCUCUGUGUUGACAGUGCAGAGCUUGCUUGGGAUUCUCUCUCUCUCCCUCUCCCUCCCUUUCUCUCUCUCUCUCCCUCUCCCUCCCUUUCUCUCUCUCUCUCUGCCUUUCCCUGCUCAUGUGCAUGCUUUCUCUCUCCCUCUCAAAACAAAAACACAAAAAACAAACAAACAAAAAAAACACAUAAAAAUGAAUAUACUAAGUGGCAUAUAAUAUUGGUGUAGUUAUUUUUUUCUUUAGUCUUACAGCAUUUAUUCAAAACAGUGUCAUCCAGCGUUUACUAAGGUUCGUUCCUUCCCCCACUUCCUUUAGUAUGGUUGUUACUCACUUAGGAUACAGUUAGGGUCACGGUUACUGUUUGUACUCAGUUGGGGUUUGACUGAUUGAAUAUGUGAAACAUCACGGUUCUAAAAGAGCCCAGGGCGUCUGGGUGGCUCAGUCGGUUAAGCGGCCGACUUCAGCUCAGGUCACGAUCUCACAGUCCGUGAGUUCAAGCCCCGCGUUGGGCUCUGUGCUGACCGCUCAGAGCCUGGAGCCUGUUUCAGAUUCUGUGUCUCCCUCUCUCUCUCUGACCCUCCCCCGUUCAUGCUCUGUCUCUCUCUGUCUCAAAAAUAAAUAAACGUUAAAAAUAAAAUAAAAUAAAAUAAAAUAAAAUAAAAUAAUAAAAAAAAAAAAAAUAAAAAUAAAAAAGAGCAGUACACAAAGAUCCGCUCCCAAGGUGGGAAUCUGUUUUCACAAGGUCCCCAGAUGAUUCCAAUACUCACCUGUUCAGAACCGACGGUGUAGCUUAUGGGCUUUGAAGUCAGACCUGAAUUUAAACCCAGUCUCUUACCAGGUAUGUAAUGUCAGGUAGGUCCCUUUCAACCUCUGAGCCUGUACUUCCAAGGGUUGUUGUGACGAUAUGAAAACAUACAUGCAGUGCUCGUCACAAUGCCUGCACACGGCACCCAGGUGAGAGCUGAUCUCGUUCUUUCACGUAUCCAUUUAACAAGCAAGUUGUGUUGCUGCUGUGUCCUGAGGCCCCAUACUGCUUCCUCAUGAGGCCGAAUAACGAAGACGCUGUUCGUGCCUUUGAGUAGUUCACCUUCUAGGGAGGUUCUUGGCGGUUUUGCAGAAGGUACAAUGGCCAUUUCCUACAUUGAUGUGCGAUAUAAGAGACUAGGAUAGUAAUAAAUCAUGAUUUUAUGGAAGCUUGUCCCUAGAAAGCCUCACUGGUGCAGACUGUGUGUGCACUUGUCUGGUGAGCUAUCGUGGUAAGAAACAACAAUCUAGAGACACAGGUAGUAUGUGUCUCAGACUCUGUCAGAUAGAAGACAUUCCAGGCUUCUAAGGAUGUCUAGAUACCAGGCCAUUUGAGUGAAGUUGAAUUCUGUAGUGAGUGUCUGUAGUCCGAUGUUUAGCGUUCUUAGAUACCAGGCAUUCAAGUGAUUUUUUAAUGAGUGCUUUUCAAUUUCAUUAUGUGUACAGAUCAUCUGGGGAUUUAGUUAAAAAGCAGAAUCAGAGUCAGUAGAUGUGGACGGGGGCCUGGGAAUCUGCACUUAUACCAAGCUCCCAGCAGAUGUAGUUGGCCGUGGGUCCCACGUUGAGUCAUGAGAGUUAUUGCACAACUUUGAAAUUGUAUUUUCUGGCUUUCGGUCCUAGUUCUUGUACUUACUAGACAGGCGCCUGUUAGGAGUGGCUAAUUUCACUCUGCAUGUUGUAUGAUGUUAUUAGCUAUCGAACUCAACACAGGUAACAAUUAACAUUUUAAAUUAACAACGUGAAGACAAGCCUCCAACAACUAAUUGGUAGAAUCGACAGACGAGUGUCAUAAUUUGGUGUUGCAGCUAAGGAUGUCCUUCUUCCAUUUGAUCUACAUUUUAUCUGUGAGACUCCCCCCCCCCCCCCCCCCCCCCCGCCCCCAUUGUGACAGCCACUGACACGGAUACCUAAAUAAACGAAAAUUAGGACCAGAGUUUUGUUUUGUUUUGUUUUUUUCAACGUUUAUUUAUUUUUGGGACAGAGAGAGAGCAUGAACGGGGGAGGGGCAGAGAGAGAGGGAGACACAGCAUCGGAAACAGGCUCCAGGCUCCGAGCCGUCAGCCCAGAGCCCGACGCGGGGCUCGAACUCACGGACCGUGAGAUCGUGACCUGGCUGAAGUCGGACGCUUAACCGACUGCGCCACCCAGGCGCCCCCGUUUUGUUUUUUUAAGUAAGCUCUAAGCCCAACGUGGGACUUGAACUCACGACCUGACAGCAAGAAUUGCCCGCUCUACUGACUGAGCCGGCCAGGUGCCCCAGGACCAGAAGUUUUAAAAAAUAUAUACGUAUGUUAACACUGCUCUCACUAUAUUCAUGUAUAAAUAAUAAAUAAAAAAUGUUUUAGUGGAACAGUUUUCGAACUACCAAUAAAUGAAAGAGAAUAAUGUAUUAUUUACAUUAUCCUGUUAAAUUUUCUGAUUUGUUUUUUCUUAAUUAAUUUUUUGAUAUAGAAGUACAUUUCUGUAAUUUAUAUUGUAAAUCGAGGGUAUGUGCUCAAGGGUACUUUACCCAUAGAGGGUGGAAGAAGAAAGUUUAGAUUUCACUGCUAUGGAGCAGAGAAAAAAUGGCUUUCUUUUGAAAAAACAUUGAGGGCAGAUGUUGAUGGUUUGCCACUCGGACUAAAUGAAGCUCUCCUUAGGGUGUUUGCAGGGUAUCUGACACGGAGAGACUGUGAUUCCCUUGAUGUAGUGUAGCUGGAAUUGGGGGCCCUUCACUUGGAAGUAAAUGUUUGUGGUGACACAGCGUCCCUCCCCUCCCCGAAACAGAGGGCAAGGGACCCUAGAAUUGAGGUGACCGGCUAGUCUGUUACAUUAACUAAAUGGAGUUGACCUAGUCCCGGUUCAUGAGGGUUCUAAGAGUCUUCGGAAGAAAGCAGUUGUUAUAGGUGAGUGUACAUGGAUUAGCCUGCCCGCUUGGGGCCCCGCUUUUCUCGGUCUUUGAGCCCGAGUGCCCAGACUUUGCGCUCCGUGGCACCUUUGACACUCUUAAAAUUGGUGGAGGAUCUCAAGGAACUUCUGUUUAUAUGAGUUACAGCCAUCAGUCGUUAACCACAGCAGGAAUUAAAACAGAAUUUUAAAAUAUUCAUUAAUUCAUUAAAAAGAUAAAACUAUUGCAUGUCAACAUAAAUAACAUAUUUCAUGAAAAAUAACUGUAUUUCCCAAAAGAAAAAUUAGAAGAGUGGCAUUAUUGUACAUUGUUUACAAAUCUCUUUAAUGUCUGGUUCACUAGAAGACAGUGGAGUUUUCUCUCUGCUUUUACACUCAUUCCACUCCCUCUGUCACAAUAUGGCGCAUCGUGUAGCUUCUGGAAAACUCUGUUGGACACUCAUGACCCAUGAAGAGGGGACCGACAUCACGUAGACCUGACCUUGCUGGCACCCUGGAGGGGCCUGUGGGAACCCAGGGUUUCCCUUCAUCCUGGGCCAAGGAGGGAGUUGCUGUGGCUGUUUGUGGCCAGCACAGGGCCAGGGGCUGGGUCUGCCUCUCUGGAGAGGCUCGGUGGGGAGUUGGCGGGGGCUUGGCUAGGGGUGCCUUCUGGGUGCCCCAUGUCCUGUUUCGGUCUCCCGGGCCGUUACAGGUCUCAGAUCAAGCUUCGUGGCGCUCUGAUAGCCCACAAGCCGCCUGGGUGUGUAUCUGCUGAGUCCAGUAAACUCUUCUGGACGAACCUAUUCCAGGUUCACUGAGAAAUCAAUUAAAUGGAUAGAAUUUGCUCAGUUUCUAGUUUUCCUCUUAUAAAUUAUUCGUAUCUGUUCUUUUUGUUAGUCAACAUUAGCUGGAAAGACGAAUGAAAGUUUUAUUAUUAAUGCAAGACCUUGAAAUGAUCAUACAAAAUUGAUACGCUUUUUUUUUUUUAAUUUUUUUUCAACUUUUUUUUUUUUUUUUUUUUUUUUUGGGACAGAGAGAGACAGAGCAUGAACGGGGGAGGGGCAGAGAGAGAGGGAGACACAGAAUCGGAAACAGGCUCCAGGCUCCGAGCCAUCAGCCCAGAGCCUGACGCGGGGCUCGAACUCACGGACCGCGAGAUCGUGACCUGGCUGAAGUCGGACGCUUAACCGACUGCGCCACCCAGGCGCCCCGAUACGCUUGUUUUUUGUUGUGAUAUAUAGGCCCUUGGUUGAGUUUUGUUAAAGAUAUAUAUACAUGGUAAUAUCUUCUGCAAUGAAAUUACUCCUAAUAUGUUGCAGAAUUAAAUAUAUCCCGUUUUAUGCCAUGUCACGUGGAGUCCGCCUGGUAUUUCAUAGAGUACCGUGAUGUUCUGGUGUUCUGCCCAGUGAAGAGGUUUGAAAACCCUACAGAGGGUGACCAGGGAGGCGCUGUUUAGGCCCGAGCUGCUGCGUGUGAUGUAGCACCCGGAGCCCCCGUCAUCGCGGCCGUGGGGACACGGGGCAGAGACUCGGCGAUCCCUCCCCGGCCCGCUGAUGGGGCUGACACUCAGGCUCCUCCCGUGUCUCUCCUUCAUGGUUUCCUGAUGCUGAUGGCAGACGGGGCGGGGGCAGGGACCCUGAGUAUUGGGUGCCGGGAGACGGGGAGCCCAGCGGCGGGGACAGCUGCCACAGCUGACCGUUAGCACUUGUUUCGUUGGCUGACGAUUCAGGCCCCCGGCGCGUUCAGGAAAUGUGUGCGGACCUACCGUGUGCUUUAGAAUCACGUCGAAGAAAUCCACACACUAUAAAGCUGGUGUUUUGAGGAAGCUGCACCGACUGUGAGAAGACCGUGUUUGCAUCUCCCUGGUAAAUAAAACCUGCCUUUCUUCCUCCGGGAGGAUUAAGUAGCCAGGAGGCUGCUCUUUGAAGCUGCUGGACUUGCACAGGCCCGGCCGGCAGCCCAGAGGUGGAGGAAGCCGGUGUACUUUGAUGUCAGAGCUGAUUUCAGACCAUCUUAGGUUGCGUUUUCUUUGAAGCACCGUGAUUCUAGGCGACCUCUGCGCACGUAGGGCCAAUCAGUUGACCUAGAAGAGCCUAGAAAGAAAAGGCCUUUGCCGAAGAAAGGGAGUUGAAAAUAGCUACAGGUUAUUUGAAAUAUCAUGUUUACUUAAAGAGUUUUGAGAGAGAUUAUUUGGAGUUAAUCUAGUUUCCCUAAAAGCACGAGAUUAGUUGUUCAGAAUGAUUUCUUGUGGGAAGUUAACGAUUGGUUGUGGUGCGUCCCUUGGAAUUCUCUGGGCUCCGGCAGAUCCGACUUGCAGAUAUUUCUGGGAGGGGCCUGUUUAGGGUUGGGUGCACAACUGCAUAAACACGGAGUGUUUUAAAUAAAGGGUUUUGAGUCGGAAAAAAUAAACACAGAGGCUGAAGGUUCAGUUCAGAGAUACGGAGUUACCAGGUUUCUUUUCCCUGAUGUCAAGUUAAUGGGAAAUUGGAAACCCAGAGCUGGUUUGUGUUACCCUCCUACACCUUAAAACGUUGCUUGUCAGGACAGGCACAUUUUUAAAAUACUUGUUUGAAUACCUGAAUUAUAAGCCUUAUUUUCCUGCCAGCUUGUCACCCUUCUGAAUGGUUGUUCUGGUAACACAGCAUCUGGACACUUCUCAACCAGUUGGGAUUAAAAGAAGCUGGUCAAAGUGUUUUCUUCUCCCUUUGCUCUUACGUCCGCAGGCCCGGGUACUUUCUGGUUUCAGGCAUGAUAGUUUCUUAAACUAAGUAUUUAUAAAUAUCACACUGCUUUUUUUUUUUUUUUUAAAUUUUUUUUUUCAACGUUUAUUUAUUUUUGGGACAGAGAGAGACAGAGCAUGAACGGGGGAGGGGCAGAGAGAGAGGGAGACACAGAGUCGGAAACAGGCUCCAGGCUCUGAGCCAUCAGCCCAGAGCCCGACGCGGGGCUCGAACUCACGGACCUCGAGAUCGUGACCUGGCUGAAGUCGGACGCUUAACCGACUGCGCCACCCAGGCGCCCCUCACACUGCUUUUUUUAAAAAAACUUUAGGGGCACCUGGGUGGCUCAGUCGGUUGAGUGUCCGACUUCAGCUCAGGUCAUGAUCUCACCACUUGUGGGUUCAAGCCCCGUGUCGGGCUCUGUGCUGUCAGCUCAGAGCCUGGAGCCUGCUUCGGAUUCUGUGUCUCCCUCUGUCUCUGCCCCUCCCCUGUUCAUGCUCUGUCUCUCUCUGUCUCAAAAAAAUAAAUUAAUUAAUUAAUAAAAACAUUUAAAAAAUUUAAAAAACAAAAACAAAAAAACUUUAAUCUUUUUUUUUUUUUUUUAUUUAAACUAAAAACAACAACUAUGUUUCUCCUACCCUCUACUCCCUCUCCCCACCCCGCCACCCCUGGCCCCUACCAAUCUAUUCUUGUGUACCUUUGAGCUUGGGGUGUCUGUUUUAGAUUCUACAAUAAGAGAGAUCAUACGGUGUUUCUGUUUCUCUGUCUGACUUAUUUCAGUUAGCAUAACGCCCUCACAGCCCAUCCAUGUUGUUGCAGAUCACAAGGUUUCAUACUUUUUUAUGGCUGAGUAAUAUUCCGUUAUUACAUGUACACACACACACACGCACGCACGCACGCACGCCAGAUCUCUAUCCAGUCGUCUGUCAGUGGACACGUGGGCGGUCGUAAAUAGUGCUACAGUGAACAUGGGGGGGGCAGAUAUCUUUUCAAGUUAGCCUUCUCAUUUUCUUCAGAUGAGUACCCAGAAGUGGGAUUGCUGGGUCGUAGGGUAGUUCUGUUGUUAACUUUCUGAGGACCCUCCACACUGUUUUCCAGAGCGGCCGCGCCCGUGUGCAUUCCCACCAACGGUGCACGGGGGGUCCCCUUUCUCCGCAGCCUCGCCAGCACCUGUUGUUUCCCGGGUCGUUGAUCUUGGCCAUCCUGGCGGGCGUGAGGUGGUAUCUCCCUCAUCGUGGCUCUGAUUGGCGUCUCCCUCGUGAUGAGUGACAUUGAGCAUCUUUUCGUGUGUCUGUUGCCAUCUGCGUGUCCUGUGUGGAAACAUGCCUAUUCGGCUUGUCUGCCCAUUUUAAAACCACAUUUUUUUUUUCUGUUGAAUUGUGUGCGUUCUUUCCAUAUUUUGAAUAUUAGGCCCUUAGCAGAUGCAUGGUCUGCAAAUAUCUUCUCCCACUCAGUAGGCUGCCAUUUCGUUCUGUGGAUGGUUCCCUUUGCUUUAUUACUUAAAAACACCACGUUGCCCUUGUGUUUAAUGUUUUCAUGCUCAAAAUAAUGAUGUCUCUGAGGAUGGAAACAGCAUUUUCCUACCUUAGCAGGUGGGAGUGGGGCUCAGAGGUCACUGUAGGGCAGGAGUGACCCUGCUCUGGCCCUUCUUCAGAUUGGGGCUUCCGCAGGGACUCUCCGGGGGGCUGGGCUGCUUGGUCUUUGAAAGGUCGGUGAUGGAACUCACAGCUGUGGGAGGGGAGGGUCAGCAAAGCGGGUCCGAGUGGGUCCGGUCUGCCUGAGGGUCAGCAGCAAGCCGGCCUUUCAUACCCGUCGUUUCAUUCGAGCCCAUCCCCAGUAAAGGCUCAGCUUUCUGGACUGACCCCAGGCAGCGACCCGCUGCGAAGAGAAGAGAUGCGUGCGCCGCGGAGGGAGGCCGCCGGCAGUGUCUGCUUUAGGGUGAGCCUCACACGUGACGUGCCGGCCGCUACGUCGUGUGAGCGAGACGGAGCCAUUGUCUCCGUGGACGUGCACCGUAUGCACACGUGUGUGGAACACACCGUCUUCUCAAGAGUACGCGGCGUCUUUCUUGAGAGACAGAGCGGGGGAGGGGCAGAGAGAGAGGGAGACACCGAAUCCGAAGCAGCUCCAGGCUCCGAGCUGUCGGCGCAGAGCCCGACGCGGGGCUGGAACCCACGAACCGUGAGAUCGUGACCUGGGCCAAAGUCAGCCAGCUGAGCCACCCAGGCUCCCCUAAAAAGGUUUUUCUUAAUGUUGCCAGCGUUACCUCAGCAAUAUGUAACGUUCAAAGGAAGACAGUUUUCACUGUUGACAAUCUUGAAAAAAAAUUCUUAACCUCUAUUUUGCUGUUUCAGAGCAGAAACCUUAAGGAACAAUCUAUUGAGAAGUUUCGUACCUGCGAAUCUAACUCAUUUUGAAAUCAGUCAUAACCGAGAGCUGUGCGUUUUGAGUUCUUUUGUUGAGAAGAACUCUUUUUUUAUUUUUUAAUGUUUAUUUUUGAGAGAGAGAGAGAGAGAGAGAGAGAGAGAGCUCAAGCAGGGGAGGGGCAGAGAGAGAGAGAGAAAGGGAGACACAGAAUCCAAAGCAGGCUCCAGGCUCCGAGCUGUCAGCGCUUGACUCGUGAACUCCGAGAUCAUGACCUGAGCCGAAGUCGGGCGCUUAACCGACUGAACCACCCAGGUCCCCUGUUGGCAAAUCUUCUUAAAUAUUAAAUAUCAGCUGGAAAACAGAAGUAAAUGAUGAAUAGUGUAUUAUUACUAAGAGAGAUUUCCUUUAGUAUGUAGAAGAUUACAAUCUGCAGACUUUAACCAUUUUUAACUGAUUAUAGCUUCCUUAUAAGGAACUGCCCAUCAUUGUUAAACAGGCUCAUUUAUUCAGCCUAUGUAAUUGUCCACUUCGUUCUUUGUGACCGACUUUUUGUUACAUUUUGCGCUGGAGACACAAUCAGAAGCGAGUGGAACACACAUCUCUUACUGUUUAUCACCUGUUCAUUUAACAGAUAAUUCUUGAACACCAGCCAUGCACCUGGCGCUGUUCUGCAGGCUGGGGUCGUGGUCCGUGGAGGAAGAAGCAGUCAGUAAAUAAUGGGUGCUUAAGCUAAUUGCAGAGAGGGAUCAGUGCUUCACAGAUGGGGAGGGCUAAUCUGUUAGAUCUUUUAGGCUGCUCUGCGUUCUAGAAGAUGCUAGUACGACUAAUCACACACAUAAAUAUGAUAAAUGCCGAGCAGGAAAAGUAGAGUCCUGUGAGACUGUGUCAGUGAGGAGGUGGGGACUAGUCCAUUCCAGGGAGACGGGAGAGAUUCCUGGGGGAGGUCACAUUUGAGCUCGGAUUUGAAUGUUGGCUGGGUGUGCUGGUCUCCAGGGGCCGCCAUAUCAAGGCCACAGACCGGGUGGCGUAAACAAUACGGAAUUGUUGCCUUACAGUCUGGAGACUGUAAGUCUGGGAUGAGGGUCCUCUUCUCCAGCUUCUAGUGAUUUGUUGGCAGUCCUUAGGGUUUCUGGCUUGUACACUCGUCACCCUAUCUCCACCUUCAUCCUUACACGGGCAUUCUCCCUGUGUGUGUUCUGUGUCCAAGCUUCCCCUUUUAUAAGGAUACCAGUCGUAUGACCUCAUCCUGAGAAAUUACUCUGUAUUGGCCCUGUUUCCAAAUGAAGUCACAUUCUGGGGCGUUGCGGGUUAGGGCUUCAGUAUAUACAUUUGGGGGACACGGUUUAAACCACAGCACCAGGAGUUUGCAGAAUGAAGAGGGAGGGGAAACCUUUUUGUCAGGAAGGAAGGACAGCACGUGAGGGUCUUGUGUUGGAAAGAAGCGUGGCUCACUUAAGGACGGACUGGGGAGCACAUGCAGUGAGGUGGCCCCAGAACAUUCUGAAGGUGGGACAGGUAUGGAGGCCACGUGGGCCCGGGGCAUGGCCUGAAGGAAAAUUUCCAGGUGGCAACAUCCAGUAGACAGAAGUUUGUGCGUGUCGACCAGGAGAGAGGCUGAGGCUCCAGAGAAGGACCUGGGCUCAGGGCAUUCGGGGUCAGACUUGGCUAAACUCACUCAGGAACAGUGUCUCCGACGGGAGGGCUGGGAUGGCACGUGAGGAGAGCCCGUGUGAGGAAGGUGUCGGAACAAGAAGCCCACGAAAUGGCAGAGAGCGACAUGAGGUAGAAACACCUGGUUGCAGGGGCGUCUGACGCUUGGUUUUGGCUCAGGUCACGAUCUCAUGGUUUGUGGGUUCGACGCACAUCGGGCUCUCUGCCGACAGCGCGGAUCCUGCUUGUGAUUCUCUCUCUCUCUCUCUCUCUCUCUCUCUCUCUCUCUCUCUCAAAUAAAUACUUAAACUUAGAAAAAAAGAAAUACCUGGAUGGAACGCUGGUCAGAAAACCGAGUUCGAGGUGUGCCGGGAAGGAGGGACGGGCCGAUGGGGUCAGAUGCCAGGCGGAGGUCGAGUCGGGCAGCUGAGAAGAGAUUUGAGGUCAAAGACCCGCCCGUGUAGGAGGUGAGAGUGGAAACCAGGCUUUUGUGUGUUGGGGACGGAAGAGAAGAUGGCGAGGCGGAAGGAGUACAAGUGAGUGUGUGUGUAAAGUGCACAUUUGCACACUUGCACAGAGAAAUAUUGCGGCCUGCGGGGGGGGGGGGGGGGGGGGGGGGGGGGGGGCAGGGGCACGGACCCGCGAGGCCAGACGGUGCUGUGGGAAGGCGAGCAGAUGGGCGGUGCUGGGAGGUGGAGACGCGGAACAGAGGCGGUCGUCGCUUCCCGCUUCCCCGGGUGGAGAAAUCGGGAGAACGAGAAAUCGGGAGAACGGACAACACUCUCACCCUCCCGCCGGCGGGUUGGCAGCCGGGCCGAGGCGCCGGUGCCACGGGUCCCGCUGACCGCAGGCCCCGAACCAGAGCAGGAAACGUGGGCCCCGGCGGCGCGCCCGGGGCGUGUUCCCGGGACGCGGACGGGAGCGCGCAGCGAGCGGGGCGCGCGGUCGUGCGGCGGGGGCGCGCGGUCGUGCGGCGGGGGCGCGCGGUCGUGCGGCGGGGGCGCGCGGUCGUGCGGCGGGGGCGCGCGGUCGUGCGGCGGGGGCGCGCGUUCCCACGUGUGGUCAGCCGCGGCUGUUGUCGGCGGAGCAAACACGGGUAACAAGCGCGCUCGCAUAGUGGACUUGGCCUGAGUCCAGUGAGGGGGGUUCCAGGAGGGAACAAAUGUUCGCAGCCAAGUGCGUUCGCAAGCGGACAGUCUGGACGUGCCGUUCUCUCUCUAGCAGAUUCAAACGUUACGUUAUUGAACACCACCUGAGUGUGCGUGCUGCGGGUUUCCAGGGCUUGGCACUGGCUACAGGCUCCGAUUACUGUGACUUGAUUACUGUAAAUGCUCUCGGGGAACAGAUGCAGGAAGGUGUGCGUGUGGCUGUGGAACACUCCGACGGGGCAUGGAAUCCGAUCUACAGAGUCAGUUAGCAAAGCAAGGUCGACCUUACCGGCAAGGCCACAACCAGGGCAAGCAGACAAAAUAAUUUCACUGUUAAAAAAGGAAACGGAUGUGGAAUUUAAGAAACAAAACAAGUGAACAACAACAACAAAAAAAAGUAAUCCAAGAAACUGUCUUUUGUUUAUUUUUGAGAGAGAGCACACGAGCAGGGGAGAGGCAGGGAGAGAGGGAGACACAGAAUCCGAAGCAGGCUCCAGACUCCGAGCUGUCAGCACAGAGCCCGACGCGGGCUCGAACUCACAGACCAGGAGAUCAUGACCUGAGCCGAAGUCGGACACUUAACCGACCCACCCAGGCGCCCCAGAAACAGACUCUUAACCAUAGAGAACACACUGCUGGUCACCACAGGGGAGGGGGUGGGGGGACGGGAGUGAGGGCGUGCACCUGUUGUGAGGAGCACGGGUUGACGUGUGGACGUGUUUGGAUCACUGUGUGGUACGUCCAAACCUAGUAUUACACCGUAUGUCAGCUACCUGACAUUUUAAGAAAACAAAAAAGGAAACGGGUUUAAAUGAAGCAAAAUGUACCCAAAUGCCCGACUUAGAGAUUACACCAUGUGUGCAAAAUGAAGGGAAUAUUUCUAUAUCUGGAUCAUUUGUCAUGAAACAAAGGUCAAGGCCGUCACGGUUUUGUGUAUUUUGAAAUUUUCAUUAAAAAAAAAUGACUUGAAAAAAUGGGCACCUGGGUGGCUCAUGAGGUCAGUUAAGCUCAGGUCAUGAUCUCACGGUUUGUGAGCUGACAGCUCAAGCCUGGAGCCUGCUUCUGCUUCUGUGUUUCCCCUCUCUCUGCCCCUCCCCCACGGGCACUCUGGAUUGUGACGGGCCAGGCGUGCUAUGGUUGGAGACGGCCGACCACGGAGGAGCCUGAGGGAGCGCGGUCCAGUUGAAGGCCAGGGGAAGCACUUCGGGGAAAUUGUGAAAGGGUUAAUGAUGAGCCUUCACAGAGUGAGUCCCCUUGGCUUAUAUUAUUAUUUUAAAAGUAAGUGAUCAUUUUUAAAUACUGAAAUACACACUCUUGCCAUUUUUCUCAGUCUGUUACUAUCCCUUACUACCAGCAGUAGCCCUCGUUCUGACUCCUUAGACCAAGACGGAGGAAAUCAUGUGCAGUUCGCCUCUUUAAAAGAGCACGACUGAUGGAGACAAACAGAUAAAUAGAAUAGAAUACAGAGUCCAGAAAUAGAUCCACACACAUAUGUGGCCAGCUGAUUUUUCAACAAAAGCGCCAGAGUUGUUCCAUGGAGAAAGAUCAGUCUUUUCAACCUCUUGCGAUGCUGGACUAAGUGGAUCUCUUGGGGGGGGGGGGGGGGUUGGACAACCCUUGACCUCUGCCUCACAGCAAAUACCGUUUUUUGAAAGUAGAUCGUAGACCUAAAUGUUAUAAAACCUAAAACCAAAACUUACAGAACGAAACAUAGUCUUUGUGAACUUAGAGUAGGCAAAGAUUUUUGUCUUAGUCCAUUCAAGCUUCUGUAACAAAGCAGGGCAGAUUGAAGUGGCUUAUCAACAGAUUUUCUCACCGUCCUGGAAGCUGGAAGACCAAGGUCAGGGUGCAGGUGGGGUCGAGCUGUCUUCUGGUGAUGAAAUUUUCAUUGUGUCCUUAUGUGGCAGAAGGGACCAGUGUUCUCUCUGGGCUCGCUUGUGUAAGGGCACUGAUCCCAUUCACGAGGGCCUUGUCCACAUGACCUGAUCACCUCCUAAGGGCCCACCUCCUGGUAUCAUUACAUUAGGAUUUAACAUAUGAAUUUAGGGGGAGCGGACACAAACAUUCAGACCAUAACAACUUCCUAGGACAAAGAAAACCACUAUUCAUGUGAUAAAAAAAAAGGUUUUGAUAAUUUGGACUUAAGACUGUAUACGUUUCUGCCUUCAAAAGUUAUUAUUCAAAAAAUGAAAAAAACAGGGCAUAAAGUGAGGCAACGUCUGCUUGUAUCUAGAAUAUUUAAAGAACGUUAAUAAUACAAUAAUAAGACAAUUAAAAAAAAUGGGCAGACUGGAAAAGACACUUCAGUUAUUUAAAGUUCACAAUGAGGGGGAGCCUGGCUCCCUGUAGUGUGUGACUCUUGAUCUUGGGGUUGUAAGUUCGAGCCCCACGUUGGGUAUGGAGAUUACUUAAAAAUGAAAUCUAAAAAAUAAAAUAAAAUUCACAGCAAGAUAUAGGCUCCAGAAUGGCUGACGUUAAAAAGACUGGAGAGAAAGCAGAACAGGGGGGAUGUUUUCGAUGGGAGAGUACACACAGCAUAACCACUUGCAAAUAGGCAGUUCCUUAGUAAACACACGUGGUUCCAUCCCUACACAUUUACCCAAAAGAGGUGAAAACGUGUGUCCACAGAAAGACUUGUUCAUGGAUGUUGCUAUCAGCGUUAUUUGUGAGAGACAAAAGCUGGCAACAAUGGAAAUGUCUGUCAGGAGGAGAAUGAACACAUUGUGAGUAGUCGUGCAGCACAGCCCUCCUCAGCAGUGACAGUUGAGUGCGGACAGAUCUCCAGAUGUCCAUUGAAUGAAGGAGACUCAGCACAGAGGAUGUUUUCUAUGGAUCCAUUUGCCAAGUUCUAGAACAGGGAAGAGUAAUCUGUGAAUGAAGGAAUUACAUCAGUGGCUGCCUGGAGUGGAAUAGAGUCGGGGGAUUGGCUAUAAAGGGUGUAAGAAAUAAUAGUCUGUAGCUUGAUCUUGAUAGUAGUUACGAAGACAUGUCCACCCGUUUGUCAGAACCCAUUGAAUUUUAUGCUUGAAAUUUGUACAUUUUAUUGAGUGUAAAUUAUACUUCAAUAAAGUUGUUUAGAACUAAGAACAUGAAAUUGUGUUUUAAAUAAUUAAACUAUUGGUAGCGUCUAGUUUUAUGUAUUUGUUAAGAAGAAUUUGGUUAAAUUUAUGAGGAGUUGGCCUGUAUUUCUAGGGUGUUGUAUUAAACCUUCAAGGAGGCAGUUCACUGAAUAGUUUAACUUCGCACCUGAUAGUUCUGGUGAGACACAGAAAUUGAGGGCUGCCCCGUUCUCUCCGGGAAACACUUCCCGACAUUUGCGGCCUUAGCUUUCAGCAGACUGGUUUCUGUAUUUAACACAUGGACCAGUUUUAUUCUUAUAUUACUUUUCUGUGUUUUCAGAGGCUGAAGUGCUUGGUGUCUUAAACUACAUGCACAUGCCUUAAAAAACAUGAACGUGCUCAUUUUGGAUUUACGUUCCAGAAAGUAUUUCCUGUCUCAUCUGAGUCCCGAGAGCAAACCUUCCCUGUGUGUCUUCACUCCACGGUGCACGGUUACUGUCAUGUUUCUCUUCUGCUCUGUGUCUGGAUGUCUUGCACAUGGAUUGUUGACAUCUGAUUUUCACUAGCCUAGUACUUUGGGGAGGAAACAUAAGCUUUCUUAUUAAAUGGUCCUUCUUGUAAAGUCCUGCUCACUUUCUUGGGGGUUGGUUAUCGCUUAGGGUUCAUGGAGGAAAUUUAACUGCAGGGAUAUCAGCAUUGUUUUGAAUGGAGAAAGUCUUCAGUAGUUGACAUAUUAAAAGUUUAAGCUGGUAUUAAAAUGUCUUUUUUGGAGGUUCUAAGGGGCAUUAUUUUUAUUUAUUUAUUAUUUUAGAGAGAGAGGGCGAGUGGGGGAGAGGGGCAGAGGGAAAGAGAAUCCCAAGCAGGCUGCAUGCUUUCAGCACAGAGCCUGAUGCAGGGCUCGAUCCCACAGCCCUGGGAUCAUGACCUGAGCUGAAAUCAAGAGUCAGACACUCAACAGACUGAGCCCCCCAGGAGGGACGUUAUUUUUAAAAGACCGAGCUCACAGGGCAGUUGAGGGAGGGACACCAUUACUGAAGUAUCAACUUUGUGUUUAUGUGGCAUAGAUUGUUCUUGAAAGAGGAAAAGUGAUUUUGUUGAAAAACAAAUGCCAAUUAUUAGCUAGUUUAUAGUUCUUUUUUUUUUUUAAUGUUUAUUUUUGAGGGGGAGCAGGGGAGGGGCAGAGAGAGAGGGAGACACAGAAUCCGAAACAGGCUCCAGGCUCCGAGCUGUCGGCACAGAUCCCGACACGGGGCUCAAACCCACAAACCGUGAGACCAUGACCUGAGCUGAAGUCAAGAGUCAGAUGCUUAACUGACUGAGCCACCCAGGUGCCCCAGAAAUUAUGUUUAAUACAGUCUUUCCACGUCGUUGUGCUGUCUCCUGAAAUUUUCAACCUGUUGAUUUAGGGAGAAAAUCAAGAAAACAGAGUCUCAGAUUCUAACGGCCAGAGGAUAUUUAAAACCGUUUUAAAAGUUACUUGUUUUCUUUCAGUAUCUGCCUGAGAAAAUCAGACCGUGUCUUCUUAGCUGAUGAAUUAUCAUCUGUGAUUUCUGCAUUGUGGGCAUUCAAUCCAAUUUCUAUGUUGAUCAAAUUUUCAGUGAUAAAAUCUCCAUUUUACUUAUGUCCUCAUCACAAAGGGUGAGGGCCUUAUUUUAUAUUAUCUGGUUUAAAGGAGUAAGAUUAUUUAACUAGAGCAAGAAUACAUUUUUUUUUUAAUUUUUUUUUUUUUCAACGUUUAUUUAUUUUUGGGACAGAGAGAGACAGAGCAUGAACGGGGGAGGGGCAGAAAGAGAGGGAGACACAGAAUCGGAAACAGGCUCCAGGUUCUGAGCCAUCAGCCCAGAGCCCGACGCGGGGCUCAAACUCACGGACCGCGAGAUCGUGACCUGGCUGAAGUCGGACGCUUAACCGACUGCGCCACCCAGGCGCCCCGAGAAUACAUUUAAUGUAGGUACUACAUAGAGCUUGUCUGUUGCCUUAGUUCAAUUUUUCAUACCUGAAAGGUUUCUGACUUGAAGAGUUCGGAUAAUUUUACUAUGAAGUUUCAUAACAAGUACAAUAUAUGCUGUCUCGUUAGGUAAAUUAGUAAGACUAAAGCAAGUAAAAUUUAGGCAGUGUGGUUCCUAAGACCCCAACAGGGCCCACGUGUUAGAUAGCGUACGUCACCUUGCAAACGCUAACCCGCAGGGUGGACACAGACUCCACAGUGGUUGGGUCUGGACUCUGGGCUCACGUGCCUGCGUUUAAAAGUCGAUUCUAAAAAAAAUAAAAAUAAAAAAUAAAUUAAAAAAAAGUCAAUUCUGCUGCGUUGUCAUUGUGCACCUGGGGGAUGAGUUUUGUAAACUUCUUCUCGCGUUCGUGACAUGAAGGUAAUCAUGGGACUUCUUCCGGGAAGCGUGAGGAGUAAACAAGGCCCUAUUUAUUGAACCGUUACUGACGUCAUCCAUACACGGUCACAUGACGCGGGUCGUUUGGCUGUGCACGUGAGUAGAUGAGACAUAAAGAGAAAGUCUGGUUGGAGAGUUGUCUUCACUUCCGCCAGACCCUUCAUGUGUUGUCUUUCUUGGUUUCUGUUUUCUUUCUUCUGUUGGAGACCCUACUGAGUAAUGAACUAACCGGAACAUGGAAAGUGGUGUCCUUCACCAGGUUUGCAAACUGGAUGGCAGGUAACUGCGUAGUCUGUGUGGAAAACUGAAACUUGACUGUAGUUACACUUCAGAUGAAAACAAUGACCCAAAUGACCCAGAACUUCAUGUAAAAAAAAUACAGUUUGUUCUAGCAGUUUUAGUUUCCUAGCAAACUUGAGAGGGAGGUACAGAGACCUCCCGUGUGCCCCCACCCCGACCGGGCACAGCCUCCCUGACUGUGGACACUCCUCCCCAGAUGGGACAGUGGACGCACCCGCACUGACACAUCAUCACCUAGAGGCCACGGUCGUGUACGCUGGGGCCCGUUCUUGGAGUUGGACACGCGCAUGUCCGUCAUUAGAGUGUCACGGAGUGUUCUCACUGCCCCCCAAGACCUCUGUGCUUCACCCCCUGCCUCCUCGACCGCUGAUCUUUUUACUGUCUCCAUCGUGUUUCCUUUUCCAAACGUCCUACGGUUGGAAGUCUACAGUGUGUAGCUUUUCAGCCUGGCUGCUUCGACGCAGCGCCUUCCAUGCCUUUUCGUGGCCCGAAAGGUCGUUUCUUUUUAGUGCCGAACAACGUCCCCUUGUCUGCAGGGGCCGCACGCAUGUCAUCAAUCCAUCCAUCUACUGAAACACAUCUUGGUUCCUUCCAGAAGAGGCUUUUAAGGCAGGGUAAUAACUCACUUGAAGAGUUAGAUCGGUAUGGAAGUAGUGAGCCAUGGUCUCAAGUGGGAUCUCACCUGUGAUCCGAGCCAAGCUGAAGUUGGGGGUUUUGUCUGGGAAUCAGAGCAUUCGCUCAAGGGAGGUUUUAUAUUUGUCUUGUUAUGUUUAAAAUGGAGAAAGUAACAGCGUAUUUGUGAACGAGUGGGAACGACCCAGCAGAGAGGGAGAAGUUCCCGAGGGUCUUCGGCAGCGCUCCGUGCUGGUGAGAGGAAGGUAGCUCGCACGCAAGCGUCCGGUUAGUUUUAGGCAUGAGGACAGUUUAUCUGUAGAAGCAGGGGGGACGUCAGAGAGCUGACCUGCACACAGGCGCCGGGGGGGCCGCGAUGUCGCUGCUGAUUGCUCGUUAUUCCCAGUAAACUAGAAACCGAGGCUGGGGACCCACCGUGAGGGUGGGGGAGGGUUUGUGCGAGGUUUGAAGAGCCCGGGCUCCGGAAGAAAAGAAGGAGAUGCCAACAAUGACGAGAGACAAAGUAGGUGUCCUUCCUGAGACCGACAGCAGACACUUGCCAACAGACGCCGAGGGCUGUGGGAGAACCGUUCCUCCAGAGCACGGAGCGAGAUCACUGAACAGCAGACGUGAGACCUUCGGAGACCUGCAGACGCCGAGCACGUGUGCUGUCCCGAGAUUUGUGCCAAAAGAGCCCCAGAACCAUUCGCUUCCGCGGGCAGGGAAGUGAGCCCGGAUGCAAAUACCAGAGGCGAGCGUCAACACGGGCCAAGAAAUGGGCGAAUAUCUUGGUCUAUUUAAAUUAGCGUUCGUUGUAACAAGUAAAUAUUGAAACGUAACAUUGUGCCCUUAAGCGUAUCUACUAAUAAGGGAAGAAUUUGGAGCACGUGUGUUAACAGAACAAGCUGCUUAAGUUCCGGCGCGGUCCUUCCGGGACGAGCGAGGGCAGGCAAGCCCGGUGAGCUCCUGUCCCUUCGGCGGCCUUGGCGGUUGGUCAGUGUGGGGACAUCUUAGGUGUGGUGUGACCUUAGCUGCACUGUGUGAAGUUAGAAGGCGCCAGAGACAUUUGGCAUUACCUUCCCAGUAUUCUCAACAUUAAUCCUCUAAAUGUUAGACUCAUCAGGUGCCAGAGACGUUCCCAGGCUGGGACGUUUGCUCAGAGGCUGGGGAGGGAGCCGCUCCCGCGCCUCGGAAAACCCGUGUCCGGGCGCCCCGCGGGCCAGACCGCAGUGUGAAUAAACAUCGAGUUUGUGCUUGAAUGCAGCUCUCGUUGGCCUUGUCCCCUCCGCUGUGUGUGUUCAGAUCAAGCACAACCUGGCAUGCGCACUGCUAUGUGUAUGGUUCAGGUCCUUCCACGGAAACGGAAGGUCUGCCUCUUUUCUUCCCCUGGUCAGGAAGGGUGAGGCCAACGGGUGUUGGGCCCCAGCUGGAAAGGGCUCUCAUGCCCUUUAUUGAGGGUUGCACAUCUGUAGAAAUCACGUGAAACGUAGAAGGUACAGUGGGGGGGGGGGUUGCAAUCCGAAAGUGAAAAAUAAUCUCCAAGACGGAAGUUGCUGAAUUUUUAGGUAGAAACUACAGUUUUUUUGGAGCUCCCCAAAAGCCGUGCUUUUGAGAGAUCUUCGUAAGAAGUCGUGCCUCACCGAGCCGUUUUGUUCUGAACGUACCGGGCACGCUGUGUGUACCCUAGCUUGUAGAGUUUAUCAGGUGAUGCGUUACCCUUCUUGAUGUGCAAAAGGCUACAAGUUUCCUUCUUAGACACUUCGUCUUGCAUUUAGAAAGGGUCGUUUAUUUUUGGUUAUUCAGGGACUUAGUUGUACCUAAUACAGUGAUUCCUAGUUGAUUAUAUUAUUGGAACAUUUCACCUCUUUAUAAUGAUAUUUUACUAGAAAAACAAAAUAUACUCAUGUUGCGAGUGAUGUGUGCUGGUAAUGCAAAUCAGAUUAUUUAAGACUCAUGUUACUGACUGUUUAGAUGAAGAUUUAAUUGUUAAUAUAUCUAAAAUAAAGGAAUUAAGUAGCUACCAUAAACCCUUUUAGGGAUAAGUUGGGGCAUAAAAAUACAAAAAUAAGUUGUAUUGGGGCACCUGGGUGACUCAUCGGUUAAGAUCAGACUUCGGCUCAGGUAGUGAUCUCACGGUUCAUGAAUUCGAGCCCCCUGUCGGGCUCUGUGCUGACAGCUCGGAGCCUUGGAGCCUGCUUCCGAUUCUGUGUCUUCCCUUCCUUUCUCCCCCCCCCUCCUUCGCCCUCUGUCUGUCUCUCCCUGUCAAAAAUAAAUAUUAAAAAAUUUUUUAAUUAAAAAAAAGUUGUAUUACGACAUAUGAAAUGUUCUGUUGGGUCAAUAUUUUAUAUUGUACAGAUAGUUAAAUCGUCUAAGAAAUAUUUUUUCCCUUCGCUGGUAAUGCUAAACCAGGCUAGUCUGGGAUACGUAUUCCUGAUGCUCGGAGUAGAAAGUCUACACCUGUGGUAAAAGAACACGGCAUGGUAAAUAUGUUUACACAGCUGUGUGGUAAUGUCACUUAUUACGGGGCACACUUACAGAAUCAUGUAAUGAGCCUCAUUUUCAUGCAGCCGUUAACUCUGGCGUAGCAAUGCUAAUUAAAGAAUAACUUCAUGUUUCGAAUGCAGACUAUAUAAACAACAUACAGCGUCACUUUAGCUAUCCACAAGCUCUGACUACAUAAAUUUGGUCAUGAGUAGAUGUUGGCUGACUCCUGAGGAAAUAGAGACCUUCUGUAAGACUAUUUAUUUACACUUUAUGCUUUCAUUGCAUACUGUGCCUGCUCUUAGGACCAGACUGAGUUUCCAUUAAACUUUAUUGCAUUCACAUGGGCUCUUCUGUCAUGCUUUAAUAAAAUUACAAAGUUGACUUACUUGGGUCUCUGUGAAAGCUUCCUUUAUCGUUAAUAAUUCCAUUUAUUCCACGGACUUAUUAGUUUUGGAUAACUUGAAUGACUUCAUUAAGAUUUGCCCUAGAAUAUGAAUAUUAUUUAAAAAUUAAGCACGAGUAAAAGCAAAUUUAAAAAUGUGCUCAUAGGACUUUGUGAAUUCAAAAGAGUAAAUUGUUCCCACUGAAUAUGUAUCGCUGUGUUAUUAUCUGUAAAAAUACAUCAUCUGGAGAAUUUAACAGGCAGUGAGUGGUUUCAUCCUUUUGUCUAACUUUUGAGCUGUUUUGUGCCGUGAAACUCCAGAAAUAGGCUUAUUUUCCGUGCUCGAAUAUUUUCGUUUCCUUCUAUCUGGAGAGAAAACCCAGCAUCCAUUUGUAAUUACUGAAGCCUGCUAGUGAGACUACAGAUCUGUUUAGCCUGUACAUGGUGGAAUCUUUAUUAUUCCCUCAACUCUUUCAAAAACUCUUUAAAAUGGAUACUAAGUUAUAAGAAGGCCAGGAAAGAGACUCUAGCAGAUACACUAUGUAUCUAUUUCCACUCCUGGAAAACCCAUUCAGAAUGCUUUGGGAGAACUUAUUUCUUGCUUGUGUAAACAAUUUAACUUCUAAGAUGGAUGGCGUGAGGUUAGUUAUGGAAGGUUUUGACCUCAGUAUUUUUCACAGCACUAAGCAUGGUGACUAACAUAUCCCAGGUACCUCUAAAUAUUUAUUGACUUAGUGAAUAAAUAAGGGUUGAUAAAAUAUUGACUAUUCAUUGGCACAUCAGGGAACCUUCUAGCAGAGUGAGAGCCGAGGUGGCCAGAGUGUAAAAGGGUUUGCCUGGUUGGGAAAGAGAGGAGUUUGGAACAGAUGACCAGAAGCUAACCAGAAGCCUGUUAGAAACACACAUCCCUAAAUCACACUCUCCUGGUGAGGAGUAGAAGCCUGUGUUCCAAACGGGCCAUCCAGGGAUUAUGGGAUCGGUAGGCUCAUUAGGGAACAGCCGAGGAUCAGGAAUUCUUUUUUUUUUUUUUAAGUUUGUUUGUUUAUUUAUUUAUUUUGAGAGACAGAGAGAGAGACAGCCCAAGGAGGGGAGGGGCAAGAUGGAAAGUGAGGGAGAGAGAAUCCCAAGCAGGCUCCACGCUGUCAGCUCAGAGCCCAACGCAGGGCUCAAACUCACGAACUGUGAGAUCAUGACCUGAGCUGAAACCGAGAUUUGGACGCUUAACUGACUGAGCCACCAGGCGCCCUUCUCAAGAAUUCUUUCUUGACUGUUUGCUCCAAACCCAAACAUCUCCACAUCAGAAGUGUUGUGUGAUGCCCAGAGAGUUAAAUGGAUGCCAGUGGGAUAUCCUAAAGCAUUAUUUAUUUUGAAAUCAGUAAUCUAAUAAAUUAAUUUCUCGAUACCAAAAAUAUUUCAAUGUAAAAUAAAUGGAAGCCUUUUCCAAAAUCAAAGACCGUUUUCUCGGUGCUAAAGACCUCUGAAGAGUUUUUAUUCUUUGACCUUUUUUCUUUCUCUCUUUUCUUUCUUUUUCCUUUUUUUUUUUUUUGAGGAUUCCCGGGGAUUAUUACUCUUCUUUUUGUGGUGUUAAUAUACCACACGUUGCAGAUACACUGCGUCUCGAUGGCCUCACAUUGGUUGGAAACCCUGUUUUCCCUCAUAGUAUUCCCCUCCUGCAAAAAGGUUCUUGGGCUGCGUUACAUCUGAGAAUGAUGUGGGCUAAACCAGUUUGAGUCGAUUCCUGUUAAUUUCAGUUUCCAAUCCAAGAUGGAUUUUCCUUAGGACUGUGUCUCCAGUGACCCCUUACGUGUAGAGAAGGAAGAAGUCAGGAGGAGACGGGUCAGGAACUGUGCUUAGUGUUUUACACCCGUCAGUUUGCUCCUGUUCUUAGAACUUGUAACUGUUUCAAGCUCACUAUGAAUUAUACAGGGUGUUGUUCUGUUCGUUCGGCUGGCAUAGACAUGGCUGGUUUUAAUCAAGCGAGUAAAAAGUGUAUGCCACAGGAUUGUGUUAAUGCUCUCCUAUUAGGAUUCGAGAUUCCAUGGACAUAUUUGGACACAAGCACAUUUACUUGUGCUUACCUUGUGAAAGCUAUUUAUCGAAACCCCAUUCUGUAGUAGGCCCCGUGCCGGUGGACCGGAGAGCUCAGACCAGCAGGCACAAUAGGCCUUGUUUUGGGCACCGUCCUCCACGUGCCAAUGACAGAGCGCAAAAGAGAAAACCGAAAUGACCCGGCCAGCCUCAAAAUCAAGACAGACACCUCAAAGACCGUAAGGUGAUCAGCGAUGGGAAGUCGUGAGUGGGACUGGAACUGUGAGCUCGCCAGUCUCCCGGCCAGAAGCAGGAAGGUGCUAGACUGCUCCUUGGCUGCUGCACGGGGGCCAGGCUGGGCCGGGCUCACUGCUCGCAGGAACGAGUGGAAGCAAGAGUCCUCCCCCGCCCCCACUCCCCCCCCCCCCCGGACGCUUAGUGGUUCUGCCCAUGUGUUGGGCACAUGGUGUUGGAAGUUGCGAACCAGGGGAAGAACGUGGGGGUGAACACAGAGUUGAGUGACCAGAGACGAGGCCCAUGGUCCGCUGGCUGCACUGUGCCUGACGCCCCCACAGAACUGGAGCUUUACCCGUGCUGUUAUCUGCUGCAGGGCAAAUACGUGAGCGGUAUCAGGCUGGCAGAGGAGAUACGUGCAGGCGACCGUGUGAGCACACGUAGGGGGAGGAAGGAAGGAAGGAAACAAGGACAACCAUGUGAGCACACGCAGGGGGGAGGAAGGAAGGAAGGAAGCCAGGCCAAAACAACAAUCCCUCCCAUGAAAGUGGCCCUGCAAAGCUGAUGGCCAAAGCUCGCAUUAAGGAGCAUGUCCCCCAGCCGCGCUCUCGAGAUUGCAAGAGAAAGUCUGGGAUAGCACCCCCCGCGUGUCUUCCAGAACUGAUGCAAGACGGGAGCCAGCGGGUCAGCGGUGCAUUCCAGGUGCAAGUGGUAAAUACAGGCGCACUCGCGUCUUGGAACUCUGUAGGACUGCGCCAGACCUGAGGGGCAGAUCUUACGGCGACCGGGGGGAAGAGCCCUCGCUGAGAGGGGAGGCCGUGAACGGACUGGUCAUCGGCAGCACGGAUGCCAGGAGACGGGGAAGUGAUAACCGGGCGGCACUGAGGAGGAAGAACGGUGCGUAGAGUUUGUGCCCUCCUGAGCUGUUACUCCAGGGUGAGAACAAAAUUAAGAAAAUUUACAGCCUGUGAAAUAAGAGUGUUCACCGUGCCCACAACCCCCCAGAGGAGAUAGUAAAAAAUGGAAUCAACAAGAAGAAAGGUUAUCCCGCAGAGGAUUACGUGGGCGGAUUAGGAAGUAAUACCGGGGUGGAUGAAGUCGGUCAGAGCGCGGGACUCCCUCCUGGUCUCCGAAGCGUGUGGACAGGAGGCGUGAGUCGAAUCGCUCCAGCAUAAAAGCCCCAGCUCUCGCAGCAUGGCGCUUGGCCAGAGCAGGUGUGGAUGCUCGGCGCUGGGCGGAGAAAGGGGACGAGGCUGCGAGUCGGUCGCCUGGGGAGAGAGGGGAGGAGAUUCGGCCGCGCCCAGCUCCGCUGGCGUCCCGCUCCGCUCCACGGCAGUGGUGAAACUCGGGACUCGCGCUGAGGGUGGUUCGGCCGUGGGGGCUCUUGGGGUUGUUUGGAGCCCUUCUCACGGCGUGCGAGAGCCUCUGUACCAAGAGAAGUGCGAUGGCACCUUCUUAGCGGACUUUUUUCCAGGCGGAUCCUAGCGAUUUGUCUGCUGUAAAUGAGCGCGGUAUAUACCUUUCUUUAAAAGUCAAGAGUGACUGGCUCAGGAGCUUGUUUCUGGCUUUUCUUUAAUUCCGUGUUCCCAAGUUGUGUUUUCUUCUUUCCUCGUGAUCGGGUAGUUUGAAAGCCUCCGUCUCUCUGUGUUAUCUUAACUUAGGGGUAGAACCAGUUUCCCCGUUGCCCAUCAGGUGACCUUGGACUGCCUAGGGAUUAGUAUAACCGAAGGGCACGGGCGUCUUCCCCAAACCCAAGGCUGCUGCCGUUUCUCCUGGGGUUGUCCAGAAGGUGUGUCUGCACCAAGGAGCAAAGGGAGGGAGGUGGUUUGCGGGCAGUCCGUGCAGACGCGGCACCGGUAGAGCAAGGGCCGAGGGGGUGUCUCUCCUGCAGGUGGAAGGCACUGUCCCCUGAGGACGGCAGGGGCGGGACCUCCCGCAGCCCCCGUGGGUCCCGGAUUAUAGCAGACCUGAUGGGGCUGUGAGGAAACAACCUGGUGGGAAUCUCGAGACCACGGUGCCGAGGGCCCUUUGUCGCACCUCUGCGGGGACUCUUAGGUCCGCCCAGUGUCACGGAGUUUCCCACUCGCGUUUCUUGUCCAGUAAGUUGUGGAAGCCGAGCUGACCGCUCCGUCAGAUUACGGCGUGGAAACCGCAGAGUCCCUUCUGCCUCCCUGUGCCGUCCCCCCACUUGCGCUCCUGCUGCCCCCCGAAGCCUGAGCUCCGGCCUGCGGCCUCUCUGCCCGGCCCAGACUUCCUGCCUUCGUACCGUGGCCGCUGGCGCCCCCCACGUUCCUGGUACCGUCUAGGGCGGCCUGCCGUGUUGGCCCAGCCUUUCUUCUGAACUGUGUCCCCAGGCUCAAGAGACCGCAGGGGAGCAAAGCCAGGUGCCUAAAGUCCAGUACACUCUUGUCGCACCUGCCUGGUAACUUGAGGGUUCGCCCGAGCGUGUGAGCCAGAAAGACAGCCGAGGCACGGGGACGCGGGUACGCGAGGACUGACGUGUGCCGGGACGGGGACAAGCCGGAUGCAGCCGUGACCUUGGACUCUGACGUCUGCAGGACUCAGCCCGCGCGACUGGAUGUUUAAAGCAGGAAUGCUGAAAAGUACUGUGCUUCAGACUUGCAACUGUACUUUAAAGUUGCGGAAUAAAGUAGAAAGUGGUGAUUGGAACUUACUUAGUGCAUCGCAGAGAUUUAUUUCCAUGCUGUGAAAAGUGCUGCCCCCCCCCCCCCCCCAUCUCCUUGGUAGAAACCGGUAUUCUCUUAGAAGGGUUACCUAAGAAAAGGUCAGAACUAAAAUAUAAAAUUGAGCCUAGAUCAUUUUAUAAAAUGUUAAAGAACUAAACAGGUAACGGAUUAAGUUUAUUUUUCAUGAAUAAAACAAUGAGCUUUCAUAUAUCAUGAAAGCUCUGAUAUAUGAAAUUUCUGAUAUGUGAAAUUUCUGAUAUAUGAAAUUUCAACUGGAGGUGUUACUGUCAGACCCCUAGCGUCCAGUGUGAACUUCUAAGUUAGCUUAUUGGAAAAGGUAGCUCGUUCACAAAAUAUUGAAACUACUCCAAGUAUAUUUAAAAAAAUUUUUUUUUAAUGUUUAUUCAUUUUUGAGAGACGGAGACAGAGCAUGAGCGGGGAAGGGGCAGAGAGAGAGGGAGACACAGAAUCCGAAGCAGGUUCCGGGCUCCGAGCUGUCAGUGCAGAACCCAAGGCGGGGCUCGAACUCACAGACGGCAAGAUCAUGACCUUGAGCCGAAGUCAGACGCUCGACCGACUGAGCCACCCAGGCAGGGGUCCUUCCAAGUAUAUUUUUUAUCUGCUCAGCAAUAUGAUUUUACCCUGGAGGCUUUUUUUUCUCUUUUCCUUUGCUUUUGUUAUUUAACCUUUUGUCUUAAAAAAGAAGUCACAGAUACUAGCAUUAAACAGCGAAAGGGUACAUGAGGAAUAAAAUAGGAAUCUGUUACGAGCACUUGUCCUUGAGAUAACUUUCAUGAACUUGAGAUUUAUACAUACACUGCUGUCCGCUGCUGAGCCAAGUGGGGAGAACGUGUCUUGUUCCUACCUUUGUGCUUCAUUUUUAAAAAGAGUGAGCUAAGCAACAUGCUGGUCAGGUCAAGGUCUGCUUGUAUCACCGAUGCCACCUCGUGCUCCCCUCAGCCAGGCCAGAGACCCAAAGAAAGUCGUUAAAAUCUUCAGGCUUUGCCGUGUUUGAAGUUAGUCUCGAUCAAAGGCACUAGGACUUGGGUUUUUAACAGGAACUUUUUAAAAAAUAGAAGCUGUUGAGGGAGACUUGUGCACGUGCACGUUGAGCUUCUCAAAUACAGUGCCGGGACCCCAAAAUGCAGGUGUGCUGCUGCUACGUACAGAUUUACUUGCCUUUUGAAAUCUGCUACACCAACGGCGUAUUAGUUUCAUUCUUUGAAGCUGGGAUCAGAAGAAAAGUUUUCUUGUGUCCCCGUGAAGUCCGUGCAUUAUUAUUAUUUCAGAUCCAGGUGUCGUCAGACCAGCUUGAGGGGCUUUGCUGCAGAGACAAGGCGUGAGUGCCAGGACCUCCUGGUUCUGUUUUCUCCCCUCUGCUUCGUCCUCCCUUGCUGUCUUGAGAAGGACACAUGCUUGUCACGGAGAAUAAUAAGCUCUGUAAAUGCCACCUCCCCCAAGAGAGAAUGCUGAGAGAGCUUGUGAAAUUUAGUCUUGGACAAUGUCAAAAAUGCGAGGAACUUAAGAUCGUAAUAGCAAAGGCUCAGCAUCUUUUUCUUUUUUUUUUUUUUUUUUUAAGCAAUCUCUACACCCAGCGUGGGGCUCGAACUCAUGACCUCUAGAUCAAGAGUCGCACGCACCUCAAGACCGAGCGUUGUCCAUGUCCUCCUGGCUUCGUAGGAUCUGAGCCCACCUGGCCACUGUCUCGGAGCCCCGGUCACCAAAUGUCAGUGCCCGCGGUAGCCAUCGUUGCAAAUAUAGCCAGAGAUUAGGAAAAGCAGUUACUCUCAAAAGUUAGUCCUCUCUGACCCAACUGAAAAGUACGUUUUAGCUUUAAGCAAAAUGAGGGGUUGUUGUACAGAGCUGCGACACAUUUCCACUUGUUUCUGUGGGGGGUUCUGAGCUUGAUCCUUGGUGCUGGGUUGGACUCCUUGCCAGGCCGGCAGGGUGUGAAUGCUGUUACUCAGACAUUCCACCGGCCCAGGAAGGACAGAGCCCCUGCUCGGCCUCGUAUCCCACAGGGGUGGCGACGGGGAGGGGCUCUGUGACGGCUGUGUAUGGGAAUGUGGCUUGGGGAUAUGGUGGGGGGUACUGAGGAAUUCCUGGUCGUGACAAGCUAUCUGGGGAGGUGAGGACUGUUCAGGGACCGAACAAGGCAGACGCCUAACUCAAGAGCGAAGGAAAUCACCCCUGGUUUCAUUUCCCCAGUUCCCGAAUUUUUUCUUUUUCUUUUCAUUCUCCUCUGACAGCUGUUUGCAAAUCUGAAUACUGGGUAUUACUAAUGACUUCGUGAGGGUACUUCUUUUCUGUUUCCUUUUAAGGCCGAGAUCCUGUUGUGGUAGCCGGUUGUUAACAUAAGUCACAACUCUGGUACAGUAAAUAAAGUGUGUCCCUUACUCCGUUGUGGCUGCUUUGCAAUCAAAGUGACCGACUGCCUGUCUCUGGUGUUUCUUUGCAGAUACGGUAUUUGAACCCAGGCUUGUCACAUGUUUGUCCUGGUAAUUUUCCUUAUACCAUUAGCUCGUGACUUUUGUUGUCAAGGAAUAGAAAUGCUUAUAUCCGCUUUAAGUAUUUUCCCCACCACAUUUUUGUCAAAAGUUUUGUGGCCUGAGAGCCUGGGACAGGUUUAGAGGGUGGUGGGUCUCGCUUCUGUAAAGAGGCUUCAGGUUAAGGCCGCUGCGAGGUUCCUCUGUCCCCCAGUCACCGCACUCCGAGCCUCGCGUGGAUGCCUCCGUCACGGCAUGCACGUGGCGGCUUGAGGUGGGCAUCGAGACACCUGCCUUGUGGCGCCCGCACCUCCUCAGCCCCAGGGCCUCGCUCUUACAGCCCAUACGCAGGAGGUCCGUUCUGGGUGACAGCUCAGAUGGGUCCCCCUUCAGGGACAGUAAUGGCCACUAGAGCCUGCUUCCGCUCCACCUGUGAGGUUUGCAACGAAGGAUGGCUUGUUCUUCGGGACCCUCGUGGUGGAGCCCCCCAGCCGCGACGGGUUACGUUUCAGUGUUUUUGGGGUGGCUGGCGAUUGCCGAGCUUAGGGACAUGCGGUAUUUGCUGUGUUAAGAUACCCUCUGCCUUCCGCUGGCCCUGGUUUCUGAUGUAUCCCAGUUACAGAUGCGUUCUUCCAGCCAGACCUCUGUUUGGAGUCUGACAACACAGCAUUUUAAGAGAAGCCUGAGUAAAAUAUUCCGGUGUAUCGCAUAUCUUGCAUUCUGACACGAAUAAAUAUCCUUGCUUUUUCACUUGUUAUCACCUCGUUUCUCAAAUCUAGGGCCAUCUCACAUCUCUGUUUCACAAUUACUACGUUCUGAGGCCAGACGUGGUAGGAGUUUCACGAUUUGGGACUCUUUGAACUUCUAAAUAACUAAUGAGCGUGUUUUCCACAUAGAAAACUACUCCCACUACAUUCGUGAAAUACCAAACGCUAACGAUGUCUUCCUUCUUAGGGUUUGGGUAGCGUAAGAGUCUUUUCUUGCCAAAAAUAACAUUAGCACAUAUUACAAAAAGUGUAAAUAAAUAGGACUAGAAUGUUUGCUUACUGUCUUCUGUGGAACUUCAUUUUACAUCAGAGACAGCGAUGUGUCAUCACGUCACUUCAUCGAAGCCUGGAGCAGUGGUGACAGGUGUUUGUAUGCAGGUGACACGUGUAUUUUCCCACAAAGUCUGACUUUUGGAAAAUUAACUUGCGUGUAUUUUAUUUCAUGACAUAAGGAAAGUACGUGUAACUUUCUCCAUAAAUAUCAGAGGUCUGACUUCGAGAAGAUUUCAGCUUAUUAGUCAUAAUCCCGCUCUUAGCAUAUGCACGGCGCAUCCGUUUAGAUGCGUUUAAGGUUUGGUACCAGUGCCCCAGUCUUACUCUGAUGAGGUUCAGAGUGGGGGUCUUCGUUCUAGGAGCCCAUCUCGUAACGGGAGCAUCUCCUGUAAAAUAAAAUCUCUUAUUGUGAAAUCCUGUGUUGCAAAUCAGAAACAUUUGCUCUCCAGAGCCCAGGGCCGCAUUACGCUUUCCUUUAAAUCAUCACGUGGGACGAGACUGUAUUCUUACAUGAUCUACAGCCUAGUUAUUGUGUCACGGCUGAAAUGUUCCAGCUUCUUUAGAUAGAAAACUAGCACAUCUGGGCCUCCUGUCCUGCUCUGACAUAACGCAUUCUCCCUGCUCUGAGCGGUCGAGGGCUCUCCUGCGGCUCGCGACCAGACAGAAUGUUUGCCAGGGUUCCCACCCGAAGCCCGUAACAGACUAACCUCCUGGACUUGGGUUUUACAUUGAAGAAGGCGCUGUAACUUUUGGUUAGGUUAAGGAAGGCUCAAAUUUUUGUCUAUAUUGAGUAUUGUGUUGUCAGAUUUUCUUUUCUUUUCUUUCUUUUUUUUUUUUUUUUUUUGUCCACAGGAAAAUAGGAGGCUACCUUUUCUCUGCAAGUUGCUAAUCUCUGUGUGUUUUGCUUUAAAAUAGCUUCUGGGGCGCCUGGGUGGCUCAUCGGUUAAGCAUCCGACUCUUGAUUUCCGCUCAGGUCAUGAUCUCACGGUUUGUGAGUUCGAGUCCCGUGUUGGGCUCUGUGUGGAGCCUGCUUAGUAUUCUCUCUCUCUCUCUCUUUCUGCGCCCCCUCCCCCCAUCUCUCAAAAUGAAUAAACGAACUUAAAAAUACAGCUUCUGAUCUUCAGUAAAAUUUUUAGAAGUGUUUAGAUUAAUAAGUAAAUUUUAUUCCUGAUGACCAAAUUGCUUUCUGGAUUAUUGGUAAAGUGGAUAUAGUUUACUAGUUUUUAAUCAAAUCAAACAAAGGAUGUAAUGAAUAAAAUCUAAGAUUUCCCAGAUCCACUCCUUUCCAGGACUCUAUUACUAUGCUAGCAUAAGGUGGCAGUUAGGCAGAAGGUCUGUUGUCUAUUAAAUUUAAUGGCUCACCGUGAGAGAAAACUUUUAUUUAUGUUCGUUGUUUAAGAAUAUUUGUGCCAGUGCCAAGGAAAAGCCUACUACCCUCAGAAGCCAAACAAAAAUAAACUUUUAAAGAACCUCCGAAGAUAAGCUUGCGUGCGUAUCGUUACUGGAGUGACCUCUGCUGGUUUGGAUAAAAGUGUGAAAAGCCAGUCCUGAUACUUCCCGUUGUUCAGGAGUUUACUACCCAGAAUUGACAAGCGGACAGUAGGUCCACACACACAGUUCUACUUAAAAUGUGCUGGGUGUUGGCCGUGGUUUCUUUCCCACGACCACAGAGGAAGUGGGCCUUGGGGCCCGUGGAAAUCAGCAACAAAGUAGGAUGUGUUUACUGAAACCACAUUUAUUCAACUUAAUAAAUAGUGAUGUAACAAAGUAAUGAUGCGACAGUGACAAAUUGUAAAACACCAGUUUUUUUCCAACAGAUAUUUGUCAGGUGCUUGCUAGGUACUGGACCUUCCUGAGGGGCAUAAAAAUGAUGAUAAUAGAGUCUGUGGGGUCAAGUGUAGGUUAAGGGGGUAAAAGAGGUGCAGAAACGACUGAGAUAAGAACCUAACACGAGCUAAGUGCUGUGAGAGACUUGGCGGAGGAGGCCGGGGCUUCUGGCCUGGGUAAUCCAGGAAGGCUCCGUGGAGGCGGAGUCACGUGAUGUGAUGUCGUCAUGUGAUGUCGAGAAUAGGUGGGACGAGGCCAUCGGAAAGCUGGGCAGAGGCUGCUGCGGGGAAGGAAGGGUGGUCACUGAGACGCAAGGGCGCGUGCGGGGCCGCGGACGAGGCGAUGGAGCUGAGACGGCGCAGCCGGAGAGGAAGGUGCGGCUGCGGCCCCAGGACAGGUGACCGAGGGUGGACGGCGUGGCGGGCUUCCGGGGAGAUGCGGGGCACUUUGGGGCUCACGUGACUGAGAGGGUAAACACACGGGAAACGAGACGUCGCUUGGGGUUGAGACAUGAUUGUACAGCAGGCCCCGCCCCUGCGCCUCGCUCUCUGCGGUUUCAGUUACCCGCGCUCAGUCGCAGGCGAUGCUCCUACUGACGGGCGGCCGGAGGGUCACACGGCCUGGCCCCUGUCCCCGGGCACCUGGUGCCUGUCCCCUGGCACGUGGCCCAUGGCACCUGUCCCUGCGUGGGCGUGUCCCCUGGAGCCUGGCCCCUGUCCUCAGGCACCUGUCCCCCUCACCCAUCCGUACAGGGAGGAGGGAGGCGGGACCGCGAGGCNNNNNNNNNNNNNNNNNNNNNNNNNNNNNNNNNNNNNNNNNNNNNNNNNNNNNNNNNNNNNNNNNNNNNNNNNNNNNNNNNNNNNNNNNNNNNNNNNNNNNNNNNNNNNNNNNNNNNNNNNNNNNNNNNNNNNNNNNNNNNNNNNNNNNNNNNNNNNNNNNNNNNNNNNNNNNNNNNNNNNNNNNNNNNNNNNNNNNNNNNNNNNNNNNNNNNNNNNNNNNNNNNNNNNNNNNNNNNNNNNNNNNNNNNNNNNNNNNNNNNNNNNNNNNNNNNNNNNNNNNNNNNNNNNNNNNNNNNNNNNNNNNNNNNNNNNNNNNNNNNNNNNNNNNNNNNNNNNNNNNNNNNNNNNNNNNNNNNNNNNNNNNNNNNNNNNNNNNNNNNNNNNNNNNNNNGCAGACGUCCCGCCAAGGAGGGGGCAGACGUCCCGCCAAGGAGGGCGCAGACGUCCCGCCAAGGAGGGGGCAGACGUCCCGCCAAGGAGGGGGCAGACGUCCCGCCAAGGAGGGCGCAGACGUCCCGCCAAGGAGGGCGCAGACGUCCCGCCAAGGAGGGCGCAGACGUCCCGCCAAGGAGGGGCAGGGAUGGGUUUCUCGGGGUAAUUUAUGGGAUCAACAACUCUAGAACCUUUGUUUGCGUUUCUUGCAGCCACGACCUCAAUGAGGUGGGAUUGGCCGCUUUAAUAAACUAAAUCGAGGUCCUGUUCAGAUGAUCCAGGAAUUUAAAAUACCUUUAUUUUCUUUUUAAUUCUAUAUUUCUUUUUUGGAGAUUUUUCGGUACUACAGUGUUCGGCCUGCCUAUGACAUGAAGCCCACUGGCCUGUGAUUUCGAGAUGAGUGUUUUAACAUGUUUUCUUGAGUUAAUGCUUCUCUCCCUGUUUCUCCCCAAGAUGGGUUGUUUUCUGUGUAAAUUUAGAAGAGAUGAGCAUAGAAGUUACCUUCCUACCUUGAGGAGCUCAUACGCUGUCUUAUUUUUUUCCCGCGUUUACAAUGAUUUUAUUUUUGAAGUGUCGUUGACAUACAGUAUGAGUUUCACAGGUACAACGCAGUGACAGUCGCCCAGUGUCUGUGCUGUGGUGGCUCAGCACCUGGGUCUCAGACCAGCAGCGUGGACACCCCUUGGGGUAGGUUCUCAGGCUCCAGCCCCCAGCUCAGACCAGACCCACGGUGGGGAAGCAGCGGCCGCCCUCUCGCCAGUCUUCCUGGCUCUGACACAGGCGACUUUGAGGACUGCUGGUCUCAUGGCCACGACUUCCUACUUCCCCUGAAAUUCCUUUUAUUGAGAUAAAAUCCAUAUUCCAUAAAAUUCACCAUUUCAAGUGUACGAGUCAGCAGUUUGUGGAGUACGGGAAAGGCCGUGCGCCAUCACCUCUCUUGAACCCCAGGACGUGUUUAUCACCAAGAAGAAACUCUGCCCGGUGGUCGUCGCCCCGGCCACUCGCGCACUUUCUGUCCCUGUAGAUCGAGAGCCCGGGANNNNNNNNNNNNNNNNNNNNNNNNNNNNNNNNNNNNNNNNNNNNNNNNNNNNNNNNNNNNNNNNNNNNNNNNNNNNNNNNNNNNNNNNNNNNNNNNNNNNNNNNNNNNNNNNNNNNNNNNNNNNNNNNNNNNNNNNNNNNNNNNNNNNNNNNNNNNNNNNNNNNNNNNNNNNNNNNNNNNNNNNNNNNNNNNNNNNNNNNNNNNNNNNNNNNNNNNNNNNNNNNNNNNNNNNNNNNNNNNNNNNNNNNNNNNNNNNNNNNNNNNNNNNNNNNNNNNNNNNNNNNNNNNNNNNNNNNNNNNNNNNNNNNNNNNNNNNNNNNNNNNNNNNNNNNNNNNNNNNNNNNNNNNNNNNNNNNNNNNNNNNNNNNNNNNNNNNNNNNNNNNNNNNNNNNNNNNNNNNNNNNNNNNNNNNNNNNNNNNNNNNNNNNNNNNNNNNNNNNNNNNNNNNNNNNNNNNNNNNNNNNNNNNNNNNNNNNNNNNNNNNNNNNNNNNNNNNNNNNNNNNNNNNNNNNNNNNNNNNNNNNNNNNNNNNNNNNNNNNNNNNNNNNNNNNNNNNNNNNNNNNNNNNNNNNNNNNNNNNNNNNNNNNNNNNNNNNNNNNNNNNNNNNNNNNNNNNNNNNNNNNNNNNNNNNNNNNNNNNNNNNNNNNNNNNNNNNNNNNNNNNNNNNNNNNNNNNNNNNNNNNNNNNNNNNNNNNNNNNNNNNNNNNNNNNNNNNNNNNNNNNNNNNNNNNNNNNNNNNNNNNNNNNNNNNNNNNNNNNNNNNNNNNNNNNNNNNNNNNNNNNNNNNNNNNNNNNNNNNNNNNNNNNNNNNNNNNNNNNNNNNNNNNNNNNNNNNNNNNNNNNNNNNNNNNNNNNNNNNNNNNNNNNNNNNNNNNNNNNNNNNNNNNNNNNNNNNNNNNNNNNNNNNNNNNNNNNNNNNNNNNNNNNNNNNNNNNNNNNNNNNNNNNNNNNNNNNNNNNNNNNNNNNNNNNNNNNNNNNNNNNNNNNNNNNNNNNNNNNNNNNNNNNNNNNNNNNNNNNNNNNNNNNNNNNNNNNNNNNNNNNNNNNNNNNNNNNNNNNNNNNNNNNNNNNNNNNNNNNNNNNNNNNNNNNNNNNNNNNNNNNNNNNNNNNNNNNNNNNNNNNNNNNNNNNNNNNNNNNNNNNNNNNNNNNNNNNNNNNNNNNNNNNNNNNNNNNNNNNNNNNNNNNNNNNNNNNNNNNNNNNNNNNNNNNNNNNNNNNNNNNNNNNNNNNNNNNNNNNNNNNNNNNNNNNNNNNNNNNNNNNNNNNNNNNNNNNNNNNNNNNNNNNNNNNNNNNNNNNNNNNNNNNNNNNNNNNNNNNNNNNNNNNNNNNNNNNNNNNNNNNNNNNNNNNNNNNNNNNNNNNNNNNNNNNNNNNNNNNNNNNNNNNNNNNNNNNNNNNNNNNNNNNNNNNNNNNNNNNNNNNNNNNNNNNNNNNNNNNNNNNNNNNNNNNNNNNNNNNNNNNNNNNNNNNNNNNNNNNNNNNNNNNNNNNNNNNNNNNNNNNNNNNNNNNNNNUCCUUCCUCCUCCCUUCCUUCCCCCUCCUUUCCUUCCUCCCUCCCUCCCUUCCCUCCUCCCUUCUUUCCCAUUAAGCCAUCUUAAUGGAUGCGAAAUGGUGUGUCAUGCUUUUAUUUCACACUUCCAUAAUUAUUAGUGAUGUGGAGCAACUUCCCAUGUGCAUGUUAACCACUCAUACGUUUUCUUUGGAAAAUGCCUAUUCCAAAAUUGCGACUACUUCUAGAUUAUAUUAUUUGCCUUUUUAUUGUUGUUACUAAGUUUUUCUACAUUGUGGUUACUAGCCUCUCAGAUACGUGAUUUGCACGUAUUUUCCCCUCCUCUGUGGGUUGUCUUUUCAUUUUCUUGAUAAUGUUCUUUGAGGCAUUAAAGUUUCAUCAUUUUAAUGAAGUCCAAUUUUAUCUUUUUUUCUUUGAUUACUUGUGCUUUUGGUGUUAAUUUCUUUAAUUUUGAAAGUGCCGUAUUUAUAUAAUUAAUCACUACAGCCUGUUGAGAGCGUCGUUUACACAUUUUUAAUUGGAGAAGUCUGAAGAAGAGUUGGAGUUCACGUUUCAGUAGGGUUAUCACUUGUUUGCCAGUGGAUGUAAAGUAUUUGUUUGCAGAUACCAGAUAUUUAAAAGGUUUUUACAUUGUGGUUGUGGAAUUUAAAAUAAUGGCAUCGUCAGGGCCACAAAUUUAUAAAAAGUAGUGUCCGAUUCAUUUAACAAACUGCUGUUUUGUUUAGGAAAAUUGAAGGGAAACACACCACUGCUUGAAACAUGACUUUCUCUAUUUAUUAAAGAAGAUUCUGCCUCUUUUAAAAACCACGGACUUUCCGCCCUAAAAGCUGGGUCUCAAGAACUAUUUGUGAAAGAACGCAAGAAUCCCAGAACUUGGAAAUAAACACUGUUGGUGUUUAUUUGUGUUAGUUUAGAUGAAGUAGCCGGCCCUCGGAGUCAGAAAACUGAAUCUGUAGCAGCUGAGGUCAGCCUCAGCAAGCAAAUAGUAUAGCUAGCAUGGCUUUAAUCCACUAAGUAACGUUCAGUCGGAAAGAUCAAAGGAAGUUACAACCAAAAACAGCCCUUGUUAACAGUUUCCCGGUAGAAGCAGGAAAAGGCUAGAAAUCACACGUCACCUCAUAUCCUGGCCCGCUGACCCCGUGCUCCAGCCGUCAGCAGUGCUGGGACCCUGCCCCUAGGGGCCGAGGACGAGAAAACUCUCCCGCCCUGGCCCUGUAGGAAGCCAGGGCUGCAAGUGCACCCCUGACACAGCGCCGCCCCGGGUCCAGAGCCCAGAGCCGGGUUCAGAGCCGGGUUCAGAGCCGGCUGCUGCGCUCACCCGCCCGCGACCACGCUCAGCCGGGAACGUUUCUUCUUUCCGUGAAGGUAAUGCAUUUGCUCCUGCUUCCGUUCCUGGGAAUUUGUUGUUUUGAGAGUUUAUUUAAAAACUGAACUUUUGGUCUGUGCUUCUAGGAUUGGAUUAAAACUUCGGCUCAUAGGUUUGUUUUUCAGUGUAAACCCUGAAUGGCACGUUAAGGCAUUAAAAUCUUAGGAGGUUUAUUUGAACUGGAGUCUAGCGCUGUAAGGUAAGGUUAGCCGUUUCUUGGGUUUAUUAAAAUGUGCUUUCUUUAGUAAGUGUGGGGGGAGGGAGCCUCGGACUUAAAGUAGUUUGUGUGCUUUCAUACUUUGGGAGUCUUCGUAGGCUCCGUCUAAAGGAGAGAAUUUUGAAAAUACGUGCUUCUCUCAUUAUUAGCUGGUAUGAAAAUAGAACCCUGGGAAUUACCUGAAUCACUUUUGUGAAUUGAGUAGUGUAAAAAGACGGUAAUGUUUUAGCAUCUUCCAGCCUAUAAAAAUAGAAGUUUGGUGAACAUACCUACUUGGGAUCGAAGCUUCCACAGCAAGAUUAAUUCUUAGCAGUGUUCAUCUGAAAUACACAGGCUGGGUACACCUUCAAGUUGUUUUGAGUCGAUUACAUUUUUUUUUUUGCAUUGUAUGCAUUUUAAUUGGGGCAGUGGCCACUACGUCGUAACUGGACUUACUGGUCAAAGUGGGAAUCGUCAUGUGUUGGCCAAAUUUACCUUUUUUUCCUUUUCUGUUGAAUGUAGUUGACCUACAACACUGUGUGUUAGUUUGGCACAUUUAUAUGCUGCGGCCGUGAACACCGUCCUGGUGUUGAGUGCUUCCAUCACAGUACAUACUUACCCUUUCUUUUCAGUGUUGGGUGCUUAGAUCUUUGUGACUCAGCAGGUUCGAGGACUGCGUGCGUCACACGGCAUUAGAUCUCUGGCUGGUGUCUUGCCCCCGGCGGGUUUGUGCCCUGAAUCAACAGCGGCCUUCCCCUUUGCUUAAAAUGAGGGUGGAGAGUUUAUAUGCCACUGGCAGGAAUAUUCAGGCUGUUUUAGUCUGUGACAUAGUUGUAUGUCUGGUGGGAAAGGGUAAAUUUUGAAGAAACUAGGCACAGAAAAGUUUUGUGAAAACUGAGGUAUUUCAUGUAAAUCAUUGACUGUAAACGAGCCUCUCAGUGAUCAUGCAAGAAAGUGGGGUCUCUUUUUACAGUUUGGUAACGUUUCCUCUAACAGGUAUUCUUGUUGAAAGGAAGAGAAUGAAAUACGUCCUUUUUACCCACAAGAGGGGUCUUUUAGGUCAUAGUAUUUAAUUUUUUUUUUAACAUUUAUUUAUUUUUGAGACAGAGACAGAGCAUGAGCAGGGGAGGGGCAGAGAGAGAGGGAGACACAGAAUCCGAAGCAGGUUCCAGGCUCCAAGCUGUCAGCACAGAGCCCGACACGGGGCUCGGACUCACAGACCUUACCAAACAAACACCUUUCUUUCUUCUCCUCCUCCUCCUCCUCCUCCUUCUUCUUCUUUUAGUGUUUAUUUAUUUUUGAGAGAGAGUGUGAGCUGGGGAGGGGCAGAGAGAGGGAGACACAGAAUCCCAAGCAGGCUCCAGGCUCUGAGCUGUCAGCACAGAGCCCGAUGUGGGGCUCAAACUCACAGACCUUACCAAACACCUUUCUUUUUUUGUCUUCUUUCUUCUUUCUUCUUUCUUCUUCUUCUUCUUCUUCUUCUUCUUCUUCUUCUUCUUCUUCUUCUUCUUAGUGUUUAUUUAUUUUUCAGAGAGAGAGAGCAUGAGCAGGGGAGGGGCAGAAAGUGAGGGAGACACAGAAUUCGAAGCAGGUUCCAGGCUCCGAGCGCUCAGCACAGAGCCUGACAUGGGGCUCGAACUCACAGACCUUACCAAACAAACACUCUUUCUUUCUUUCUUUCUUUCUUUCUUUCUUUCUUUCUUUCUCUCUCUCUCUCUCUCUCUCUCUCUCUCUUUCUUUCUUUCUUUCUUUCUUGUUUAUUUAUUUUUGAAGCAGAGAGAGAGAGAGCAUGAGCAGGGAGGGGCAGAAAGCAAGGGAGACACAGAAUCUGAAGCAGCUCCAGGUUCCGAGCCGUCAGCACAGAGCCCGACGCGGGGCUCGAAUUCACAAACCGCGAGAUCAUGACCAGAACCCAAGUCCGACACUUAACCGACUGAACCACCCAGGCUCCCCGUAGCUCAUAGUAUUUAUAAUUAAGAAAGCUGUAGUUCUCUUUGAAGCCUCAGAAGUCACUGACUAUGUAAAUCAUCUCCAGUUGUGGCUGGUGCAUUGACUACUGUCCGUGGCUUUCUGUCUGCUGACACAUUUCUGCUUCUUAAAGUGUUACAGCAAAGAGUCUUUUAUCAUCGUGUCAUUUAUUUUUGAACUUUGUGUCUCUAACAGACUAAAUGCUUUUGUUGCUACUCUUGAAUAUUGGAGUAUUUUAUUAGAUUACACUUUAUCUGUAACUUUUGUUUUAGCGUACAAACAUAGGCAGGGUAUUUUUGUGUAUUUUCUGUGGUAGCUGACAUCUUAGAUGUGAAUUACAGGAUCGUGAGCAUGAAGUUUGCACAGAUGGUGAAAAAUGCUUGUGUCUGACGUGACUGACACACAGCGCAGCUUAGGGAACACUUGUUACCUUCGCCUCUCCCGGAAGAGGCUGUGUGUCACAGCACUGAUGUUGCGAGUGUUUUAACCUGAUCCCACGUCCAGACUUGAUGCUGAGCCGACCAACCCCUGUGGGCGACCGCGUGCAGCCGCGUGCCAGGGCCUUGCACACCCGUCCUGUGUGUGAGCGUGUUGGCCGGCCCAGGGGUGGGGGUGGGGAGGGGCAGCUCGCCCGUCACCCCGAGUGCGGCCUGCGGCCUUGGCACACAGGCUCUGUGAAUGCUGCCUGUUGUUCAAGAUGGAAAGGCCCGAUCACACCCCAGCUGGGAAAUAAACGUGGGCGUCGAGGGCGGGACGGACGAGCUGCCUGGCCUGCCGGCCGUCUUGGGAAAAACACAGAACAAAGCAUCUGAAGCAGGACUUAGAGAUGCAGGACUCGGAAGAGGGGCGCCUUACUUCUGUCCUUUGUUGUUCUAAUCCCCAGCAAGCAGGCUCAGUCCAGGUGCACCUAUGCAGACUCCCGAGAAAAACGGUCACGGUGAACACAGGAGGCGCUUAAUACAUGCUUGCUAAAUAAGGACGACGUUCGCCUGUUCAACUGGAAGACACAAUUUGAUGACCUCUGCGGGCAGACAAGGGUCCCGCACCGCCGGUCGGUGUGGUUUCAGGUCGUCUGCUACAUGUGGGUGGGCAGGUAGGGGUCACGAGCAUCCGCAGUGACGGUGGGAGCAGAGACAGAAAGGGUUUAUGAGACUCGCACCCAGGCUGUCACCAAGACUGAACCUGCGGGUCCAGUGUAAGGAAGAAGAAAGUGCUUGUGAAGUUGAUGUUUUCCUAAGCUCGAGGUAGAUCUCAGGGCCCUUUAAGCAAAAGGGUGUCUUCAGUUGUGUUUGUGCAGAUACGCGGAGGGGUUGCUGCGUAGACUGACGGGUACCCUGGAGACGCUGUUUGCUGGACAAUGAGGCAGAGCUGUUUGGGGGGCGGCUUGGGAAGUUAGAUCUGCUGCUUCUCAAACUUCACAAAACAGCGGGGCUGGAGCCCGCUCUCAGACCCUUGGGUGUGUGGGAUUUGUGGGGAAGGCGCGGGUCAGGGUAAGAGCUCCGUGAAAAAAACAUACACGCCACCUUCAAAACCAAACAAGCUCGAGUCCUUGAUGGUGAUCGAGCUCGGUUUUUGACGUUACGGAAGACAUUUCACAUCCCCUCACAUUCUUUCGCCUCCCGGGAUGUGGGAGUAGAAUUCUCUUGGUUUGAUUUAUCUCAGAGACGUGUUUCCCCUGGAGGCUGGUUGCCGAGUUUUGAGUUUCUGAGACGUGUGAGGUGUUUAAACACUCCUGGUGUCUUCAGGCUUCCUUGUGAUGUGCUGGGCACAUCUGGAAGGCUCGGGGACAGACUCCUGUUCUGCCUGGGAAGAGCCAGGGGCACAGACAGGUUGCUCCGGUGUGAGGUUGCCCGUUUUGCGAUCUUACCUGAGGCAGUGGUUUCAGAGGAAAUCUUACGGCCUGAACACGGCCCUGUCUCAUGGGGAGGGUCCUGCUUGUCACCAGAGCGUUGUGGAAUUCUCACUGGGCCGGAGUGAGGGGAGAUGCGGGCCCGGGGUCUGUGGGUGUCUGAGCCACAGAUUGGAGCAUUAAAGGGCUUAACAUGCAAUCAGAAAUCUUUUCCUUUCUGUCUUUCUUUCUUUCUUCCUUCCUUCCUUCCUUUCUUUCUUUCUUUCUUUCUGGCACAGAACUUCAGAGAACAUGCUCUUUUAAUACAGGGGUUUGGGACCUCAUUUCAAAGAUUGACAAGGGGUCAGGGGACAUAAUUUUUCUUUUGGGUUAAAUAAACUCAUUAGUCAGAUUGGCUGGAUCCUGACCUCAGUCACGGGAUCCGGAAGUAACUGUGAUGCCUGGUUCCACUUUCUCACCUGGAGGCAUGUGAACGCUGCCCAUGUGACUGUCUCACCGAGGCUCUCUCCCUACCGCACUGUUGCCCCCACGCUUAUAACUUCAAAAAUACCCUUUUCAUCGUUACAGAGAGAAAUAAAGACCAUCAGAACGCUCCGAAGCUCGUCCCAUGUGAAGGACCCGUUCUGCAUGCUGUUUGCGAUGCGGCAACAUUUUGCUUAAGAAAUACUUAAGCAGUAUUUUCUGAAAGAUGGAUCCCUUUAGUGGUGGUCGCCUGCUGUUAUAACUUGAUGGGCAUCAGUUGUACAAAUUCUCAAUCUGUGGGUCUCAGUCCUAGCCACACACUGGGAUCAUCUGAGGAGCUUUUAAAAAACGCUGAUGACCGCAGUCCAUUACAACAUGAAUUAAAUCAGAGAACCUUUGGGCCAGGGCCCUGGGUCUGAAGGGUUUUAUAUUACUGAAAUGGUUCUAAUGUACAGAAGAGGUGGAGACCAUUGGAAUAGACUCGUAACUUCGUGAACAUUUGUUGUAUUUAUUACAGUCGCUUCACGAUUUGUAGCUUAGUCUAGGUGAACUGAAUGUCGUGGCUGGCUCCUGGGUUAUGAUGGCCGCUUAUUGGAGGGCUUUCCAGAAUUUUUUUGAAAGACGAUUGACUGAUACUAAUAAUUAUGGAAAACCCCUCUGGGUUUAUUUUCCAUGUUCUUAGUUACACCAGUGGGUUCAUCUGACAUUGAAACUCAAAGAUACAAGAAGCCUUUCUUUCUUCAGGCCGUAAGUGCUUGUGGGGCCGGCGCUGUAUGGGGAGUGUGGGGAGACGUGGCGGGUGUUGUGUGGGCUGAUAAUUUUUGUGGAUGAAUGUGGAAGACAGAUGUCUGAAGAGUGUCCUAAUAACUUCAGCACAGCAGUAGUGUUCUUGGCAUACAGAUUUAGGAACAUAAGUGUUCAUGGUGAUAAGGUGUUCUUAGCUCUCACGUAUCCCAGACUAUAAAGAGAAGCUUCAUUUUACGCUUCUCCUCCCAGGUAGGUCUGUUACCAAAGGCACACUCCACACAGAACAAAGGAGCACAGUGAGAUUAGAAAGACUGUCACCUGCCCACCUGUGCGGGGCUCGCAUCUGACAACAGGACUGCUUUCCACAUUCGGGGUUUUCUGAUUUGCUGGGGCACUGUUAAGAUCUUCCUUGAGUUAUUUAACUUUUAUACUCUUUGUUGUAAAUCUGGGAGGGAAAAUUAUGAGGCCGUUUUUUCCCCCCGUAUCGUUAAGCUGUUUGUAAAUACCGUGAACGGCUUCUGUAAAACUGGAACACUUAACAUUUACGGUUCGUUGGUGUCUUUAUCAGUGUCGAUUGUGUGUAUUGAAAGAGGUCAUAUAAAAAAGAUUUCAUUUUCAGAGGUGGUGUUUGUUAACAUAAGUCAAAACCACCUUCUUCAUAAUAUACAUUUAACAGACCAACAGUUGAGCUUUCGUGGUAAAAGAAUAGUGAUCUGCGACUCUCAGAUUUGCCGGGACUCAGUCUGUUGGCUUCCUCAUGGUGUGUGGAGGGCAGGGCACGCAGACAGGUGCCCAGAUGUUUGCCCCGGAUUGUCCGGGACAUGACUGCUAAUGUAUUGCCGUUUAUGAGGAAGGGGAAUGAUAGCAAUACCGAGAAUUCUUUGUAACUCGUGAAGUCCCCACAGGGGAGUAAGUACAGACACUGCUAAGCCGUCUUAUUGAAGGAGAGUUUAUCGGUAGAAAGUUCAUGAACUCAAACAAAAAUAAGACAGUUUAAUUUGUCUCAGAAGAAGAGAAGAUCGUAUUCCCUUAUGUAAGACCAUUCUUUUCAGUUCCUUAACACUGGUCCUUUGAUUAAAGAUACAGAUUUUGCUGUCAGGUCACAAUUCUGUUUUCAUCGUCCAAACCCUCCAUGUCAACAAAGAUUGGCCCCUGGCUGGCUUCUCAGGUUUGCAUAACGUGAUGCACGAGUGGAAGGCACUUCUGAAUUCAGUGGAAGGGGCCUCUGACGCUCUUGGAUGCUGAACUGUACCUUUCAAAACCGUCUUGGGAAAUAGUGAAUUCAGAGGCUGGUUUUCACGCAGACCUUCACACUGGAUUUUGUACCAGCAGCCUCUGGCGGUCCCGGAGCAGCUCGUUGAACUUGGCGCUGGCCCGGAGGCAUCUUGAGGUAGCGGGAGAGCCUCACUUUCAAAGGCAGCCUGGUCUGAGGCUGGAUCCCAGUCGUGUGAUUUACGUGAGUUAGUACUUCAGUACUUUGGCCCUCAGUUUUCUCUGUGAUAUCUGCUCAGGUAUCGUGAGGAAAGUGCUUGACACAGUGAGAUGAGGAAACCAGCUUUAACAAUAGCCCUUUGGGGGGACAUAUCCCUGGAGACAAAACCUGGCCGACACCCUUCCAAACGGACCCGCUGCAGACGAGCUCUGCAGUCGUUCCUCGUCAGUGACUGUUUGCUCCCUGGCCACGGCUCUAAGGGUUGAGGGGUCGACUUGCUGCCCCUGCUCAGGGACGAGGCCAUCAUUUGGGGGAAGCAUCGAGCAGCGUGAGAGGAACCGUUUCGUGUGAACGCAAAUUUGAUGAGUAACGGAUACAAGUGCUCCCCAGACUGGAUGCCUAAGGCCUGGUGUGCAGAGGGGCCCCCGGCGUGUCUGUCGCCCAUCUGCUAACCCUGCCAGCACGUGAGAGAAGAAGAUCGUCUCCCGCAUUGAACUGGGCCCAGGACUUCAAUCCACAUUCAGGAGUCGCACCAGAACGGUUAAAAGCUGAUUGGCUAUUUGUGUGCACGUAACGGUUUACGGGUUGUGAGACAAGCCAUGCUUGGUCACCAGCUUGAGCCUCUCGUGUUAACUGUGUCGCUUUCCUCCGCCUUAGUCGGAACGGCAGGCCUUCCUUUCUCCGUCUCUGCUGUCGUUCCCCCGCUUGCUGGCUCCGUGCUGCUUUAAUUGUGCGUAUGCUGCCCCAGCCGCGGCCUGGCUCUCCGGCAGCCUCCGCGCCUGGUUUGCCGCACGCANNNNNNNNNNNNNNNNNNNNNNNNNNNNNNNNNNNNNNNNNNNNNNNNNNNNNNNNNNNNNNNNNNNNNNNNNNNNNNNNNNNNNNNNNNNNNNNNNNNNNNNNNNNNNNNNNNNNNNNNNNNNNNNNNNNNNNNNNNNNNNNNNNNNNNNNNNNNNNNNNNNNNNNNNNNNNNNNNNNNNNNNNNNNNNNNNNNNNNNNNNNNNNNNNNNNNNNNNNNNNNNNNNNNNNNNNNNNNNNNNNNNNNNNNNNNNNNNNNNNNNNNNNNNNNNNNNNNNNNNNNNNNNNNNNNNNNNNNNNNNNNNNNNNNNNNNNNNNNNNNNNNNNNNNNNNNNNNNNNNNNNNNNNNNNNNNNNNNNNNNNNNNNNNNNNNNNNNNNNNNNNNNNNNNNNNNNNNNNNNNNNNNNNNNNNNNNNNNNNNNNNNNNNNNNNNNNNNNNNNNNNNNNNNNNNNNNNNNNNNNNNNNNNNNNNNNNNNNNNNNNNNNNNNNNNNNNNNNNNNNNNNNNNNNNNNNNNNNNNNNNNNNNNNNNNNNNNNNNNNNNNNNNNNNNNGCCUGGUUAGUGGCCACGUGGUCCCUGCGGUGAUUGGGGUGGGGUGUGCAGGGUGCCUGGCAUGACGUUCGGAUUCUAGCUUGCAGCUUUGGGACCACGGAGCACACCCCCGGGUGCGAGUGGCUGCUGCGAGGUUUUCACAAUGGCCCUUCCCGUGCGUUUGUGCUCCGGUGGCCACCUGAUAGCUCGAUGGCAUCCUUUAUGGCCGUGACGUUUAAUCUGUUGGCAUCACUGUGAUUACACAGUAGUAUAUCCACUGAGCUGCUGUUUUGUCUUUUAACGUGGUCAUUUAUACCUACUAUAAAAAUACGUAAACCAUGUAUCGUAUUUAGUUACAUUAAUGAUACAUGUCGUGUGAUUGUGUGAUUGUGUCUUACGUUACUUAAAGGUGUACGUUUCCUGAGUCCCAGACCAGGUUAAGGAGGUAAUUGUGUGAUCCCUGUAAUCACAUAAACUCCGAUGCCUCUCCUCCCUGCGUUGAAACACAGACUGAAGAAGGGUCUGCCUGGGGCACCACGCUCUUGGUUCCUAGGUGGCUUUGGCCCAACAAGUGUGUAUGUUUCCAGAAAUGGGGGAGGUAUGAUGAGAUACGUUGAAACCUUUCUCUCAAUACUUUGUACUCACCUGUUCUUACUCCUUAGCCUCGUUUUCAUUUCUUCAUCCAGUUAUUCAAUGCAUUGUGCAGGGUAUUAUCAUGAGACAGCAGGUACGCAUCAGAAGGUAAACAAUUGAAAAUGCCUGGGCGGCUCAGCCGGUGGCACACCCGACUCUUGGUUUCGGCUCAGGUCGUGCGUGAUCCCAGGGUUCUGGGACCCAGCCCCGCCUCGAGCCCCGUGUUGGGCUCUGCGCUCAGCAUGGAGCCUGCUUGGGGCUCUCUCUCCCUCUCCUUCUGCCCCUCCCCUGCUCGCGUGCACUACCUCCCUCUAGGUAAAAAAGUAAAAUGAGAUCAAAUGGGUAAAAUGCAUCCAGUGUAUCGAUGUUUAGUUGUCUUUUAAGGUAAAAUAACUUUGGGGCGCCUGGGUGGCGCAGUCGGUUAAGCGUCCGACUUCAGCCAGGUCACGAUCUCGCGGUCCGUGAGUUCGAGCCCCGCGUCGGGCUCUGGGCUGAUGGCUCAGAGCCUGGAGCCUGUUUCCGAUUCUGUGUCUCCCUCUCUCUCUGCCCCUCCCCCGUUCAUGCUCUGUCUCUUUCUGUCUCAAAAAAAAUAAAUAAAUGUUGAAAAAAAAAUUUAAGGUAAAAUAACUUUGCUUCUGUUUUUACAUUUUAAUGAUAACUACCUUUUGUUCAUUAUUAGUGACUGUGCUAGAGACUUUAUAUGCUGUUUUAUUAGGAUUUUACCACCAUAAAGAAGACAGGCUGACAGUAAAAGUUGUACACGGUACAGAAAGUGAGAUGUGAAGUCUUCUCCACCCUUUCAGAAUUCGCAGUCCAGCUCUCCAGCGGGAAGACCUUUUCUUAGGUCCUUCUGGAAACUAUCUGUGUAUCCUAAUCAUAUGUGUAUCCCCCCCCCCUUUUUUAACGAAAUGGGUAGAGUCAUACGUAUAGGCUGUUCUGUGGGUAGGCUUUAUUUAUGUGUCAAGAUGUACUUUGGACUUCUUUCCAUCGUAUACCCUGAUCUAACUCGUUCUUUCUUAAUCGUGCAGAAUGCCCAAGGUAUAGACACGACAGAAUCUGAGUCUGUUACUGAGGAUAUUUUAGAGUGUUACCAGUUUUCCUGGCAGACGGUGGUGCGGUCUGUGACAACCUUACCUGUACGUCUGUCUUUACACAUUGUUCAAGUGUAUCCAAAAGAGGACUUCCUACUACUGUUGUGGGUCAGAGGGUGAGGGUGUUUAAAAUUCUCUUAGCGUUUCAAAUUUAACUCUAAGAACCAAGGCUUAGAGACUGUAAGAGUGUAAAUCAUUUGACCCAGGUUCUCCAGGGUAGAAACUGGUAGGGUCAGCUUUCAAACUUAGAUCCACUCACACCGUUUCUUCUAAGCUACAUAGAUGUCUUCAGCUGUUGUUUUAAAGCAUAAUUUUGGCUUUAAAGCCAGGAAGCGUUAUUCCUUAUCUUUUUAUAUUCUUAACGCUCAAUCCAGCAAUUAUGAUAAUUCUUCCAUUAUAAAUACACAGCCCUUUAUGGUUUUGUGUAUUGAUUUUAUAUCCUGCAACUAUACCGAAUUCAUUUAUUCUAACUUACUAUUUUUUUUUUUUUUUUGGUAGAAUCUUUCAGUUUCCUAUAUAUGGCAUGUCACCUGUACAUAGUGACAGUUUUACUUCCGUUCUGAUUUGGACGCCUUUCUUUCUUUUUCUUGCCUAACUGCUGUGGCCGGGACUUCCAAGACUGUGUUAGAAGGGGUGACAUUAGACCCCCCCCCUCCUUUUGUUCCUGAUAAAGGAAAAGCUUUCAGCCUUUCACCACGGAGUGUGGUGUUGGCUGUGGGCUUGUCGUAUGUGCCUUCUAUGUUGAGAUGUGUUCCCUCUGUACCUGCUUUCUUGAGAGUUUUUAUCCAGGUGGAUGUUGGAUUUUGUCAAAAGCCUUUUCUACACCUGCUGGGAUGACUGUAUGAUUCUUACCCUUCAGCGGGUGGUGGUGGUGGGUCAUGUUGUCUGACUUGUGAGUGUUGGACCCUCUUGUAUCCCUGGAAUAAAUCCCACUUGAUCACGACGUGUGAUCCUUUUAACGUGUUGUCGAAUUCAGUCUGCUAAUAUUUUACUGAGGAUUUUUGCAUCCACGUUCGUCAGGGACGUUGGCCUGUAGUUCUCUUUCCUUGCGGUGCCUGGUCUGGUUUUGCUGUCGGGAGAACACUGGCCUCGUAAGACGGCUGUGGACGUGUCCUUCCUCCUCUAGCCCUUAAUGAUUUUCAAAACAUUUUUAUUUGCUCGUUGUGGUCCUAGGACAGACAUGGGCAUUGGUUGUUAUCCUGAUUAAUACAUGUGAAGACCCAAGGCUCAAAGAAAAGAGAAAUUUAAAUUUAAAAAGUAAUCAGAAGACAGUCCUUGGCCAAAGACCGCGUGGCCCCCCAAGUGCCAGCGCACGCAAGACAACGAUGCUGGUAGACAAGUGAACCGAGGGCUUGGGACUGGUGGCUUUGAAUGUAUUGAAACUGGCGUGUUAUGUUCAUGAACAACAGGAAAAUACACUGAAGCUUCUGGCCGUGCGGCCCCAUCGCACCCCACGCCAGUGCCUCAGGCUUCCUCUUGGCUGGGUCCGCGUGCCGUGGCCCCGAGGAGAAUGGGCCGUGACCGCGGGGUGGUUGUUCACAGGCGCCCACCGUAUUUGACCCCAAACUGGCUUUAAACUUCACCGGAAGUACUGCUUCAUGCUUUUAUGAUCGCGUGUACAUUUGUCACCAUAGUGUCAUCUUACCAUGUUGGCUCUUCCUCUGUCCCAUCAGCUUUCCUGUUAGCUCUCUUGGUCUUCGGCUCAGACCAAGUUUUUUUCUCAUCUGUCUCAGUGUUUUUUUGUUUAAAAAAAAUUUUUUUUCAACGUUUAUUUAUUUUUGGGACAGAGAGAGACAGAGCAUGAACAGGGGAGGGGCAGAGAGAAAGGGAGACACAGAAUCUGAAACAGGCUCCAGGCUCUGAGCCAUCCGCCCAGAGCCUGACGCGGGGCUCGAACUCACGGACCGCGAGAUCGUGACCUGGCUGAAGUCGGACGCUUAACCGACUGUGCCACCCAGGCGCCCCACAUCUGUCUCAGUGUUAAAGAAAGAUCUUUCCCUCUGUGGACAUAGGUUCAUGCUUUGACUUAAGAUCAAAACUUUGCUGUCUUCCCGACCACCUGAAUUCCUAUACGAAUGCAUCUACCAAACUUAAUUCAUAGACAUUUCUUAGAAUAAUUUCUUUUCUGUUUUUGCUCAUAAUUAUUUUUUACUUGAAAUUCACAACUUAUUUAUAAGGUCAAUUUGAUUGUUCCUGUUUUAUGAUUAAAGAGACUGAAUCAUAGAACGUUCACAUGACUUACUUCAAAUACAAGCCAGUCAGAGUUCAAAUUAUUCUUUAUUUCCACCAUCAGAAGACGUCUCCAAGUUAAGGAACAGGUUAUGUUCCAAAACUUCAUUUGUAAGUCGGGUAUUUGGCACUGGACUGCAUUUUACCAAAGUGGGGGACGUGUUCCAAGGGCGAUGAGGCCCCCGCUGCCCUUCAGAGAUCUCUUUAGCUCUUAUGUAAGGAGCACAUGAAGCAUUUGCAGCAAAAAUAAGAGAAAAUGAUCAUUGUGAUUCUGGUCACAAAGUUCUCCGUCUUGGGAGAAGCAUCUGAUUAGAAGAUGGGGAAACAGGUGGAAUCGGAGAGUCCGCGGGGGCGUCAGGCCACAGGGAGGGCUGUCACAGGCCGUGACGUUCUGUCUGAAGCCCAGGUUCUUGUUGAACCGAGGAUUUGGGUUGUUGUUAGAUAGUUGAUGUGGCAUGACUUCCCCCACCAGCUGUGAUUAUUACCAUCUGUGGGAUUGAUGGAAAAAUAGACUCUGAGGAUAGUAACACACCUGAUGGAAAAAAACAACCCAAAAAACCAGAGAAGGUGUCCCCUUUGAUCCCCUGGCUGGAGGGGAGGGAGGUCUUGGGUCCCCAGGAGCGGGGGCUGCUGUGCUGGGUCCUGUAGAGAACGUGAGCGUCCUGGGUGGAGGGUGAGCGGCCGUGACUGCGUGUGGAGUUUGUCCCAAGAGUGUCCAGUGCCGGGAGCACGGAUCUCACACGGCCAGGCCGCUGUGCGCUCCGGCAGACCCACAAGCAUCGGAGGGUUCAGUUGGCUUUGAAAAAAGUCUAGCGCCCCUUCGACGUCCUCUGAUGUAGGUCUUACUGAUUCUGGAAUAUCUGCAUCAGCUUUUUUGUUGUUAUAGCAAAAGGGGGGAUACGUUCUUCAGCAAAAGGAAGCUGAGGUGACAGAACCUCCCUGUGGUGGCCUCGGGGUGAGACCCCGCCUCCAGGUGGCCUUGGGGUUUGACCCCGCCUCCAGGUGGCCUUGGGGUGAGGCCCUGUGAUCAUGAAUUGAGCCAAAAGCUUAACCAGCUGAGCCUCCCGGGCACCCUGACAUAAGGUGUUCUUAGGAUUAUUCAAAUUAUUCUAACUUGCACCACUUGCUGCCCUCAGGGUGGCCCUUCAUUUUGUCCGUGACACCUGCAUCCUCGCACCGAUGCCUGGUGGAGGGUUCAGGGGCGAUGUGGGUGCCCCUCCCUCCCCUCCUGCACGGUUCUGACUGCUCCCCCAUACUUCCCUUGGGGACGGGGAUGGUACUGGGACGGGACGGCAAUGGGGACGGGGACUGGACCGGGAUGGGGAUGGGACAGGGACGGGAUGGGGACAGUGACUGGACGGGGACUGGGUGGGAUGGGGACUGGAUGGGGACGGGGACAGGACUGGGGGAGCAGCGGGUCUAAAAACGGAAGUAGGAGGUGCAGGCAGGACACACGGAGCAUCCCGGUCCCCACGCAGCUGCCACCGCGUUGCCCCCACGCUCUCCACCCUGUAGAUAGCCUCCCGCCCGGCCGUCACUGGACAUUGUCGUGUCGUUUCUGUCGUAGGGCGGAGAAGCUGGAGCAUGGCCGUGAGCAGCGGGAACCGCGAUGUCAUGCUCCUGAGCAGUGGUGGCCCCGGCGCCCUCACGACCUGCAACGGGGACCUCGCCGCCCACCAGCUCUCCGCAGAAGUGCC